AAUAAGAUGAGGAAUAGACUCAUGUUUCUAUUUAGUUUAUUUCUGUUAUGGACGUGUAAUUUGGAGUUUGAGACUUUUGUUAUUUUUUUUAUGUCCUCGGGAGAGAUUAUUUAGUAUUAGACGUUUGAAUUUGUGGAUUUAUUCGAAUAAGAAUUUGAGGUAUUUCAGUUUGAAACUUAUGAGUAAAGAUUAUGAUUUGUAAGUAACCUCCUUCUUCACGUGCUCCGCACGUGUUAGAUUUGGGGUGUUACAAUUGUGGUAUCAGAGCAUUAGGUUUGGGAUUCUGUAGACUUUAUUUGAGACUAGAUUUCUUAAGCACAAUCAAUUAGUUCAAUGGUAUUGCUUGCCAUGAGGUUAUCAGAAAGAGUAGAUCUUUAAGGCGAGGAGUAAUUUUGGUCUUUUUGAUUUUCUAGUUGCUUGUGACUUUGUAAUAACUCCUUGAUAUAGGAUUUUGGUAUUAACGUAGAAUGAAAUAUUUGUUUGCUCUUGUUGUCAAUCACUAAUGUUUCUCAGUUAUACUACUUACUCAGUACUUUGCGCACUAGCAAGGCCUUUAACUAUGAAUUAUUUACCGUUUUAUUUAUUUAUUUAUUUUUAUUCUUCGUGUUAUAGUCAAAAGAUGUUGCGUAGGGGAGGUGCUAGGCAUGCCUCUAGCUCGAGAGAUGUUUUAGGAAUCGCUGAUGACGUUGACCCAACCUUGCGUGAGAUGGCUAACGAAGGGAAUCCUAUGAUGCGCGCAAUGGUUAGAUUGAUGGAACAACAAAGUAAGUUGAUUCAAGAUAUGGCUAGAGGUAAAGUUGGGGCACAGGAGAAUGUGCCAGUUGAAAGACAAGGUGGUGGAAGAGAUCAGGGAGGUAUGAUGAGCUUAGAGCGGUUUAGGAAAUUGGGACCACCUACCUUUCAGGGGACUGCCGAUCCUAUGGUUGCAGAGGCAUGGUUAAGACAGAUGGAGAAAAUAUUUAUGGCUAUGGGUUGUAAUGAUGAUCAUAGGGUGAUAUUGGCCUCAUUCGUCCUUUAGGGCGAGGCAGACCACUGGUGGGAUGCCAAAUCCCGUCUUUUGAGGGCCGGGUUACAAGAUGCACCUAUUACUUGGGAGUUAUUUCUGGAGGCUUUUCAUGAAAAAUAUUUUCCUGAACGAGUUCGACAUCAGAUGGAGGUUGACUUCCUGAAAUUGACUCAAGGAACAAAGUUUGUUGCGGAGUAUGAGGAGCAAUUUACUGCUCUAUCUCAUUUUUCUCCUACCUUAGUUGCUAAUGAGGGUAGUAAGUGUAGGAAAUUCUUGGAAGGGUUACAUCCAAACAUCAAAAGACGGUUGACCAUCCUUAAGCUUAAUAAUUAUGCCGAUUUGGUGGAUCGUGCGAUUAUUGCAGAGAGGGAUAUAAUUCAAUCUCAAGUUGCACGAUCUAAUCGACAUAAUAACCAGCCAAUAAAACAUGAUAGUAAUGGUAGCGAAGGUGAACAUAAGGACUCUAAUGGUGGGUCUAUUCAAGAGAACAAACCAUUCUGUAAUCGUUGUGACAAGUACCAUAAUGGCACGUGCUAUUUAAAGAUAGAAGCUUGUUUUGGCUGUGGAAAGAUGGGGCAUAAGGUUAUAGAUUGCCCAAAAAAGCGCAGUGGUAACAUAGAUUCUGCCGAGAACCAAAGGAAAAAGCCAUGUGUCUUCGCCAUGGUGGAGCAAGAUAUUAAGAAACCGAAUAACGAAGCCUCAGGUGCAUUACCUAUUUUCCAUAGAAAGCCUUGAAUUUUUGAGUAAUUGGUAUUGUGCUUUUCCUCCAUCCUUUCUGAUUGGAUGCAUCGUAGCUAGAGUUUUUAGCCUAAUAAUUUCUUUUUUCAUCCAUUGAAUUUCUAUGGUACAUUAGUAGGAUAUGACGUGUGAUUUUAUAAGGCCAUUAGGAUUAACUUAUGGUUGGAUGGAGUAGGGACUAAUAUGAUAUUUAGUAGGAUAUGUGAUGAAGAUUGCAAUAAAAGUGUUUCACCAGCAAUGUGCGAGCGCAUUGAACAGUUUUGAAGUUGAAUGUGAAGUGAUAAAAAAUAUUCGCCAUCGAAACCUUAUCAAUGUUAUUGGCAGUUGUUCGAACGAUGACUUCAAAUCAUUAGUCCUAGAAUACAUGUCCAACGGGAGCUUGGAGGAUUGGCUGCAUUCUAGCAAUUAUGUGCUUAAUAUUUUUCGCAGGUUGAACAUAAUGAUUGACGUUGCAUCAGCUUUAAAAUAUCUCCACUUCGAUCAUUCAACUCGUAUCAUUCAUUGUGACUUAAAGCCUAAUAAUGUGUUGUUGGGUGAAAAUAUGGUUGCUCAUUUGAGUGAUUUUGGCAUAGCAAAGCUUUUAAGUGGAAGAUGAGUCUACGAUGCGAACAAAAACCCUUGCCACUAUAGGUUAUACGGCACCAGGUUUGCUUGAAACAACUUUUUUUUUUAGUUUAUUUUAAAAUUUCCAAAUUAUUGAUUUUUACGAUCCUCAUAUCAAAAUGUUAUUGAUUAUUUAUCUAAUUAUGAAAUAAUUUAAUUCAUAGAGUAUGGCAUAGAAGGAGAAAUAUCUGCAAAAAGUGAUGUUUACAGCUAUGGGAUUAUGUUGAUGGAAACUUUUACCAAGAAAAAACCCACAGAUGAGAUUUUUGUUGGAGAAUUGAGCUUAAAGCGUUGGGUUAAUGACUUGCUUCCUAAUUCAUUAGUGGAAGUUGUGGACAAAAUUCUGAUAAUUGGAGAGGAAAAACAUUUUGCCGCAAAGGAGCAAUGUCUGUUCUCUAUCUUUAUUUUGGCUCUGGAGUGUACAAUGGAAUCACCGGAAAAGAGGAUCAAUACAAAAGAUAUUGUUACCAGAUUACUCAAGAUAAGAGACACAUUGAGUAAAAGGAUAGGAAAUUUAAGUUAAUUUUGUUUGCUUUCAUUGAUAGUUACUUUGAAUUCAUGUAAUAAGUGUAAGAAUCGUUUAUCUUUUCUUUUGAUAUUUUUUUCUUGAGAAAACUGUUGUAGUCAUCUUUUUUCAAUGGGCAGAGUUGAUUUAGUUCUUCCAAGAAAUGCUAUUGUUGAUCUUUGUUAUAUACUUUUGUCUUUUUUUGCAUGCAUUUAGGUAGAAUAGUGGUCUAGCUGCAGGCUAACAAGUCAAGCUACGCUAAAAGGGUAUGAUUUAAUUUAUUAAACCUAACUUCAAGUUCAAGAAUUGUAUCUCAUUGCCACCAAUGCUUUAGACACCUAUUGGUAGGUUUGUGUCCUCAACUUUGUUUAGAGCAAAAGUUCCAGUCCCAUGGAGGCUCAAAUAUUCCUCUCCUACGUCCCGAACACACUAAAUUCAUCAGCCUCUUGAACCCUCUCCUGAGGGCGCCUUCUGUCCUCUGUUUUCUGUUUCCAUACACAAAUAGCAAAAAGAAUUCAGAAUGACAACUGGGACAUAUAUAAGAGUGAAAUAAUUAAAAAAAAUUAUGCUUUUUUGUUUGUCGUGUUAAAAUCGUAAGGUAUCUAAGUACUAUGAAAGAGAUUAGUUUACGAAAACUGAAGCCAAGGGUUCAUAAAAAAGUGCAAAGAGAAUAAAGGACAACGCUUAUGUAAAGCGACAUAAUUGUAUUGGUAGCACAAUGUCACGUUCAUACAGAGAUCAAGUACAUUAUUUACAGCUGGUAAGGGCUAAGAAUUGAUGUAGCUAGAAUACAAAUAUGAUAAGGUAUGUUGUGCACUAUUGUUUUAUUCUACAAUCAAUCUUGACCCUUGAUGCUUGGCUCUCAAUCUUGUCCAUUGAUCUUCUCUGAUCUCGAAAACUUCAAGACCUUUCAAUCUCAUGCCUUAUUAUUGGUAUGUUCUAUGCUGUUAAUUUCAAAUACUAGCUUUUCCGCCAACUUGCCAAUUAUUUGUUCAUUGGUGCGUUCUGUCAAACAGUGUGGAUACUUAUACCAAACGCUUUCUGUUUUAACUCCCCCUUUCAAGCUCAACUAUCUGGGAAGACACUAAUAAGCUUGUUUCUCAAGUAUAUGUAUCUGAAAAUUAAAUUUUCAAAAUUAUAUUCGGACUCUACAUUUUCUAAUGAACAUUGGUUUGGCUCAUAAGCUUAUUAUACUUGGGCUUGGUAGGAUUAUCGGUCGGUAGAUGAACAAGUGUUAGAGCUUUCGAAUUUAUGCCAAUUAAAAAAAAAUCUAUAUAAAUUUUCCACUAGGCUAUUACCACAAUAAACAUUUGGAUGAACUAUUAUUGAAACCUUAUUGAGAAGUAGGACAUGUCGCAUACCAAUGCACUGACAUAUCUUCAAAUAGUGGUAACUCCACACAACAUGGCACAAUAAAUUAGAGUUAUAUAGAUAAAAUCUUUCACUCUUUGGUAAUCAUCAAUGUCGGCAUGGCAAUGCGUCCGACAAAAUUCAUAAAUCAAAACAAAAAUAGAGAAUCAUAUUUGUUUCAGAUUGUAGUGAUGGUUGUUCAUAAUUCACAAUUUUAUUUAAUAUCUUCAAAUUCGCAUUUUAAAAUGCACAAAUGUUUGUGUAUACAUAAUUAGUAAUCGAUUCUCAAGCUUGGACAUUUAAAAGCACUGCUAAAAGACAAAAUUUUAAUUCACUAUUUUUUGUCUUUUAAUUUUCUUUAAGUUUUAAUGAUUCCGCAUUUUAAAAUCCUGUGGAACGUACAUGUAAAAUUCUUUUAUCUUUUAGAGGAAAAUGGGCAAGAGAAGAAGAUUUGGCAAAGGAAUUGCAACCGCAUUUGGAGCUAGUUUUAAUUUUGUCUUUUAAUUCUUUUACACUUGGCUUUUGUUAUUGAUGUCAACUUCGAUGUGUGUGCGUGUGCGACUGAAUUCAACUUACAUGCUAUUGAUGCAGCCACCAAAAAGGGGUGGUCCAUCAUCAAUCAACAAGGUUUAUUAUUAUUUCCAUAUUGAUUUUCUUAAUUAUAAAUAAUACUAAUGUUAUUUCAUAGUUAUAAAUAUAUUAGAAUUAAUCGAAAUCAUUUUUUAGUGUGGCAUGGCUAAAACUACCUUUUUUUUUUAUAAGUAAUUACUACUUUCACAUUAAGAAAAAUACUCCUAUUUUUAAGGAAAAGUCAAGUACCUGUAGUUGUGAAGACUCAAGCUCACUCCCUUAUGAUAAAUCUUCAUAUUAAUUACGUAAAUAUCCUCUAAAAUUUUAAAUUAGCUAUUCAAAAUUUGAUGUUAUACGGGUAUUUCAUUUAUUUGAGUAGGGGUUAGGGGUCAAUUGGAUACAAAUUCAAAAUUAUCCUUACUUGAGAAGGUGAUAAAAAUUGGGGAUUUAGUUUGGAUGUCAUUAGCUACAAAUAUUAAACUCAUACAUUUAAUUCAAAAUUAGAGGGCUGAUAUGUGCGCAUCAUCGUCCACGUUAUAGUGACACUGCGUCACCAUUCCACAACCUCUCCAAUGAAAAAUUGACAUGCUUCUUGUGCGCAUCUAAUCAGAAUCUUGAAAAUUAAUCACAAAAUUGUACUUUUAUUAUAAAAAGAAUAAAGAAACUCCAAGAAAAAAAAAAAGACUUACAUAAAUAGAUUGAAAAAUCUAGAUUUCAAGUUGUCUAUAUUAGCUUGAUAUUUUUAUUAAUAGUCAUCCUCCCAAAAAAAUUCCAUCAAAAUAUAUUUUAAUUUUAUGUUAAUUCAUAAACAUGAAAAAAUCAUUUUAGAAUUAAUUAAAACAUAAUUUAUUGUUGCUCAAAAAAGGUAGAACUUAGUUAUCAGAAAAAAGUGUCUAAAAUAUAUGUUAAAAAAAAAUCAUGGUUGGUUGGACUGAUUGAAUUUUUUUUUUCUUUUUUAAGAAUUAAGACAAUUGGAUGGAUUGAGUAAUAAUAAUACAUAUUUAUUUGGCAAAUGGCAGGGAGGCUUUCGUCUGAUGCAGAUUGAUUAGAGAGAAAAUAUAACAAUUUUAAGCUCGUCAGAUUCGAAGCUGCUUACCUGUCGUGUGGGGAUCACUUCCGUGUCUUAUUUUUCUAGAAAAAUCUGGACCAUUGGAUUUACCAUUAGUCAAUAGAGAAAUGUUGAUCUUGAUUCUUGAUCAAGAUCGAAGUUUGAUUCUAACUAACACGAUAUCAGAUUGCGAAGCAAGCAAAUUGAAAGUCACUUGUUCUAUGGAAGAAACACAAGUUCUAAUAAAACAUUCUCAUAGUAAAGUGAAUUACCAUCCAACGAUCCAACUCAUGUUUUCAAAUUGUAAAUUGCAAAUCGUGUGUUUGCUCCAUUACAGAGUUUCUUCAAUCUGAAAUAGCGAAUCAUUUGUGUUCUAGAUUAAUCGUGGGUCUAUAUCCAAAUCUAAAAAUUGACUAACUUGAUUUCUAUUAAAUUCUUAAUCCUAACAAGAAAAAUUGAAGAUUAAAAACGACUAAUUUGGUACCAUACCACUAUUGUAACAUAGGUAGAUCCUCUAUUAAUUGGAGUAAAGAUUGAAUUAUCUCAUUUAUUAAGGUUUAUCAAAAUCUUGUGUCAAAAUCUAUUAAUGAUAUAGGUUCAAGGAUGAAAAAGUCACUGCAUUACUUUUGAGUUCCCAAAUAGAUGAAUGGAUGUUAUUUUUAGAUUCCGGAGAGUCGAAAAUAUUAAGAUAGGUGCUAAAUCGAAUUAAGUUGUAGAUACGAUAGAAAUGGAUUUGGAGAGAUUGGAAUCCUAGGUAAUCCGGUGCACGUUGUCGUGUUAAAUUCUCGUUGACUUCACGUUGACUGAAGCAUUAUUGGAAGAAACAAGUUUAUUGAUGUGAGGCCUUUGAGGUUGUAAGUGUUAAAUCUGAGAAGAAUACCCACACACCCAUUAUCCUAUUACUCUUAUAUCACAUGAAGAGAAUUCAACAUUUGAUUCACACGGAAAAAAUUUGUGAGGAAUGUGAGGGUUGAUGGAAUAUAAUUUAGAUACAAAGUGUUUACCAGUGCGAUGCUUCGCAAGUGUUCUUGAAUCAAUAUAAACUCACAUUAUUUUCAUAGUGAUUGUUUCAUCUGCACGUUAAUAUAAUCACAUGUCGAGAUUUUUUUCCUUAAAUUAUGGUCUUAUUUAGUAUUGAGGUGUUAUAUCUUUUAAGGUACAAUUAUUGUUGGAAAAAAGUUACAACUAUCAAAUAAAAUUAAUACUAUGUGCUAAAUAUAAUUGUUAAAUAAUAAUUUUGACAAAAUUAGUGAAGUUAUAUAGAUUUUUUUCAUCAUCCAAGUAUAAAAUCAAAUCAACUUAACUUCUAAGUUAUAUAUCGGCUACUGUUUAUCAUAUGUUUUAGUUUUGUAACUUUUAAAUUAUAGUUACCCAACCUCAAUUCUAAACAAGACCUAUAAAGAUCAAAGAUUUCCUCAUUAAAUUAUAUGUCUUGUGAUUGCUUAUUUAAUUUAUAUUUUUGUUAUUUAUCUUUAUUAAUUAUAAUCAUCUUUUUAUAAAUUAAAAUUGAAGGAAGUUGAUUGAUGUUGUUGACACACACACGCACGCGCACGCACACACUCACAAAGAUAUAUUGGAAGUGCUUACGUCGACUCGAAGUUGUUGGGAAUUAAUGCAUGUAUUGAUUUAUUGGGAGUGUUUAAAUGAUUUUGUGAUUUACUUGAUUUAUUGAUUGAAUAUUGUUUGAUUGCUUCAUAUCCAUUCUAGAAAGUUUAUUUCUUUGUGAAAGUUCAACGAAAUAUGUUUUUUUUUUUAAAUAAGGGUGUUCUAAAUAAUUUUAAAAAAUAUAUGCUUGUCUUCCCAAAAUAGCCUUUGAAUACACAAGUAAAUGUCUAGCCUUUGGUGAGGAUAGUUUGGUCAUUGCAUUUUACAAGUAAGAUGAGUGGUGGAGAAAAAUGAGGAGUGCACAUAACUCUUCAGCAAAUCCCACCAACAAUUCCAUUUUCUUAAUUAAUUAAUCUCCUUUUUUAUCCCCAAACAAAUCCUAAUGAUACUAUUAUCAGGUUUAAAACAGUACACAAAUAGUGAAAAGCUAACUAGUCUGUAGAGUAAUUUGCUAAUUGCUAUCUCCUCUCUAUGCUCGCUGAAUAAUUUGUUGCAUGCAAACUUUUUAUUUUAUGCAAAUCAUACGUACUGUAACAUUGGAAUUGAUGUAUAAGCAAAAAUACAAUAAUAUUUAUGUCAAUACAAAUAGUUUUUUUUCCCUUUUUAAAUAAACACAACGCGAUGUUGCUCUGCUCUACAUUUUUGCUAUCUCUUUAUUAUUAUUAUUUUUUUUUGGGCUUCUUAAAGCCUCAAACUUUGAUAACCAAAACUUCAUCGACCUAUGAAAAAAUCUGCAGAUUAGUUUUUAUUAUCGGAAUAAUUGUUUGAGAAUACUAAAACAAAAUAUAAAAUAAGAAAAUACGGGGUUAAAUUUGGGGAAAACAAAAAGGCAUGUUGGAUAGAUUACUAUAGUUUAAGGGGAAAAAAAAAUUCAAUUGGAAAUUUUUUUCUUUAAUUUUUGUUUUACUUGAUUGAGAUUUCUCCUUAGUCCUUACAGUUUUAAGUUUGGAUGCCGUAGGGUUAGUAAUUUAGUAUUUCCCUUGCAAGCUGAGCUUAAGGAUGAAAUUUCUUUUAAGAAAUUAAAAAAGAUUAAAAAAAGCAUACCAAUAGGUAAUUAUAAAUAACCAUAAAUAAACAUAAACAAAAUGUUUAUGAAGUAAAUUACACAUGCACAUAUUAUUUUUUUGUUAUAUUUCUUACUUGUCUAUUUUAUUUGCUGCUUGAUAACCCGUAAAUACUAAUCUAGUACUGCUAAUUUCAGACACAAAAUGUUUAACUCUAGGCUGCAGUUUUACUCAAAAUGAUGACCACUGGCUUCGCACCAUUUAACCGGCAUACAUUUCUACAAAUUGAACAAGGCUAUUGAUUUUCAUUAUUAUUUUUUAUUUAUUUAUAAAUUACUAUUUUAAUUUUCACUUUUUAUUGGGUUGUUUACAGAUUAGUGAAGUUGGUGGUCGUGAUGCACUCACAAGGUACAAUUUUAUUUUAUAAUUUCAAAUUUGUAUUUUAAAAUGCAGGUACAUUAUGUAUACAUAAUUAUUGAUUUUCAUAUGUGGGUGUUUUGAAAUAUUGCUAAAAGACCAAACUUUAAUAAACUAUUUUUUAUCUUUUUUUUUCCUAAAGUUUGAGUGAUAUCCGCAUUUUAAAUUCAUGUGGAACAAAAGCUAAUGUAUGCUCAAAAUUCUUUUAUUUUUUCCGAGAAGAAUGGGUAAGAGAAGAAGAUUUUUCUGUUGAAAAAGAAAAACUAAUACGAUGCAAGCAUAGGAAAGAGGUCAGUGUUUUGGAUUAGAAUUUAGUAUUGAGCUGAAUUUUAUACUAAACUCUUUUAUAGUACUGCGAUUAAUAAACUCAUGAUUUGCUUUUGCUUUUACUUCAAGUGAAAGAAAGAGGAAACCGUUUGAUUUUUGUUUGAUUCUUGACUAUAGAUGUUACCUAUAUAGAGAGUUGAGGUAGCUGCCUUAAGUGAUGGUUAUAAAAAGAUUAAGCAGCGCACACAAUCUUACUGUCGUCCAGACCAUCCAGCUAUGAUGACUCUAGUUUUUUGGUUACAUUAACUUUAGUGGAAAGGAGGGCCAAUUUAACAAAGACUAGAUUUGGUGGCUUACUAUAAUGCUUAUUCUCAGGGAAUCUAAUGUUAUAAGAUGAUUUAAUGAUCUUCUAUGAUUGUGAGUAGUAUAGUAUAAUUGAAAAGAGCUUGGGCUCCUAUGAUGAAUAUUUAAUAGUAACACAGUACUGUUAUUGAAAAAAACACAGUUACAAUAAACUCUUCAUUUAUUCAUUGUGGAGAUUGAAUGGCAAACAGAGAAUAAAAUGAAGCAGAGGAAUCUCAUUGCCAGUAAAAUUGACCCUCUUUAAUGUUAUAUGGCACAGGUGUGUGUACAGCAAGAUCAAGUUACUUGCAGUUUUUAUUGUAAAAUAUAUAGGUUAUGACCAUGAUCAUUGUAGUUAGGUUUUGAUGAUUUUAGAUGCUUUUUUUAUUUUUUUUAAAAUUGUGACACCUUUGAUUUAUGGUAGCUUUGCAGAAGAAAAAUAUAUAUAUAUAAAUUAGGAGGGAUGAGUUAACUAACGAUUGCAAUCAUUACAGUAAUGUUGAUGAGUGAUACAUCAUUUGAAAUUUACUUGUCAGUUACUGAAAUGAUGAAAAAAAACAAUAAACAAUAGCAGUAAUAUUUUUAUGGAAAAUCUUGGUUUUUAUGGAAAUACUCUUGCUGAAAUUCUAAUUUUGACUUUCAACUCUUGGUUUUUAUGGAAAGUAAAAUGACUUGUUUGUUAUAUUCAUACAAUCCACUCUACAUAAUGAUUUCAUUUUAAUAAAUGCUUGAUGAUCUCCACUGAAAAACUACUUCAAUUCUUUUGUUUUAUUUAACUUUUUGGUUGUUGAAAAUAGCCUUAAUUUUCAAAUAAUUGGAGAAAGAGUAAAGAACAUUUAACAAAUUUAUGUGCCAAAAAUAAAGGAGAAAUUGAAGAGAAAGGGUGCUUGCAGAAGUGGGUGCAAAGAUAAAUCAGUCCAUAAGAAUUAUUGUGGUUAUUAAGUUUUUGGCAAUAUAAAAAUUUUUCAGCAAAUAAAAAUUGAUUUUUUCCGAUUUACUAAAAAAUUAAUUAAAAACUUCGGUGAUAGCAUUUUUUAUGGGUGCAUGUACCCUCCCUUUAAAAAAAAUAUAAUAAUUAAUACUUAAUAUAGUAUUAAAUACGAAAAUAUCAAUAUUUGACUACACAAAUUUAUAUCAUUAGGUCCUUAAAAUUUAAAAUUGAAGACACAAAAUGAAAUAUAUAUAAAUUUCAUUCUCACAGGAAAGGAUCCUCUUAUAAUCUUAAAAUAUUUGAGCUUUGAAAGAUUUUUUAAAACAAAUGUACUUUUAUUUUUGUACAAUCAAUAUUUACUUAUUUAUUAUAUUUUUAUUCAUUAACUAUCAAUCAUGUGAGUAUAUUUACUCAGAAAUAUCAUAUCAAGGAAGAAUCUUGAUCCCACGCACACACAAAUAUGUUAAUUUCUAUACGCUUCACUUACCUGUAGAAUCAAUUAUCUAAAAUGCAAGUUUGUGGCCACAAAAAAAGCCAAAGAAAGAAGAUAAUAACAAUUGACUUGUAUAUUAUACUCAUACAAUCCACUCGACAUAAUGAUAUCAUUUUAAUAAGGCAAUGGCUGAUGAUCUCCAUUGAAAAACCAAUUCAAUUUUUUUGCUUCAUUUAACUUUUUGGUUGUUGAAAAUAACCUUAAUUAUCAAAUAAUUGGAGAAAGAGUAAAGAACAUUUAACAAAUUUAUGUGCAAAAAAAAAAAAAAAAAAAGGAGAAGUUGAAGGGAAAGGGUGCUUGCAGAAGUGGGUGUCAAAGAAAAAUCUGUCCAUAAGAAUUAUUGCGGUUAUUUUUUGGCAAUAUAAAAUUUUUAUAGCAAGUAAAAAUUAAUUUUUUCCAAUUUACUAAAAAAUUAACUAAAAACUUCUGCGACAACAUUUUUUAUGGGUGCAUAUACCCGCCCUUUAAAAAAAAAAAUAAUUAAUGCUUAAGUUAGUAUUAAAUACGAAAAUAUCAAUAUUUGACUACUCAAAUUUAUAUCAUUAGGUCCUUAAAAUUUAAAAUUGAAGAUACUAAAGGAAAUAUAUAUAAAUUUCAUUCUCAUGGAAAGGAUUCUCUUAUAAUCUUAUAAUAUUUGAGUUUUGAAAUUUUUUUGAAACAAAUGUAAUUUUAUUUGUGUACAAUCAAUAUUUACUUAUUUAUUAUAUUUUAAUUUAUUAACUAUCAAUCAUGUAAGUAUAUUUAGUCAGAAAAAUUAUAUCGAGAGAGAAUCCUAAUUUCACGCAAACACAAAUACAAGACAAAUAUGUUAAUUUCUAUACUAUUCACUUUCCUGUAGAAUCAAUUAUCUAAAAUGCAAGUUUGUGGCUAUAGAAAACUCGCCAAAGAAAGAAGAUAAUAACAAUUGAGCAUUGAUAGCAAAACUAAUGCAUCAUUUUCUUCUUGACUUGAUGAGAUGGUGCCAUUACAAAACAAUAAUUACCUUAAUUGACGGGCACUGAGUGAUGUGAAUACUACCAGCCAGUUCAUCUCUUCCAGUCUUGCUUAAUCACAAUCACAAACACCACGAGAUUGACAUUUGCAUUAUAUAUAUCUUCAGCAAUCGAAACACCUUGCAUUACCAAAUUAACCGGUAACAAACAAAGCAACCUUUCAUGGAGAGAAACUUUAGUCUCAGUAUGAUCACUGUGUCAUUAACCCACUUCCUGCUUCUUUGCUUGGUUGUUGCAGCAGCAGCAGCAGCAGCAAGCAACAAUAUUACCACAGACCAACAAGCUCUUCUUGCCCUGAAAGAUCAUAUAACUUAUGAUCCAACCAAACUUUUUGCCCAUAAUUGGACCUCGAAUACCUCUGUUUGCACCUGGAUUGGCCUCAGUUGUGAUGUCAAUAGCCAUAGAGUCACAGCCUUAGAUAUUUCUCAAUUCAAUAUACAAGGCACCAUCCCUCCUCAACUUGGAAACCUCUCUUCACUCACAACACUUAAUCUUAGUCGUAAUAAGCUUUCUGGAAGCAUUCCCCCCUCCAUCUACACCAUGCAUACGCUAAAAUUUCUAGACUUCACUGAUAACCUGCUCUCUGGUUCAGUGUCUUCCUCCGUCUUCAACAUGUCUUCAAUAUUAGACAUUCGUUUGACCAAUAACAGACUUUCUGGUGAGCUUCCGAAAAAUAUUUGCAACUAUCUUCCUUACUUGAAAGCCCUUUUUCUGGACAAAAACAAGUUGCAUGGCAAAAUUCCUUCAGCUUUAUCAAAUUGCAAACAACUGCAACAAUUGCAUUUGCAGUUCAAUAAUUUAUCCGGUGCAAUACCGAAAGAAAUCGGCAACUUGACUAUGCUCAAAUGGAUAGAUCUCGGCUACAACAAACUCCACGGUAUGUUUCAUAAUGCUAUCUAAAUAUUUUAAUUUAUCACUUGUUUAUUUUAAUUUCUCACUUGUUAUUUUUCUUGAAUACUUUAGAUAAGAUCUAGUAAGUGAGAUUUUUUGCAUCUAUGUUAAUUUACCAGGUGAGAUACCCCCCGAAAUCGCUAAUCUUCGAAAUCUAGAGGCUUUGGUGCUUGGAAUGAACAACCUAGUGGGUGUGUUACCAGCUACAAUCUUCAACAUGUCAACACUGAAGGUAGUUAUCCUCAUUAAUAACUCUCUCUUCGGAAGUCUCCCAUCAAGAAUAGACCUUUCACUUCCAACUAUUGAGCACCUUAACUUGGCACUUAAUAGAUUUUCUGGAACCAUUCCUAGUUCCAUCACCAAUGCUUCUAAGCUCACCUUUCUAGAGUUGGGAGGAAACACAUUUUCGGGCUUUAUUCCGAACACAAUUGGUAAUUUAAGAAACCUUGAGUGGCUCAGCUUGGGUAAUAACUACUUGACAUCUUCAACCUCAAAAUUGAGCUUUCUUUCCUCUUUGGCAAAUUGCAAGAAAUUAAGAGACAUAGGCUUAACAGGCAAUCCACUCGACGGUAUCCUUCCAAGUUCAAUAGGUAAUCUUUCCAUGUCUUUGAAAACACUUUACAUCGGCAAUUGCAGUAUUAGUGGCAACAUUCCUCAAUCAAUUGGCAAUUUAAGCAACUUAUUGGCCUUAGUAUUAGAAGGCAAUAAAUUGACCGGACCAAUCCCAACUACAUUCGGCCAACUGCAGAAACUCCAAGGCUUAUUUCUUACAUUCAAUAAGUUGGUAGGUUCAUUCCCAGAUGAGCUUUUCCAUCUAGCUAGGCUGGAUAAAUUGGUAUUAUUGGGAAAUAAGCUUUCAGGAUCUAUGCCUUCAUGCUUAAGUAACCUCACUUCUCUGAGAUCUCUCUACUUAGGGUCCAAUAGGUUUACUUCUGUUAUUCCCUCAACUUUCUGGAGCCUAAAAGACAUCUUGUUCUUUGACUUUUCAUCAAAUUUCUUGGUUGGUACUCUUUCUUUCGACAUAGGUAAUUUGAAGGUGCUUCUAGGAAUAAGUUUAUCAGAAAAUAACUUAUCGGGUGAUAUGCCAGCCACAAUUGGAGGGAUAAAAAAACCUUCAAAUUAUGGACCUAGCAUAUAAUAGAUUGGAAGGGCAAAUUCCUGAAUCAUUUGGUGACUUGACAAGUUUGGAGGUUUUGAAUUUGUCAAAUAAUAAAAUCUCUGGGUCUAUUCCAAAAUCCAUGGAGAAACUCUUUUACCUCCGAGAGUUAAAUCUCUCUUUCAAUGAACUAGAAGGUGAGAUUCCUAGUGGAGGAAUUUUUGCCAACUUCACAGCUGAGUCAUUUAUGGGAAAUGAGUUAUUGUGUGGUUUACCAAAUCUUCAAGUCCAACCAUGCAAAGUUAGCAAGCCGAGGACAGAACAUAAAUCAAGGAAAAAGAUACUUCUCAUUGUGAUUGUUUUGCCAUUGAGUAUUGCUCUAACAAUAGCAAUCACUCUACCUCUCAAAUCUAAGCUGAUCGAAUGUGGAAAAAGAAGCACAGUGUUGUCAAAUGAUAGUGUCUUGUCAUCACAAGCAACACUAAGAAGAUUUUCAUACUUAGAACUUUUACAAGCAACAGAUAAUUUUGCUGAAAACAACGUAAUUGGCAUAGGAGGUUUUGGUUCUGUUUACGGUGGAAGACUUGAAGAUGGGAUGAAGAUUGCAAUAAAAGUGUUUCACCAGCAAUGUGCAAGCGCAUUGAAGAGUUUUGAGGCUGAAUGUGAAGUGUUAAAAAAUAUUCGCCAUCGAAACCUUAUUAAAGUUAUCAGCAGUUAUUCAAACAAUGACUUCAAAGCAUUAGUUCUAGAAUACAUGUCCAACGGGAGCUUAGGGGACUGGCUGCAUUCUAGCAAUUAUGUGCUGAAUAUAUUUCAGAGGUUGAACAUAAUGAUUGAUGUUGCAUCAGCUUUAGAACAUCUCCACUUCGAUCAUUCGACUCCUAUUAUUCAUUGUGACUUAAAGCCUAGUAAUGUAUUGUUGGACGGAAAUAUGGUUGCUCAUUUGAGUGAUUUUGGCAUAGCAAAGCUUUUAAGUGGAGAGGAUGAGUCUAUGAUGCGAACAAAAACCCUUGCCACUAUAGGUUAUAUGGCACCAGGUUUGCUUCAAACAACUUUUUUUUUUUAGUUCAUUUUAAAUUUUGCAACUUAUUGAUUUUUACGAUCCUCACAUCAAAAUGUUAUUGAUUAUUUAUCUAAUUUUGAAAUUAAUUUGAUUCAUAGAGUACGGCAUAGAAGGAGAAGUAUCUACAAAAAGUGAUGUUUACAGCUAUGGGAUUAUGUUGAUGGAAACUUUUACCAAGAAAAAACCCACAGAUGAAAUUUUUGUUGGAGAAUUGAGCUUGAAGCGUUGGGUUAAUGACUUGCUUCCUACUUCAUUAGUGGAAGUUGUGGACAAAACUCUGCUAAGUGGAGAGGAAAAACAUUCUGCAGCAAAGGAGCAAUGUCUGUUGUCUAUCUUUAGUUUGGCUCUGGAGUGUACAAUGGAAUCACCGGAAAAGAGGAUUAAUGCAAAAGAUAUUGUUACAAGAUUACUCAAGAUAAGAGACACAUUGAGUAAAAGGAUAGGAAAUUUAAGUUAAUUUCGUUUGCUUUCAUUGAUAGUUAAUUCGAAUUCAUGUAAUAAGUCUAAGAAUCUUAUAUCUUCAAAUUCGCAUUUUAAAAUGCACAAAUGUUUGUGUAUACAUAAUUAGUAAUCGAUUCUCAAGCUUUGGACAUUUAAAAGCACUGCUAAAAGACAAAAUUUUAAUUCACUAUUUUUUUGUCUUUUAAUUUUCUUUAAGUUUUAAUGAUUCCGCAUUUUAAAAUCCUGUGGAACGUGCAUGUAAAAUUCUUUUAUCUUUUAGAGGAAAAUGGGCAAGAGAAGAAGAUUUGGCAAAGGAAUUGCAACCGCAUUUGGAGCUAGUUUUAAUUUUGUCUUUUAAUUCUUUUACACUUGGCUUUUGUUAUUGAUGUUAACUUCGAUGUGUGUGCGUGUGCGACUGAAUUCAACUUACAUGCUAUUGAUGCAGCCACCAAAAAGGGGUGGUCCAUCAUCAAUCAACAAGGUUUAUUAUUAUUAAUUUCCAUAUUGAUUUUCUUAAUUAUAAAUAAUACUAAUGCUAUUUCAUAGUUAUAAAUAUAUUAGAAUUAAUCGAAAUCAUUUUUUAGUGUGGCAUGGCUAAAACUACCUUUUUUUUAUUAUAAGUAAUUACUACUUUCACAUUAAGAAAAAUACUCCUAUUUUUAAGGAAAAGUCAAGUACCUGUAGUUGUGAAGACUCGAGCUCACUCCCUUAUGAUAAAUCUUCAUAUUAAUUACGUAAAUAUCCUCUAAAAUUUUAAAUUAGCUAUUCAAAAUUUGAUGUUAUACGGGUAUUUCAUUUAUUUGAGUAGGGGUUAGGGGUCAAUUGGAUACAAAUUCAAAAUUAUCCUUACUUGAGAAGGUGAUAAAAAUUGGGGAUUUAGUUUGGAUGUCAUUAGCUACAAAUAUUAAACUCAUACAUUUAAUUCAAAAUUAGAGGGCUGAUAUAUGCGCAUCAUCGUCCACGUUAUAGUGACACUGCGUCACCAUUCCACAACCUCUCCAAUGAAAAAUUGACAUGCUUCUUGUGCGCAUCUAAUCAGAAUCUUGAAAAUUAAUCACAAAAUUGUACUUUUAUUAUAAAAAGAAUAAAGAAACUCCAAGAAAAAAAAAAGACUUACAUAAAUAGAUUGAAAAAUCUAGAUUUCAAGUUGUCUAUAUUAGCUUGAUAUUUUUAUUAAUAGUCAUCCUCCCAAAAAAAUUCCAUCAAAAUAUAUUUUAAUUUUAUGUUAAUUCAUAAACUUGAAAAAAUCAUUUUAGAAUUAAUUAAAACAUAAUUUAUUGUUGCUCAAAAAAGGUAGAACUUAGUUAUCAGAAAAAAGUGUCUAAAAUAUAUGUUAAAAAAAAAUCAUGGUUGGUUGGACUGAUUGAAUUUUUUUUUCUUUUUUAAGAAUUAAGACAAUUGGAUGGAUUGAGUAAUAAUAAUACAUAUUUAUUUGGCAAAUGGCAGGGAGGCUUUCGUCUGAUGCAGAUUGAUUAGAGAGAAAAUAUAACAAUUUUAAGCUCGUCAGAUUCGAAGCUGCUUACCUGUCGUGUGGGGAUCACUUCCGUGUCUUAUUUUUCUAGAAAAAUCUGGACCAUUGGAUUUACCAUUAGUCAAUAGAGAAAUGUUGAUCUUGAUUCUUGAUCAAGAUCGAAGUUUGAUUCUAACUAACACGAUAUCAGAUUGCGAAGCAAGCAAAUUGAAAGUCACUUGUUCUAUGGAAGAAACACAAGUUCUAAUAAAACAUUCUCAUAGUAAAGUGAAUUACCAUCCAACGAUCCAACUCAUGUUUUCAAAUUGUAAAUUGCAAAUCGUGUGUUUGCUCCAUUACAGAGUUUCUUCAAUCUGAAAUAGCGAAUCAUUUGUGUUCUAGAUUAAUCGUGGGUCUAUAUCCAAAUCUAAAAAUUGACUAACUUGAUUUCUAUUAAAUUCUUAAUCCUAACAAGAAAAAUUGAAGAUUAAAAACGACUAAUUUGGUACCAUACCACUAUUGUAACAUAGGUAGAUCCUCUAUUAAUUGGAGUAAAGAUUGAAUUAUCUCAUUUAUUAAGGUUUAUCAAAAUCUUGUGUCAAAAUCUAUUAAUGAUAUAGGUUCAAGGAUGAAAAAGUCACUGCAUUACUUUUGAGUUCCCAAAUAGAUGAAUGGAUGUUAUUUUUAGAUUCCGGAGAGUCGAAAAUAUUAAGAUAGGUGCUAAAUCGAAUUAAGUUGUAGAUACGAUAGAAAUGGAUUUGGAGAGAUUGGAAUCCUAGGUAAUCCGGUGCACGUUGUCGUGUUAAAUUCUCGUUGACUUCACGUUGACUGAAGCAUUAUUGGAAGAAACAAGUUUAUUGAUGUGAGGCCUUUGAGGUUGUAAGUGUUAAAUAUGAGAAGAAUACCCACACACCCAUUAUCCUAUUACUCUUAUAUCACAUGAAGAGAAUUCAACAUUUGAUUCACACGGAAAAAAUUUGUGAGGAUUGUGAGGGUUGAUGGAAUAUAAUUUAGAUACAAAGUGUUUUACCAGUGCGAUGCUUCGCAAGUGUUCUUGAAUCAAUAUAAACUCACGUUAUUUUCAUAGUGAUUGUUUCAUGUGCACGUGGAUAUAAUCACAUGUCGAGAUUUUUUUCCUUAAAUUAUGGUCUUAUUUAGUAUUAAGGUGUUAUAUCUUUUAAGGUACAAUUAUUGUUGGAAAAAAGUUGCAUCUAUCAAAUAAAAUUAGUACUAUGUGCUAAAUAUAAUUGUUAAAUAAUAAUUUUGACAAAAUUAGUGAAGUUAUAUAGAUUUUUUUUCAUCAUACAAGCAUAAAAUCAAAUCAACUUAACUUCUAAGUUAUAUAUCGGCUACUUAGGGAUGGCAAUGGAUUGGAUCUGACCCAAGAUCCACGUGAUCCAAAUCUAAUCGGAUCGGAUUUGGGUCAGUUUAAAAUGAAUUUGGAUCGGAUUUGGAUAUUGAUGUGCGGAUCUAAGACGGAUCUGGAGCAGGUCUGGAUCUAUCUUAGUAUCUAAAUCCAUAUCCAUAUCCACCCAUCUUUUAAUUUAAUUUUAUUUUAAAAGUUUCUUAACAAUUGUGGAAUUAUAAUGAUAAUGAAUUUUAUUCAUAGCAUAUUAGUGGUAUUUACCAUGCAUUUAAACUCUUUAAAAUUAAAGGUUAGUUUUGUAAAUUUAAAGACUAGCCAGGCCCAAAGCAUGUACAUGCAAUAUUCAAAUUGCAAGCCAAGUAAUACAACCUGGCAAUUUAUUUUAUUAUAUUGGCCAAAUAAUUUUUAAGGAAUAUAGGUAUUCAUAUAUUUUGUCAAAUAUGGUCAUAAUAAAAAUAAUAAAGGACUGAAUAUAAAUCAUAUUUUAUUUAUAUGUCAUUAUCUAAUAUUAUAAGAAUGAGGGUGGGUGUGUUGUAGAUAUUAGAAUGAUGAAUGAGACAAUAGAAUAUUAGAUUGAUCUUACUCCUGCAAUUACUUUUAAAGGAUAUUUUAUUAUCUUAUUUGUUGUUUUGGUGUAAAAGUAUAAGUUACAAUAUUUAUUAUAUUUUUGAGAAAAAUUAUAUAAUUUAUUUGUUAUCAAUACAUUUUAACCUUCAAUUUUCAUUCUAAAAAAUUAUUACUUUUUAAUUGAUGAGUUUUAGAAUUCAUGACAGAUCUAGAGCAGAUUUGGAUUUUAAUUUUUUUUUUCAGAUUUGGAGCAGAUAUAAAUAUUUAUUUCUUUUAUGGAUAUGGAUAUGGAGCGAAAAAUAUAGAUUCAUGAUGGAUCUGGAGCAGAUACGGAUCUUGAUUUUUAUUAUGGAUUUGGAUCUGGAGCAGAGUAGAUCCAACCCAUAUCUGCCCCAUUGCCAUCCCUACGGCUACUGUUAAUCAUAUGUUUUAGUUCUGUAACUUUUAAGUUAUAGUUACCCAAUCUCAAUUCUAAACCAGACCUAUAAAGAUCAAAGAUUUCCUCAUUAAAUUAUAUGUCUUGUGAUUGCUUAUUUAAUUUAUAUUUUUUUUUAUUUAUCUUUAUUAAUUAUAAUCAUCUUUUUAUAAAUUAAAAUUGAAGGAAGUUGAUUGAUGUUGUUGACACACGCACACACGCACACACUCACAAAGAUAUAUUGGAAGUGCUUACGUCGACUCGAAGUUGUUGGGAAUUAAUGCAUGUAUUGAUUUAUUGGGAGUGUUUAAAUGAUUUUUUGAUUUACUUGAUUUAUUGAUUGAAUAUUGUUUGAUUGCUUCAUAUCCAUUCUAGAAAGUUUAUUUCUUUGUGAAAUUUCAACGAAAUAUGUUUUUUUUUUUAAAUAAGGGUGUUCUAAAUAAUUUAAAAAUAUAUAUGGACUAAUUAGAAUUAAUUAUUAGGUAAUUAACUCAAUCUGUAUAGGGUGAAACAACAUUUAUCCUAAUUAUAUCAUGAUAAAUACUUUUCCUAUUAGAAUUAGGAAAUCAUAGGUUUAUUGAAUUGUUUUUUUUUUUCCUUUGCGGAAACGGAUUAGAGAAUUAGAAAACAAUCAUGUUGAUGUCAAAAUCUGAUCUAGUCGGUUAGCGACUUAAUAUCAUAUUACUGCACCAACAUUAAAUUUAUUGGGUGGAGAAUCGACUGGUCAAUUGUCAAGAUGUCCUGCAAUCACUAGCGAUUAACCUACGAAUACCUAAAAUCACAGAAGACGGUAAGAGGCACCGGAAGUUUUUUCGGCGUGAACCUUCCGACGCUCAAGUCAGUUUAUAGGUUUACCAUAAUAAAAAUAAAUAAUUUCUAUUUAAAAAAAAAUAGAGUUCAAAAGCUCAAAAAUAAAACCCAAUCCCAAUAUGAAAAUGAAUUUUUUUUUUUUUUUUUCUAGCUUGGCCGAAUCCUUCUGCCUCCUAAAGAAACAUAACAGAGAAGCAGGUAGCCAUGUUCCCUAGGUAACGCCCCACUCCCCUCUUUUAUUCCUCCCCCUCUCUUCCGUUUCCUUCUUUUGCUCACUAUCCUUCAUAAUUUUUUAUGCUUGUCUUCCCAAAAUAGCCUUUUAAUACACAAGUAAAUGUCUAGGCUUUGGUGAGGAUAGUUUGGUCAUUGCAUUUUACAAGUAAGAUGAGUGGUGGAGAAAAAUGAGGAGUGCACAUAUAACGCUUCAGCAAAUCCCACCAGCAAUUCCAUUUUCUUAAUUAAUUAAUCUCUUCAGCAAAUCCCACCAACUCUUCAGCAAAUCCUAAUGAUAUUAUUAUCAGGUUUAAAACAGUACACAAAUAGUGAAAAGCUAACUAGUCUGUAGAGUAAUUUGCUAAUUGCUAUCUCCUCUCUCCGCGCGCUGAAUAAUUUGUUGCAUGCAAACUUUUUAUUUUAUGCAAAUCGUACGUACUGUAACAUUGGAAUUGAUGUAAAAGCAAAAAUACAAGAAUAUUUAUGUCAAUAAAAAUAGUUUUUUUGGCCUUUUUAAAUAAACACAACGCGAUAUUGCUCUGCUCUACAUUUUUGCUAUCUCUUUAUUCUUCUUUUUUUUUUUGGGCUUCUUAAAGCCUCAAACUUUGAUAACCAAAACUUCAUCGACCUAUGAAAAAAUCUGCAGAUUAGUUUUUAUUAUCGGAAUAAUCAUUUGAGAAUACUAAAACAAAAUAUAAAUAAGAAAAUAGGAGGUUAAAUUAGAGGGGGGAAAAAAGGUAUGUUGGAUAGAUUACUAUAGUUUAAGAAAAAAAAAUCCAAUUGGGAAUUUUUUUCUUUAAUUUUUGUUUUACUUGAUUGAGAUUUCUCCUUGGUCCUUACAGUUUUAAGUUUGGAUGCCGUAGGGUUAGUAAUUUAGUACUUCCUUUGCAAGCUGAGUGCAAGAAUGAAAAUCUUUAAAGAAAUAAAAAAAAAAAAAAAAAGCAUACCAAUAGGUAAUUAUAAAUAACCAUACAUAAACAUAAACAAAAUGAGGUAAUUAUUAAUAUUAUUUUUUGUUUUAUUUCUUACUUGUCUAUUUUAUUUGCUGCUUGAUAACCCGUAAAUACUAAUCUAGUACUGCUAAUUUCAGACACAAAAUUUUUAACUCUAGGCUGCAGUUUUACUCAAAAUGAUGACCACUGGCUUCGCACCAUUUAACCGGCAUACAUUUCUACAAAUUGAACAAGGCUAUUGAUUUUCAUUAUUAUUUUUUAUUUUUUUAUAAAUUACUAUUUUAAUUUUCACUUUUCAUUGGGUUGUUUAACGGAUUAGUGAAGUUGGUGGUCGUGAUGCACUCACAAGGUACAAUUUUAUUUUAUAAUUUCAAAUUUGUAUUUUAAAAUGCAGGUACAUUAUGUAUACAUAAUUAUUGAUUUUCGUAUGUGGGUGUUUUGAAAUAUUGCUAAAAGACCAAACUUUAAUAAACUAUUUUUCAUCUUUUUUUUUUCCUAAAGUUUAAGUGAUAUCCGCAUUUUAAAUUCAUGUGGAACAAAAGCUAAUGUAUGCACAAAAUCCUUUUAUUUUUUCCGAGAAAAAUGGUUAAGAGAAGAAGAUUUUUCUCUUGAAAAAGAAAAACUAAUACGAUGCAAGCAUAGGAAAGAGGUCAGUGUUUUGGAUUAGAAUUUAGUAUUGAGCUGAAUUUUAUACUAAACUCUUUUAUAGUACUGCGAUUAAUAAACUCAUGAUUUGCUUUUGCUUUUACCUCAAGUGAAAGAAAGAGGAAACCUUUUGUUUUUUGUUUGAUUCUUGACUAUAGGUGUUACCUAUAUAGAGAGUUGAGGUAGCUGCCUUAAGUGAUGGUGAUAAAAAGAUUAAGCAGCGCACACAAUCUUACUGUCGUCCAGACCAUCCAGCUGUGAUGACUCUUGUUUUUUGGUUACAUUAGCUUUAGUGGAACGGAGGGCCAAUUUAACAAAGACUAGAUUUGGUGGCUUACUAUAAUGCUUAUUCUCAGGGAAUCUAAUGUUAUAAGAUGAUUUAAUGAUCUUCUAUGAUUGUGAGUAGUAUAGUAUAAUUGAAAAGAGCUUGGGCUCCUAUGAUGAAUAUUUAAUAGUAACACAGUACUGUUAUUGAAAAAAACACAGUUACAAUAAACUCUUCAUUUAUUCAUUGUGGAGAUUGAAUGGCAAACAGAGAAUAAAAUGAAGCAGAGGAAUCUCAUUGCCAGUAAAAUUGACCCUCUUUAAUGUUAUAUGGCACAGGUGUGUGUACAGCAAGAUCAAGUUACUUGCAGUUUUUAUUGUAAAAUAUAUAGGUUAUGACCAUGAUCAUUGUAGUUAGGUUUUGAUGAUUUUAGAUGCUUUUUUUAUUUUUUUUAAAAUUGUGACACCUUUGAUUUAUGGUAGUUUUGCAGAAGAAAAAAAUAUAUAUAAAAAUUAGGAGGGAUGAGUUAACUAACGAUUGCAAUCAUUACAGUAAUGUUGAUGAGUGAUACAUCAUUUGAAAUUUACUUGUCAGUUGCUGAAAUGAUGAAAAAAAACAGUAAACAAUAGCAGUAAUAUUUUUUGGCAAUAUAAAAAAUUAUUGCGGUUAUUUUUUGGCAAUAUAAAAAAAUUUUAGCAAAUAAAAAUUAAUUUUUUUCCGAUUAACUAAAAAAUUAAUUAAAAACUUCUGCGAUGGCAUUUUUUAUGGGUGCAUAUACCCUCCCUUUAAAAGAAAAAAUAAUAAUUAAUACUUAAUAUAGUAUUAAAUACGAAAAUAUCAAUAUUUGACUACACAAAUUUAAUAGUCUUGUGUAAUUAGUGAGUGAGAGAUUGGGUGUAUUGGAGUUUUGGGUAGUGAGCCAAAAUAUUACAAUACUUGUAAUCUUUAUUUCACUAGUGAAAUAUUUUCCUUCUGUUUUUGCCCGUGGACGUAGGCUAAAAGCCGAACCACGUAAUUUCUGGUGUCCUCUAUUGUACUUGUUCUUUAUUUGCUUCCAAUUUUAUUUUAACUGCGCGUCUGCUUCACCCAUCAAUUUCCUAACAAAUCUUGAUCCCAUGCACACGCAAAUAUGUUAAUUUCUAUACGCUUCACUUACCUGUAGAAUCAAUUAUCUAAAAUGCAAGUUUGUGGCCACAAAAAAAGCCAAAGAAAGAAGAUAAUAACAAUUGACUUGUAUAUUAUACUCAUACAAUCCACUCGACAUAAUGAUAUCAUUUUAAUAAGGCAAUGGCUGAUGAUCUCCAUUGAAAAACUAAUUCAAUUUUUUUGCUUCAUUUAACUUUUUGGUUGUUGAAAAUAACCUUAAUUAUCAAAUAAUUGGAGAAAGAGUAAAGAACAUUUAACAAAUUUAUGUGCAAAAAAAAAAAAAAAGAAGUUGAAGAGAAAGGGUGCUUGCAGAAGUGGGUGUCAAAGAAACAUCGGUCCAUAAGAAUUAUUGCGGUUAUUUUUUGGCAAUAUAAAAUAUUUAUAGCAAGUAAAAAUUAAAUUUUUUCCGAUUUACUAAAAAAUUAACUAAAAACUUCUGCCACAACAUUUUUUAUGGGUACAUAUACCCUCCCUUUAAAAAAAAAAUAAUAAUUAAUGCUUAAUAUAGUAUUAAAUACCAAAAUAUCAAUAUUUGGCUACUCAAAUUUAUAUCAUUAGGUCCUUAAAAUUAAAAAUUGAUGAUACAAAAGGAAAUAUAUAUAAAUUUCAUUCUCAUGGAAAGGAUUCUCUUAUAAUCUUAUAAUAUUUGAGUUUUGAAAUUUUUUGAAGCAAAUGUAAUUUUAUUUGUGUACAAUCAAUAUUUACUUAUUUAUUAUAUUUUAAUUUGUUAACUAUCAAUCAUUUAAGUAUAUUUAGUCAGAAAAAUUAUAUCAAGAGAGAAUCCUAAUUUCACGCAAACACAAAUACAAGAUAAAUAUGUCAAUUUCUAUACUAUCCACUUUCCUGUAGAAUCAAUUAUCUAAAAUGCAAGUUUGUGGCUACCGAAAACUCGCCAAAGAAAGAAGAUAAUAACAAUUGAGCAUUGAUAGCAAAACUAAUGCAUCAUUUUCUUCUUGACUUGAUGAGAUGGUGCCAUUACAAAAAAAAAAGUACCUUAAUUGACGGGCACUGAGUGAUGUGAAUACUACCAGCCAGUUCAUCUCUUCCAGUCUUGCUUAAUCACAAUCACAAACACCACGAGAUUGACAUUUGCAUUAUAUAUAUCUUCAGCAAUCGAAACACCUUGCAUUACCAAAUUAACCGGUAACAAACAAAGCAAUCUUUCAUGGAGAGAAACUUUAGUCUCAGUAUGAUCACUUUGUCAUUAACCCACUACCUGCUUCUUUGCUUGGUUGUUGCAGCAGCAGCAGCCGCAAGCAACAAUAUUACCACAGACCAACAAGCUCUUCUUGCCCUGAAAGAUCAUAUAACUUAUGAUCCAACCAACCUUUUUGCCCAUAAUUGGACCUCGAAUACCUCUGUUUGUACCUGGAUUGGCAUCACUUGUGAUGUCAAUAGCCAUAGAGUCACAGCCUUAGAUAUUUCUCAAUUCAAUCUACAAGGCACCAUCCCUCCUCAACUUGGAAACCUUUCUUCACUUACAACGCUUAAUCUUAGUCAUAACAAGCUUUCUGGAGACGUUCCAUCCUCCAUCUACACCAUGCAUUCGCUAAAAUUUCUUGACUUCACUGAUAACCAGCUCUCUGGUUCAGUGUCUUCCUUCGUCUUCAACAUGUCUUCAAUAUUAGAAAUUCUUUUGACCAAUAACAGAUUUUCUGGUGAGCUUCCGAAAAAUAUUUGCAACUAUCUUCCUUAUUUGAAAGCCCUUUUCUUAAACAAAAACAUGUUUCAUGGCAAAAUUCCUUCUGCUUUAUCAAAGUGCAAACAACUGCAAAAAUUAAAUUUGCAGUUCAAUAAUUUAUCCGGUGCAAUACCGAAAGAAAUCGGCAACUUGACUAUGCUCAAAGGCAUAUAUCUCGAAUACAACAAACUCCACGGUAUGUUCAUAAUACUAUGUAAAUGUUUUAAUUUCUCAAUUGUUAUUUUCUUGAAUACUUUAGACAAGAUCUUGUAAGGGAGAUAUUUUUGGAUCUGUGUUAAUUUGCCAGGUGAGAUACCCCACGAAAUCGCUAAUCUUCGAAAUCUAGAGGAUUUAUUGCUUGGAAUGAACAACCUAGUUGGUGUGUUACCAGCUCCAAUCUUCAACAUGUCAACACUGAAAUUAUUUGACCUCAUAAAUAACUCUCUCUCCGGAAGUCUUCCAUCAAGAAUAGACCUUUCACUUCCAACUGUUGAGUUUUUUGGCUUGGCACUUAAUAGAUUUUCUGGAACCAUUCCUAGUUCCAUCACCAAUGCUUCUAAGCUCACCGUUCUAGCGUUGGGAGAGAACACAUUUUCGGGCUUCAUUCCAAACACAAUUGGUAAUUUAAGAAACCUUGAGUGGCUCAGCUUGGAGAAUAAUUACUUGAAAUCUUCAACCUCAAAAUUGAGCUUUCUUUCCUCUUUGGCAAAUUGCAAGAAAUUAAGAUUCUUAAACUUAGCAGGCAAUCCACUUGACGGCUUCCUUCCAAGUUCAAUAGGUAAUCUUUCUGUGUCUUUGGAAACACUUUUCAUCGGCAAUUGCAGUAUUAGUGGCAACAUUCCUCAAGCAAUUAGCAAUUUAAGCAACUUGUUGACCUUAGUAUUAGAAGGCAAUAAAUUGACUGGACCAAUUCCAAUUACAUUUGGCCGACUACAGAAACUCCAAGGCUUAGAUCUUGCAUUCAAUAAGUUGGUAGGUUCAUUCCCAGAUGAGCUUUGCCAUCUAGCAAGGCUGGAUCAAUUGGUCUUAUUUGGCAAUAAGCUUUCAGGAUCUAUACCUUCAUGCCUAAGUAAUCUCACUUCUCUAAGAUCUCUCUACUUAGGGUCCAAUAGGUUAACUUCUGUUAUUCCCUCAACUUUCUGGAGCCUAAAAUACAUCUUGUUCUUUGACUUUUCAUCAAAUUUCUUGGUUGGUACUCUUUCUUUCGACAUAGGUAAUUUGAAGGUGCUUCUAGGAAUAAAUUUAUCAGAAAAUAACUUAUCGGGUGAUAUGCCAGCCACAAUUGGAGGACUGAAAGAUCUUCAAUUUAUGGACCUAGCAUUUAAUAGAUUGGAAGGCCCAAUUCCUGAAUCAUUUGGUGACUUGACAAGUUUGGAGGUUUUGAAUUUGUCAAAAAAUAAAAUCUCUGGGUCUAUUCCAACAUCCAUGGAGAAACUCAUUUACCUUCGAGAGUUAAAUCUCUCUUUCAAUAAACUUGAAGGUGAGAUUCCUAGUGGAGGAAUUUUUACCAACUUCACAGCUGAGUCAUUUAUGGGAAAUGAGUUAUUGUGUGGUUUACCAAAUCUUCAAGUCCAACCAUGCAAACUUAGCAAGCCUAGGACAGAACAUAAAUCAAGGAAAAAGAUACUUCUCAUUGUGAUUGUUUUGCCAUUGAGUAUUGCUCUAACGAUAGCAAUCACUCUAGCUCUCAAAUCUAAGCUGAUCGAAUGUAGAAAAAGAGGCACAGAGUUAUCAAAUGAUAGUAUCUUGUCAUCAGAAGCAACACUAAGAAGAUUUUUAUACUUAGAACUUUUACAAGCAACAGAUAAUUUUGCUGAAAACAACAUAAUUGGCAGAGGAGGUUUUGGUUCCGUUUAUGGAGCAAGACUUGAAGAUGGGAUGAAGAUUGCAAUAAAAGUGUUUCACCAGCAAUGUGCAAGCGCAUUGAAGAGUUUUGAGGCUGAAUGUGAAGUGUUAAAAAAUAUUCACCAUCGAAACCUUAUCAAAGUUAUCAGCAGUUGCUCGAACGAUGACUUCAAAGCAUUAGUCCUAGAAUACAUGUCCAACGGGAGCUUGGAGGAUUGGCUGCAUUCUAGCAAUUAUGUGCUGAAUAUAUUUCAGAGGUUGAACAUAAUGAUUGACGUUGCAUCAGCUUUAGAAUAUCUCCACUUCGAUCAUUCAACUGCUAUUAUUCAUUGUGACUUAAAGCCUAGUAAUGUAUUGUUGGACGAAAAUAUGGUUGCUCAUUUGAGUGAUUUUGGCAUAGCAAAGCUUUUAAGUGGAGAGGAUGAGUCUACGAUACGAACAAAAACCCUUGCCACUCUAGGUUAUAUGGCACCAGGUUUGCUUCAAACAACUUUCGUUUUUAGUUCAUUUUAAAUUUUCCAACUUAUUGAUUUUUACAAUCCUCACAUCAAAAUGUUAUUGAUUAUUUAUCUAAUUGUGAAAUUAAUUUGAUUCAUAGAGUAUGGCAUAGGAGGAGAAGUAUCUACAAAAAGUGAUGUUUAUAGCUAUGGGAUUAUGUUGAUGGAAACUUUUACCAAGAAAAAACCCACAGAUGAAAUUUUUGUUGGAGAAUUGAGCUUAAAGCGUUGGGUUAAUGACUUGCUUCCUAAUUCAUUAGUGGAAGUUGUGGACAAAACUCUGCUAAGUGGAGAGGAAAAACAUUCUGCAGCAAAGGAGCAAUGUCUGUUGUCUAUCUUUAGUUUGGCUCUGGAGUGUACAAUGGAAUCACCGGAAAAGAGGAUUAAUGCAAAAGAUAUUGUUACCGGAUUACUCAAGAUAAGAGACACAUUGAGUAAAAGGAUAGGAAAUUUAAGUUAAUUUCGUUUGCUUUCAUUGAUAGUUAAUUCGAAUUCAUGUAAUAAGUGUAAGAACCUUAUAUCUUUUACUUUGAUUUUUUUUUUCUUGAGAAAACUGUUGUAGUCAUCUUGUUUCCAUGGGCGGAGUUGAUUUAGUUCUUCCAAGAAAUGCUACUGAUGACAUUUGUUUUAUACUUUCUCUUUUUUUUUGCAUGUGUUUAGGUAGAAUAGUGGUUUGGUUGCACUCUAAGAAGUCUAACUACACUAAAAGAAUAUGAUUUAAUUUAUUAAACAAAACUUCAAGUUCAAGAAAAGUAUCUCAUUGCCCCCAAUGCUUUGGACACCUAUUGGUAGGUUUGUACGUGUCCUCAACUUUUUUUUGGAGCACAAAAUUCGAGUCCCAUAAAGGCUCAAACAUUCCUUUCCUUCAUCCCGAGGGCGCCUUCUGUCCUCUGUUUUCUGUUUCCACACACAAAUAGCAAAAAGAAAUUAGAAUGACAACUGGGACAUAUAUAAGAGUGAAAUAAUUAAAAAAAUUAUGCUUUUUUGUCUGUCGUGUUAAAAUCGUAAGUACCGAAGUACUGUGAAAGAGAUUAAUUUACAGAAACUGAAGCCAAGGGUUCAAAAAAAACUAUUGAUGUAGGUAGAAUGCAAUGUCAUAUUCAUACAGAGAUGAAGUAUAUUAUUUACGGCUGGUAAGGACUAAGAAUUGAUGUAGCUAGAAUGCAAAGAUGAUGAGGUAUGUUGUACACUAUUGUUUUUAUUCUACAAUCAAUCUUGACCCCUGAUGCUUGGCUCUCAAUCUUGUCCAUUGAUCUUCUCUGAUUUUGGAGACUUGAAGACCUUUCAGUAUCAUGCCUUGUUGUUGGUGUCUUCCGUGCUGUAGAAUUCAUAUACAAGUUUUCCCGCCGACUUGCCAAGUAUUUGUUCAUUGAUGCAUUUUAUCAAACAGUUGGCCUGCUCAGAGCAAACAGCUCCUGUUUUAACUCCCCCUCCGUAGCUCAACUAUCUGGGAAGACAAUUAAUUGAGCUUGUUUCACAAUUAUAUGAAUCUGAAAGUUCAAUUAUAUCCUCUAAUGGAGAGAACUCAUUGCCUCAGUAUGAUCACUGUGUCAUCAACCCACUCCCCGCUUCUUUGCUUGGUUGUUGCAGCAAGCAACAAUUUUACCACAGAUCAACAAUAGUUUGUCCAUUUGUUCCAGUGAGGUCGUCAUUAAAAAUUAAUUUUCAUAUUGAUUUUCUUAAUUAUAAAUAAUACUAAUGAUAUUUCAUAGUUAUAAAUAUAUUAGAAUUAAUCGAAAUCAUUUUUUAGUGCGGCAUGGCUAAAACUACCUUUUUUUUUUUUAAGUAAUUACUACUUCAAGGAAAAUACUCCUAUUUUCAAGGAAAAGUCAAGUACCCGUAGUUGUGAAGACUCGAGCUCACCCUCUUAUGAUAAAUCUUCUUAUCAAUUACAUAAAUAUCCUCUAAAUUUUUAGUUAACUAUUCAAAAUUCGAUGUUAUACGGGUAUUUCAUUUAUUUGAGUAGGGGUUCGGGGUCAAUUGGAUACAAAUUCAAAAUUAUCCUUACUUGAGAAGGUGAUAAAAAUUGGGGAUUUAGUUUGGAUGCAUUAGCUACAAAUAUUAAACUCAUACAUCUAAUUCAAAAUUAGAGGGCUGAUAUAUGUGCAUCCUCGUGCACAUUAUAGUGACACGUGUCACCAUCCUACAACCUAUCCAAUGAAAAAUUGACAUGCAUCUUGUGCGCUUCUGAUCAAAAUCCUGAAAAUUAAUCACAAAGUUAUACUUUUAUUAUAAAAAGAAUAAAGAAACUCCAAAAAAAAAAAAAGACUUACAUAUAUAAAUAGUUUGAAUAAUCUAGAUUCCAAGUUGUCUAUAUUAGCUUGAUCUUUUUAUAAAUAGUCAUCUUCGAAAAAAAAUUCCACCAACAUAUAUUUUAAUUUUAUGUUAAUUAAUAAAUAGAAAAAAAUCAUUUUAGAAUUAAUUAAAACAUUAUUUAUUGUUGCCAAAAAAAGGAAGAAUUUAGUGAUAAGAAAAAAGUGUCUCAAAUAUACGUUAAAAAAAUUAAUCAUGGUGGGUUCGAUUGAUUGAAUUUUUUUUUUUAAUCUUUUUCUUUUUUAAGAAUUAAGACAAUUGGAUUGAUUGAGUAAUAAUAAAAUAUAUUUAUUUGGCAAAUGGCAGGUAGGCUUUCUUCUGAUGCAGAUUGAUUAUAGAGAAUAUACAACAAUUUUAAGCUCGUCAGAUUCGGAACCUGCUUAUCUGUCGUGUGGGGAUCACUUCCGUGUCUUAUUUUUCUAGAAAAAUCUGGACCAUUAGGCAGUAGAGAAAUGUUGAUCUUGAUUCCUGAUCAGGAUCGAAGUUUGAUUCUAUCUAACAUGAUAUCAGAUUGCGAAGCAGGCUAGUAUGUAAAUUUCUUUUAUCUUUUAGAGGAAAAUGGGCAAGAGAAGAAGAUUUGGCAAAGGAAUUGCAACCGCAUUUCUAGUAUGUUCUGAUCAGAGAAGCGAAAUCCAUCACGGUCUUUUAUCUUUACCCAUGUGGAGAAAUCAAGGGAUUUCGAAUCAGAGAAGCGAUGGGAUUUAGUUCUGAUCUGGGAUUUUGGAGACUUAGGGAGUGUGCGGUCUUGGACCAACAUUGAUGACGAUGACGCUUCAAAUUCAAUGACUUGAAAGCAGAAAACAAAGACAGACAAAAACAGACAUGCACUACAGCAAGAAAGAUUGACUGAAUCUUGGGUUACUGUGUCUGUGGUCUCAAAUGAAACACAAGUGGGAAGCCUUGCUGCAGUUUCAGCUUUGGUUUGUGUUUGAAGUUUUGAAUGUAAAAAGAGAACCGAGCAUGUGGUUGCCGACAAGAAUGGCCUGAGGUUUCUUAAGCUUCAUUGUAAUGUUACAACUGCUACUAAUUUGGUGGGGUGGGAGGUCGCUGGGUCGCUGUCAGUCCAUUUGCUUCUUUUCUUUCUUUUUGUUAUUUGUUGAGUUUUUUCCAUUUCUACUUUUCUUAAUAUAUAAAUUAUCAUUUUUUUAACAUGCAAAAUAUAUAGAACAUUUUAUGAGUUUAUAAAUAAAAAUUAUAUUAUGGGAUAAUAGUGAAUGAGUUCCUGGUGCUUUGGAGUUCUUUAAAUUAAGGGCCCAGUUUGUCCAUUUGUUUUAGUUAGGUCCUUCUUAAAAAUUGAUUUUCUUAAUUAUAACUAAUACUAAUGAUAUUUCAUAGUUAUAAAUAUAUUAGAAUUAAUCCAAAAUAUUUUUUAGCGUGGCAUGGCUAAAACUACCUUUUUCUAUAAGUAAUCACUACUUUUGCAUUAAGGAAAAUAUUCCUAUUUAAAAAAAAAUUGAAUAUCUAUAGUUGUGAGGACUCGAACUCACUCGCUUAUGAUAAAUCUUUGUUGAUGCGAGAUUCUGGUUACCCACUCGACCACGUCCAGGAUCUCUGCUCAAUCAACUAACUCGACCACGAUCAGGAUCUCUCCUCGUAUGCUUUCUUCUUCAAAAAUUCCUGCGUACACAGAAACAAGUCAGAGCACGCCAGUUGUUUUCCCGGCGUAAACCCUCCGACGCUCAAGUCAGAUAUGAAGGUUUUGUGUUCCUGGGAACGUUAGCCACUAGUCUUAAGCUUUGCUUUUGGUAUCGAUUGCUGAAUGCUCUCUUUAUCUCAAUUUCCGUAUUAAAAGUUAACCCUUUUACCUUCGUUGGCUGCCUUUUUAUAGGCUCCACCUGAGUCCAGAUCCUCCCCUCCAUUCACGCCCGUUACCUUCCCACCUCUCGAAAGUGGAUGCUUUGUUUCCGUAAUCGUGGGUGAUUGCAUGGCCUUCGUGCCUCGAUUCUCAGGCUGGAGAGUACGUCUCGCCAACUGUCGUUGACUGGGUCUCCUCGCCUCAAACCUUAGCAGGAAUGGCUUUAUGCUUCUAACAAGAGACCGGCUUCGCGGAUGGCGUAUUCAUGGACGAGCAGAUAUUCCUGCUUAUGUUCCAAUGCUACCAGACCUCUGCUCAUCACGGCUGGUCUCGUCGAAGUACAUCCCCCAAACACCGGUCCCCCAGUUUCUGGUGUUGGGUAACAUAGUGAGCCAACAGUAGAAACUCGACAGUUCUUGCUCGCGCGAGAUAGGAAAAGACUGCCAAGAGUCGUGUCGCAUUUAAUGGCGGAUGAGGUGAUGUGGCAGAAAUCUACCCCUCCAUUUGAAUUUCAAACCGACGGUUACGAAACCCUAGGGAUUUGUGCCGUUAAAUGCCGGCAGCCCAAGAGUUUGUUCUUCAUUAGGAAAACCCAAAACCCCCAAAAGAGGAACUCGUCUUUUACUCCGUUUCUGUCUCUCCUGCGAAUGAGUCCUUCCUCUCCCUCGGCGUAAAAGCUUCCUUCCUUGUCUCUCUCCGACUAAGUCACAACUUCAGGUACUAUUUCUUUUUUCCUCGGUCGUGGAUAGUUGUAAACAAUUUCUUUUACAUUUUGCUUGGGUAGUGUUUGGUGGUGCAGUUCUGGUUAUAGUUUAGGGAAUGUCGAAAGGUAAGGAGAAAGUCAUUGAGAUUGAUGACGACGAGUUAGACUUCUUGCCUAGUCUGCUCGCCGAUUCUGCUUUCGACACCGGGAUCCCCUUAGAACCCGUUAGACCUAAUGUUGCGACUAGUGCUAGGAGGAUGUCCCCCCAAGUAACCUCCUCAACUGGAAAUAGCGACGACGAGGGUUCUUCUGGUUCGGAAGACACUUUGAGUGAAGAUCAGGGAAAUGAUUCUGGUGAGAUGUCCUCACCAGGAACAUCGUGACCAGAUAGGAGGGGCAUAGUAGGAGGUAGAGCUCUAUCACAGAAUUACACUAUUGAUUUUAUGACGUGCACGACCACAGUAGAUGAGCUAGUUAGUCUCCGGGCUAGAUACGGCAUCCCUGAUGAAAUUUCCCUUAGGAUCCCAGGAAAAAAAGAUACCCCCAGCCGGCCUCCUAGGGGAUAUAUUACUCUGUUUCUAGAGAGUUUUAAACUUGGGCUAAGGUACCCCAUACAACCCUACUUUGCCCGAAUACUCAAUGGGUUGAAUUUAGCUCCUGGUCAACUGAACCCCAAUGGGUGGUGAGUACUUUCUGGUCUGUUCAUAUUGUGAGACAGAUGUUGCCAAAGCGAGCCAACAAUUGACGAGGUGAAGCACCUGUACCAGCUAAAGAGCAGCCCCAAAGAUGUCGGCUGGUAUUACUUCCAGUCUAGUACCAAGACCAGGAAACCCAUAACCGAUCUUCCAACUGGUGGUGGUAGGACUUGGAAGAAAAAAUUCUUUUUUGCUGGGGGUCCCUGGGGUCAAGUUGCACAGAUUGACGAGAAGGAUUACCGUGUCCCACCUCAUUUCGUGGUCCCAGGUUGCCUACUCGCUUAAGAUGUUUUGUCUCCAUAGUCGUUCUCAUUUUGCUGAUUUGUUUCUAAUCCAAAAUCUGUUCGCAUUGCAGGUUCCUGGGGUGUGCACUACCAGCUUAAACCCGAGCCGCUCAAGCGAGUCGAAGCUGUACUGGCCAAUUUCUACACGAACCGAGAGCUGCUAACUACUUUCAAUUUGGUCGAAUCUCGUUUGGUGUCUACCGGCCAUAAAAUGGAGGAUGCUGUGAUCGGGGCUCUGACUCGGAAACGUCCCCAACCUCAUGCUACCAAGCAGGACCAGAAUAAAUAUGCUCCCACUGCGAAGCGGGUGAACAUUGUGCAGCAGGUUCCUCCCUUGAAGACCCUACCACCUCCUUCUGCCAAAGUCGGAGAAACUAGCGGAGCAGCCACCGAUCCCGCUUCCUCUUAUCCUCCAGUCGGGCCGAGAUCUCGUUUAUCUGACAAUCGAGCAAAACAUUUGGUCCCCUAUAUCAACGAGUUCUCUAAACUCGUGAGCAAGAGGGACCUAGAGGACUUUGACGACAGCACCUUGGGUGAGCUGGUGGGGGCCAUGCAAUAUAGCGCUUUCCAUCUCGACUGUAUGGCCACUUACUACAAGGCCAAGGUUGGUCGUUAUGACCGAAAGAUGAAGGAGGACAUUCAAUCGGCCAUGAUCAAAGCUGAUGCUGCCGAGAAGAAAGCAGGGGACUUGAAUCUCGAGAAUUUGAAGUUGAUAGAGCGAGAAUCUCUUGCUCAAGCAAAAGCCAUUACUCUCGAGGAUGAGCUAGCUAAGGUCAAGGAGGAUCUGCAAAGACAGCAGGCUAUGUACGAGGCCCAGCUCGAAUCUCUUCGGGAUUCCCACAAGGUUUAGGUCGAGAACCUGGAGAAGGAAGCUGAUAAUCAAUAUGACCAGGGGCUUCAGCACUCCUAUCAUUGCAUCAUGGCCGUCCUUGGGAAGCAGCAUCCGGAUAUGAAAAUGGACGAGCUUGCUACUGGUGUUGCUCAGCAUAUGGAUGAGGAGGCAGCAAAAGAGGACGCCGAAGAGGUGGAGCCAACUGAGGUUGAGGAGGGAAACACUCCUCCUCGUGCAAUCCUUGCUGAUGUCGCUGAGGCGAGUACCCCCCGAAUGCAACUGGUGAUACCCCCUGCCCCUGAGGUGGACCAGCCAACCAAGGCUGCUCGGCUUACUGACCCGCCGUCCUCUUGAUUGUAUUUUGUGUUGUAGUUGCUUUCUUGAAACGCUAUAUGUUAUGACUAGCAGUUUUUUCUGGUUGUUGAUUAAUAAAUAAGAAUGUUCUCAUUUGCUUUCUCGUCGUAAAUCAUUUUAAGUUUGAGGGUCUACUUGCCUUCUCUUGUACUAGCAGUUCUUGACACGCUUGGCUUCUGGUCUCGCCAUAGAACAUGCUUGUGACUUGGUGAGCCUUUGCAUGCCUUAGAAAUUUUUUCAAUGUUGGGAUUCUGCUCGCCUUCGCUUGGUCGAGCAGAUCUUGGCACGCUUGGCUUUUGGUCUCGCCAUAAAAACAGGCUUUGAAAAUUGGUGAGCCUUUGCAUGCCUUAGAAAUUUUUUCAAUGCUUGGGAUUUUGCUCGCCGUCGCUUGGUCGAGCAGAUCCUGGCACGCUUAGCUUUUGGUCUCGCCAUAAAAUAGGCUUUGAGACUUGGUGAGCCUUUGUAUGCCUUCGAAAUUUUUUCAAUGAUAGGGAUUCUGCUCGUCGUCGCUUGGUCGAGCAGAUCCUGGCACACUUGGCUUCUAGUCUCGCCAUAAAACAGGCUUUGAGACUUGGUGAGCCUUUGCAUGCCUUAGAAAUUUUUUCAAUGCUUGGGAUUCUGCUCGCCGUUGCUUGGUUGAGCAGAUCCUGGCACGCUUGGUUUCUGGUCUCGCCAUAAAACAGGUUUUGAGACUUGGUGAGCCUUUGCAUGCCUUAGAAAUUUUUUGCACAGUUACAAGUGAAUGAAAUUCCUCGACGUUUCAUUAAUUACAGAAUUCAACUUACAUAGGAAUGCAUAGCAACGAGAACAAAUUAAAGUAAUUUUUGAACAUGAGCAAGUCUUACUGGAAAUAUUUCCUGAGGUGCGCUGCGUUCCAUAGGCGUUUCACCUCGUGGCCAUCCGUGCGAACAAGCUUGUAAGCUCCGAGUCCCACUAUCUGCUUGACCCUGUAUAGCCCCUGCCAAUUCGGUCCAAGCACUCCUUGAGUCGAGUCUUUGGUGUUCUGAUUCACUCUCCUUAGCACCCAAUCUCCGACCCUAAACUGCCGUACAUUCACCUUCUGGUUAUAAUACCGAGCAACCCUCUGCUGGUAAAUGGCUAAUCGCUUCGAUGCUUGCUCCCUCUUCUCUACAAGCAAAUUCAGAUUCAAGCACAUCUGCUCGUUGUUAUCUUGCUCAUUGAAAUGAUCUGUCCGGUGCGUGGUCGUUCCUAUCUCGGCUGGUACGACCGCUUCAUGUCCGAAGGCCAAGGCGAACGGUGUUUCUCCAGUUGCUGUUUUGUAGGUUGUCCUGUAUGCCCAUAAAACACAUGAUAGCUCAUCAACCCAUGCUCCAUUUUUUGCUCCAAGCCUGGUUUUCAAAAGCCUCUUGAUCGUCUUGUUGGCUGCUUCUACUUGUCCAUUGGAUUGAGGGUGAGCAAGCGAGCAGUACUUCAACUCUAUCCCGAGGUUCUGGCAGAAAUCCCUGAAACUGUGAUUAUCGAACUGCCUGCCAUUAUCCAUUACCAAGGCAUAGGGGAUCCCGUACCGACAGACCAGGUUUCUCCAUACGAAGUCUGUUGUCUUCUUCUCUGUGAUCUUGCUGAGGGCUUCUACUUCUAUCCACUUCAUGAAGUAGUCUAUUGCUACUAUUCCAUGUGUUGUUGCUCCUCGUCCCCUUGGCAACGGCCCGAUCAGAUCAAUUCCCCACUGAGCAAAUGGCCAAGGGGAGGCUAUAGAGGUGAGCUUCUCUGGUGUUUGGCUGGAGAAACUUGCAAAACUCUGGCAGCUUAAGCAGCUCCUGGUCUUCUCCUGCGCAUCCUGGUGCAUUGUCGGCCAGAAAUAUCCCUGCCUUAGAACCUUAUGGGCAAGGGACCUCCCACCAGAAUGGUUUCCGCAAAUUCCUUCAUGUACUUCUCUCAGUACGUAGUCUGCGUUGUCCUCAUCUAAGCACCGAAGGAACGUGAGUGUAUAUCCUCGCCGAUAUAGCACCCCAUCAAUCAUUGUGUACCUUGAGUCUUGGGCUCUAAUCUUCCGAGCUCGUAGCUUAUCUGGUGGUAACACCCCGUCUCUGAUAUAUGAAAUUAUCGGAUCCAUCCACGAGCCUUUUUGUUCUAUCUGCAUCACCUUCAAAUUCUGCUCGAUGCUAGGGUUGGUUUUCACUUCCAAAGGGACCGUCUUAGGCAUUUUAGGGUCUGCUACAACUGUCAUCCUGGCCAGAAUAUCGGCUCGACUAUUUUGUUCCCUUGGGAUUUGUAUCAACUUAACCGCUUCGAACUUCCUCAUCAUCUGCCUGACUUUCUUCAAGUACUGCUCCAUCUUCUCAUCUCUCGGUUGAAAACUUUCACUGACAUGAUUUGCGACCAGCUGAGAAUAAGUUCUGAUCUUCACCCUAUCUGCUUUCAUUGCCUUAGCCAAUUCCAAACCUGCUAUCAAGGCUUCGUAUUCUGCCUGGUUAUUUGUGGCUGUGAACUCUAACUUUACAGCAUAAGAAAUCUCCUCCCCCUCUGGGUCUUUUAAGACAAUUUCUGCUCCUGAUCCUUGCUCACCUGAUGACCCAUCUACAGACAUCUGCCAUACUCGAGCUUUGCUGCUAUCUGUAGCGGUGUCCAGUUGGUCCAAACAUACUUCAAGCUCCGCGAAUUCUGCUAUGAAAUCGGCCGUUGCCUGAGCCUUUAUUGCUGCUCGGGGUUUGUAAUCUAUGUCGAACUCGCUAAGCUCUAUAGCCCACUUCACGAGCCGACCAGAAGCAUCUGGCUUGUGCAGAGUUUGACGCAAUGGCUGGUUUGUUAUUACCGUGACGGGGAAUGCUUGAAAGUACGGCCUCAGCUUCCGAGCAGCAACCACAAGGGCGAGUGUCCAUUUCUCCACCAAUGGGUAUCUGGUCUCGGCAUCGAGCAGGGUCUUGUUGGUGAAGUAUAUCGGGUACUGAACCCCUUCUUCUUCUCUUACUAGAACAGAACUUGCAGCAUGAUUUGAUACCGCCAAAUAUAAGAACAACCUAUCGUCAUCCCUUAGUGUGGACAGCAAAGGUGCUUGUUGCAAGUACUGCUUCAAGUUCUGGAAGGCUUCUUCACAUUCUGGGGUCCAUUCUGUAUUCUUUCCUCUCCUUAUCACUUGGAAAAAUGGCUGACACUUAUCUGUAGCCUUGGAUAUGAAUCGGCUUAAUGCCGCCAACCUCCCCGUAAGGCUCUGUGUCUCCUUCAGGUUACGAGGUGACCUCAUCUGCACGAUCGCCUGGAUCUUCUCAAGAUUUGCCUCGAUCCUGCUCGAACAUGGGGAUUUGGUUGUAUCCCGAGAAUGCGUCCAUGAAGCUGAGCAAGCCAUGUCCGGCUUUUAAGUCUACAAGCUGGUCAAUCUUUGGUAAUGGAAAGCUGUCUUUCGGGCACGCCUUGUUGAGGCCCGUGAAAUCCACACACAUCCUCCACUUGCCAUUAGCCUUUUUUACUAACACCACAUUCGAUAUCCACUCGGGAUAAUUGACUUCCCGAAUGAACCCUGCUUUCAAGAGCUUCUCCACCUCGCCGUUUAUAGCCUCAUACCUCUCCUGGUUGAAGCACCUCCUUUUCUGCCUUACUGCCCGAGCACCUUUCUUUAUUGCCAGUUUAUGACAUGCGACCUAAGGGUCGAUUCUUGGCAUGUCUUCAUGUGUCCAAGCAAACACAUCUGCAUGAGCCCGCAAGCAUUGCACCAACUCCUGCUUCUGCUAUUCUUUAAGCCUCAACCCAAUUCGGAUCGUUUUUCCCAGAUCCUUUGGUCCUAGGCUCACUGUCUUCAACUCCUCUACAGGUUCUUGUCUACCAGUCUUGGUUCCCACUCGGGUAUCAAGGGAUGUUAUCUGCAUUGCUUCCCUUGCUGACGAGGAGUAAUAGCUUCGUGCGAUUCUCUGGUCUCCUCAUACCACUCCAACUACCCCAUUCACCCGGUACUUGAGAGCUAGAUAAUGGUUGGAUGACACCGCUUUACUCAUCCUCAGAAAUGGUCGACCUAGGAUCAUCUGGUAAGGACCCUCUUCAUCGACUACCAAAAAAUCCAGCAUCAUAGUCCUUUCUGUCGGGGAGCUUCCAAUCGUGAUAGGCAGCUCAACCACGCCCAGGGGGACCAGCUUUCCUCCUCCAAAUCCCUUCAAGGAGGUAUUGGUGUGCUCCAACCUCAGGUCUGUUAUUCUCAUCUCCUCCAGAGUUGACUUAAACAACACAUCAACUGAGCUCCCUGUGUCAACCAGUAUCCGGUCAAACUUCUUGCUGGCGACGGUGGCCUUGAUGACUAAGGCAUCCUUGUGUGGGUAUAGAAUCCCUUAUUCAUCCUCAUCUGUCCACAUGAUUGGCACUUGUCAGACUCUUGCUCGUUUGGCUGCUGGGGUGUUGAAGAACACAUCUUUACUAGUCAUGGCAAAUUUAGCAUAAUUUUUCCUCGAUCUGUUGGAAUCUCCGGCCAACGUUGGACCCCCUAACAAUCACUCUUACUAUAGGCUGCCUGUGGCUCAAGUUCCUGUUACCCUGCUCCUCUUCACAUAUCGGGGCCACCGUCGGAAAAGUCCCAUCGAUAAACUCGUCCAGGUAUCGAUUUCUCACCAAAUCUUUAACCUGGGUCUUAAGGUCUCUUCAUUCUAUUGUGGUAUGGCCAUGAGUACCAUGGAACUUGCAAUAGUGCCCCUAUCCCUUCUGCUGGGUAGCUUUGUUAUUGGGGCUGGGAGGUACAGUAAUCCCCAGUCCUUUAUGGCCUCACAGACUUCGUCCAGUGGGAUAUUCAAGGAAGUAUACUGCCCAUAGUCCUGGUUCUGGUCGAUCAUAUGCACUGCCCUUUCUCUGUUUGUGCCAUUCUGAGUUGGAGGUGGUGGCAGCGCUUCUGGUCUGCUCCCCCUACUACCAUGGGGGUGUGGGUGAAGGUGACCGUAUGUCGCGUCAUGCCUUCUCCUAGGCUCCCUAGCUGGUGAGCGAGAAGGUUGCGCCCUGCUGUGCUGAUACUGUGGUGGCCUCUAAUGAGGUUGGUAAGCGGUUACCCGACCUCUUGUACCACUACCUAAGGCAUGGUGGUCCCUCCUCUUAAUCGGCCCAUUUCCUGGUACGGCUCUCUUCUCUUUCCUCUUUAAUCCUUCCAGCUGGUCUGUCUUAAUCCGUGCCGCCUUUUCCUCCUCUAUUUCUAUGUCUCUCUUAGCCUGCUCGUAAGCAACUGAAUAUGUCUGAAUAACUGGGCUUCUCAAGUUAUAUCACAUCCGUCUUAUCUUCACUCCUUCUUUCAAUCCCCUUAAUGCCUGAGGAUGGUUGAAGGCUCCCAAGUCGAGGACAGCACGGUGGAACCUUUUGAUGAAUUCCCGAAGGGUUUCCUCCUCUCUCUGCUUCAUGCUCGUUAACUCCAUCAUAUCAUCUUCCGGUGCCAUUACCCCACGAAACUGCUCUGCAAAUUCCUGGCACAUCUGCUCGAAGGCUUUAAUGCUCCCUCGAGGAAGUUUCCUGUACCACUCGCGUGCUCGUCCCUCUAGAGAUAGUGGGAACACCCUGCAUCUUUGGGCUUGAGAUAGUCCUUGCACCCCGGUCAUGUUGUUGAAGCGCUCUAUGUGCACCAACGGAUCAGUUCGCCCCAAAUAUCUGAGGUCUGGGAGGCGAAAAUCUCUUGAAAUGACUGCCCUCAUGAUCUCUGCCGAGAGCGGGGUUUCUCCGUCCAGCAUUAUCCUCCAACCAGGUGCUCUACUCCUUCCUUGCAUAUCAUCAAUUACUUGCGCUAGUUUGCGCACUUCCUUCUCUAGCUGCAUUGCACGACCAGGGUCACGUGCUGUAACUUGAUCCCGCUCUUUCUCUACAUCAUGUAAGUAUUGCCUGAGCUCUGUUUCCUCUGCAUUCACCACCCCAUCAUCCUCAUCAAAAAUCUAUCUUCUUGGGGAUUGCUCUUCUUCUCUAUGAAUUCCUCCCCGUAAAGAUAAGUUACCUCUCUCACCACCAAAUCUCCUGGUGGUCUGACUUCUCAUCAUACCAUCGUGCCCUGGUGCCACUCUGCCACCUCUCACCCUUUUCUCAUGGGUUCCCCUUCGUUCACUCCUUAGUUCAUGUAGGAUGGUUGUCAGGGUCUCCAUCUGCUUUUCCAUCCGUUCCAUUCGGUCAUGCAUGGCUUUUUCCCGUGCUUCAAUGGCUAUCUCCCUUAACGUCAUGGAUUCGUUAAGCCUCAUAUCACCUCCUUGUGCACUACUUCCUCCUACAUCCAUUGUUUCUUCUCUUGCUUUGUUUUUCCUUUCUCUGUCAACAGAAGUUUUUUUAUCAGCUCCCUACAGACGGCGCCAAAAUGUUGAUGCGAGAUUCUGGUUACCCACUCGACCACGACCAGGAUCUCUGCUCAAUCAACUAACUCGACCACGAUCAGGAUCUCUCCUCGUAUGCUUUCUUCUUCAAAAAUUCCUGCGUACACAGAAACAAGUCAGAGCACGCUGGUUGUUUUCUCGGCGUAAACCCUCCGAUGCUCAAGUCAAAUAUGAAGGUUUUGUGUUCCUGGGAACAUUAGCCACUAGUCUUAAGCUUUGCUUUUAGUAUCGACUGUUGAAUGCUCUCUUUAUCUCAAUUUCUGUAUUAAAAGUUCUAACCCUUUUACCUUCGUUGGCUGCCUUUUUAUAGGCUCCUCCUGAGUCCAGAUCCUCCCCUCCAUUCACGUCCGUUACCUUCCCACCUCUCGAAAGUGGAUGCUCCGUUUCCGUAAUCGUGGGUGGUUGCAUGGCCUUCGUGCCUCGAUUCUCGGGCUGGAGAGUACGUCUUGCCAACUGUCGUUGAUUGGGUCUCCUCGCUUCAAACCUUAGCAGGACCAUUAUGCUUCUAACAGGAGAUCGGCUUCGCGGAUGGUGUAUUCGUGGACGAGCAGAUAUUCCUGCUUCUGUUCCCAUGCUACCAGACCUCAGCUCAUCACGGCUGGUCUCGUCGAAGUACAUCCCCCAAACAAUCUUCAUAUUAAUUACGAAAAUAUCCUCUAAAUUUUAACUUAACUAUUCAUAAUUCAAUGUCAUUCGGAUAUUUCGUUUAUUUGAGUAGGGAUUAGGGGUCAAUUUGAUACAAAUUCAAAAUUAUCCUCAUUUGCGAAGGUGAUAAAAGUUAGGGAUUUAGUUUGGAUGUCACUAGCCACAAAUAUUAAACGCAUGCAUCUAAUUCAAAAUUAGAGGCAUUAUCGUUAUAUUGACAUGUGUCACCAUCCCACAACCUCUCCAAUGAAAAAUUGACAUGCAUCUUGUGUGCUUCUUAUCAAAAUCCUGAAAAUUAAUCACAAAAGUUAUAUUUUUAUUAUAAAAAGAAGAAAGAAACUCCAUGAGUGAAGAAAAAAAAAAAAGACUUACAUUAAUAGUUUGGAUAAUCUAGAUUUCAAGUUGUCUAUAUUAGCUUGAUAUUUUUAUAAAUAUCAAGAUUUCAAGUUGUCUAUAGUAGCUUGAUAUCUUCUAAAAAAAACUCCAUCAACAUAUAUUUUAAUUUUACGUUAAUUAAUAAAUAGAAAAUCCAUUUUAGAAUUAAUUAAAGCAUUAUUUAUUGUUGCCAAAGAAGGAAGUAUUUAGCGAUAAGAAAAAAGUGUCUCAAAUAUAUGUUUAAAAAAAAAUAAUCAUGGUUGGUUGGACUGAUUGAAUUUUUCUUUUCUUUUUUCUUUUUUAAGAACUAAGACAAUUGGAUUGAUUGAGUAAUAAUAAAAUAUAUUUAUUUGGCAAAUGGCAGGUAGGCUUUCUUCUGGUGCAGAUUGAUUAGAGAGAAUAUAUAACAAUUUUAAGCUCGUAAGAUUCGGAACCUGCUUAUCUGUCGUGUGGGAAUCACUUCCGUGUCUUAUUUUUCUAGAAAAAUCUAGACCAUUGGAUUUACCAUUGGGCAGUAGAGAAAUGUUGAUCUUGAUUCCUGAUCAGGAUCGAAGUUUGAUUCUAUCUAACAUGAUAUCAGAUUGCGAAGCAAGCUAGUUGUGAGUAACUUGUUCUAUUUUGAUGGAAGAAACACAAGUUCUAAUAAAAAAUUCUAAGUAUACAUUUUUUUUUUUAAUUUUUUUAUUGUGAUCAAUAUAACUAGUCAAAUCUAUUUUUAAACAUUUUUUUUAAAUAUUUUGUUAACAAUGAUAUGAAAAUAUUCGAACCCCUCCUCAUAUAGUAAAGUGAAUUACUAUCCAACGAUCCAACUAACGUCUUCAAAUUGUAAAUUGCAAAUCGUGUGUUUGCUCCAUUACAGAGUUUCUUCAAUUUAAAAUAGAGAAUCGUUUGUGUUCUAGAUUAAUCGUGGGUCUAUAUCCAAAUCUAAAAAUUGACUAACUUGAUUUCUAUUAAAUUCUUAACCCUAACAAGAAAAAUAGAAGAUUAAAAAUGACUAAUUUGGUUUCUAUUAAUUUGAGUAACGAUUAAUAUUUAUCAUUCAAUAGUCACUUAUAUUAUCAAAAUCUUGGGUCGAAAAUAUUAGGAUAGGUGAUAAUUGGAAUUAAGUUGUAGAUAAGAUAGAAAUGGAUUUGGAGAGAGAUUGGAAUCCUGGGUAAAUCCGGUACACGUUGGUGUGUUAAAUUCUCGUUGACUUCACGUUGACCGAGGCAUUAUUGGAAGAAACAAGCAAGCUUAUUUUCUUCUCUCAUUUUUAACCUUUGUCUAAAUUUAUUGGUGUGAGGCCUUUGAGAUGGUAAAGUGUUAAAUCUGAGAAGAGUACCCACACUAUUACUCUUAUUUUAUCACGUUUUAUCACAAUAUUACUCUUAUAGUCAAUGUUUGAUUCGCACGAAAAAAAAUUUGCGAGGAUUGUGAGGGUUGAUGCAAUAUAAUUUAGAUGCAAAGUGUUUACAAGUGCGAUGCUUCGUAAGUGUACUCGAAUCAUUAUAAACUCACGUUAUUUUCAUAGUGAUUAUUUCAUUUGCACGUGAAUAUAAUCAUAUAUGUGGAGAAUUUUUUUUCCUAAAUUAUGGUCUUAUUUAGUAUUGAGAUGUUAUAUCUUUUAAAUUAUAAUUAAUAUUAGUAAAAAAACUGCAACUAUAAAAUAAAAGUUAAUAUUAUGUCCUGAAUAUAAUUGUUAAAUAAUAAUUUUGACAAAAUUAGUGAAGACAUACAGAUUUUUUUAUCAUAUAAGUGUAAAAUUCUAUCAACUUAGCUUUUAAGUUAUACAGCAUCUAUUGUUUACCAAAUACUUUAGUGUUGUAACUUUUAAGUUAUAACUGUCUAACCUUUAACCUCAAUCUCAAACGAGGCUUAUAAAGAUCAAGGAUUUCCUCAUAAAAAUUAUUACGUCAUGUGAUUGCUUAUUUAAUUUAUAUUUUCGUCAUUUAUCUUUAUUAAUUAAACAUGCACAUAUUAUUUCCUUUUAUUUUCUGCUUGGUAACCCGUAAAUACUAAUCCAGUACUACUAAUUUCAGACAGAAAAUUUUGAACUCUAGGCUGCAGUUUGACUCAAAAUGAUGGUCACUGGCUUCGCACCAUUUUACCGGUAUACAUUUCUACAAACUGAACAAGGCUAUUGAUUAUUAUUAUUAUUAUUUUAAUUUGUUUAUAAAUUACUAUUUUAAUUUUCACUUUUUAUUGGGUUGUUUAACGGAUUGGUGAAGCUGGUGGUCGUUGAUGCACUCACAAGGUACAAUUUUAUUUUAUAAUUUCAAAUUCGUAUUUUAAAACGCAGGUACAUUAUGUAUAUACAUAAUUAUUGAUUUUCGUAUGAGGGUGUUUUGAAAUAUUGCUAAAAGACCAAACUUUAAUAAACUAUUUUUGAUCUUUUUUUUUUUUCCUAAAGUUUGGGUGAUAUGCGCAUUUUAAAUUCACGUGGAACAAAAGUUAAUGUAUGUAUAAAAAUUCUUUUAUUUUACUGAGCAAAAUAGGCAAGCGAAAAAGUUUUGGCAAAUGAGUUGCAACUGAAUUCAAAACCAAUACAAUGCGAGCAUAGGAAAGAGGCCAGUGUUUAGGAUUUGAAUUUAGGUAGCGUUUACUUUUUGGAUUGGAUUGGGAAUCCUGGGGAGUGGGAAUCCUAGGAUUGAGAGUGUGGAGUGGGAGUGGGAGUAGGUUGUUUACUUACACUGGAAUGGAAGCAUGGAAUGGAGAUCAGAAUCCAAUUUAUGUGUUUACUUUGUCUUGGAUUGGGAGUAAAUAGUUUCAAAUUACAAUUUUAUCCUUAUUUAAAGAAUUAUAAUUUUAAUUACAAAACUAAUAAAAUAUAUAUUUAAUGAAUAAUAUUUAUUUUAUUAUAUUUGUAAAUUUAUUAUAAUUAUUAAUAUUCUUAAUUAUGAACAAUAAAUUAUUAAUUGUAAUUUUAAUAUAAAAUGAAAUGUUAUUUUAUUUAAUAUAAUUAUAUUAAAUUUAUUAUUAUAUAAAAUAAUAAUAUAAUAUUAUUUAGUACAAAAUUAAUAUUUUCUUAGAAUAAAGUAUUUAUUAUUAUUAUUAAAUAAAAUAUAGUACUAUUAUUUUUAAAAUAAAUAUAAUAAUAUUAUAUUUAUUAAUUCUCUAUUAAUAUAAUAAUAUUAUUUUAAAAUAAUUUUAACUUAGAAUCAAUGUAAAUUAUUAUUUAGUUAAAUAUAAUAUUAUUAUUUAAAUAAAUAUAAUAUUAUUAUUUAAAUAAAUAUAAUAUUAUUUAUUUUAUUUUAUUAAUUAUAAAACAUAAAAUAAAAAAAAAAAGGGUAGAAAUGGGAGAGGUGGGAGUGGAUUCCCACUCCCACCUCCCCCAAUGGGAGUCCCACUCCCACUCCCCACUCCAAAAAUGGGUGGGGCCCACGGAGUGGGACUCCCAAUUCCUUCUCAUUUUAAGUAAGUAAACGCUGGAGUGGGAGGAAUCCACACUCCUCACUCCCACUCCAGCAAGUAAACACAACAUUAGUAUUAAGCUGAAUUUUAUGGUAAGCUCUUUUAUAGUACUGUGAUUGAUAAGCUCAGCCCCGGAUUUGCUUUUGCUUUUGCUUUUACUUCAAGUGAAAGAGAGAGGAAACCUUUUGUUUUUUUCUUUGGUUUUCAACUAUGUUACCUAUACAAAGAGUCAAGAUACCUGCCAUAAGUGAUGGUGUUAAAAAGAUUAAGCAGCGCACACAAUCUUACUGUCGUCUAGACCAUCCAGUGAUGACUCUAGUCUUUUGGUUACGUUAGCUUUAGUUGAAAGAAGGGCCAAUUUAACAAAGACUAGAUUUGAUGGCUUACUAUGUUUAAUGUAAUGCUAAUUCUCAGGGAAUCUAAUGUUAUAACUUAUAAGACGAUCUCCUAUGAUGAAUAACAGUAACACAUUACUGUGAUUGAGAAAACUCAGUUACAAUAAACUAUUCAUUUACUCAUUGCGGAGAUUGAAUAGCAAAUAGAGAAUAGAAUGAAGCAGAGGAAUCUCAUUGCCAAUAAAAUUGACCCUCUUUAAUGUUAUAUGGCACAGGUGUGGAGGAAGAACAAGUUACUUGCAGUUUUUAUUGUAAAAUAUACAGGUAUGACCAUGAUCAUUACAGUUGGGUUUUGAUAAUUUCAGAUGCUUUUUAAAAAAAAAAAAAAUUAUGACAUCUUUGAUUUACGGUAGUUUUGCAGAAAAAAAAAUAUAAAAAUUAAGAGGGAUGAGUUAAACUGACGAUUACAAUCAUUCCAGCAAUGCUGAUGAGUGAUACAUCACUUGAAAUUUACUUGUCAGUUGCUGAAAUGAUGAAAAAAAAACAAUAAACGAUAACAGUAAUAAUGUUCCGUUGCUGAAAUUCAAUUUUGACUUUCUACUCUUGGCUUUUAUGGAAAGUAAAAUGACUUGUAUAUUAUCCUCAUACAAUCCACUCUACAUAAUGAUAUCAUUUUAAUAAGGCAAUGGCUGAUGAUCUCCAUUUAAAAACUACAUCAUUUUUUUUGCUUCAUUUAACUUUUUGGUUGUUGAAAAUAACCUUAAUUAUCAAAUAAUUGGAGAAAGAGUAAAGAACAUUUAACAAAUUUAUGUGCAAAAAAAAAAAAGGAGAAGUUGAAGAGAAAGGGUGCUUGCAGAAGUGGGUGUCAAAGAUAAAUCGGUCCAUAAGAAUUAUUGUGGUUAUUUUUUUGGCAAUAUAAGAACUUAUGCGAUAGCAUUUUUUAUGGGUGCAUAUAACCUCCCUUUAAAAAUAUAUAUAAUAAUUACUGCUUAAUAUAGUAUUAAAUACAAAAAUAUCAAUAUUUGACUACUUAAAUUUAUAUCAUUAGGUCCUUAAAAUUUAAAAUGGAAGAUAUGAAAGGAAAUAUAUAUAAAUUUCAUUGUCCUGGUAAAGGGCCCUCUUAUAAUCUUAUAAUAUUUGAACUUUGAUAGAUUUUUUGAAACAAAUGUACUUUUAUUUGUGUACAAUCAAUAUUUACUCAUUUAUUAUAUUUUAAUUUAUUAACUAUUAAUCAUGUAAGUAUACUUAGUCAGAAAAAUUAUAUCAAGAGAAAAUUCUAAUUUCACGCAAAAACAAAUACCAAAACAAAUAUCUCAAUUUCUAUACUAUUCACUUUCCUGUAGAAUCAAUUAUUUAAAAUGCAAGUUUGUGGCUACAGAAAACUCGCCAAAGAAAAAAGAUAAUAACAAUUGAGCAUUGAUAGCAAAACUAAUGCAUCCAAUUCUUCUUGACUUGAUGAGAUGGCGCCAUAACGUAGACACAAGUACCUAAAUUGACCGGCACUGAGUGAUGUGAAUACUACCAGCCAGUUCAUCUCUUCCAGUCUUGCUUAAUCACAAUCACAAACACCACGAGAUCGACAUUUGCAUUAUAUAUAUCUUCUGCAAUCGAAACACCUUGCAUUACCAAAUAAGCCCGUAACAGACAAAGCAAUCUUUCAUGGAGAGAAACCUUAGUCUCAGUAUGAUCACUGUGUCAUUAACCUACUGCCUGCUUCUUUGCUUGGUUGCUGCAGCAGCAGCAGCGGCAAGCAACAAUAUUACCACAGACCAACAAGCUCUUCUUGCCCUGAAAGAUCAUAUAAUUUAUGAUCCUACCAGCCUUUUAGCUCACAAUUGGACCUCGAAUACCUCUGUUUGUACCUGGAUUGGCAUCACUUGUGAUGCCAAUAGCCAUAGAGUCAAAACCUUAGAUAUUUCUCAAUUCAAUCUACAAGGCACCAUCCCUCCUCAACUUGGAAAUCUCUCUUCACUCACAACACUUAAUCUUAGUCAUAACAGGCUUUCUGGAAGUGUUCCCUCCUCCAUCUACACCAUGCAUACGCUAAAAUUUCUUGACUUCACUGAUAACCAGCUCUCUGGUUCAGUGUCUUCCUUCGUCUUCAACAUGUCUUCAAUAUUAGUAAUUCGUUUGACCAAUAACAUAUUUUCUGGUGAGCUUCCGAAAAAUAUUUGCAACUAUCUUCCUUAUUUGAAGGCCCUUUUCUUAAACAAAAACAUGUUUCAUGGCAAAAUUCCUUCUGCUUUAUCAAAGUGCAAACAACUGCAACAAUUAAAUUUGCAGUUCAAUAAUUUAUCCGGUGCAAUACCAAAAGAAAUCGGCAACUUGACUAUGCUCAAAGGGAUAUAUCUCCUCUACAACAAACUCCACGGUAUGUUCACAAUACUAUAUAAAUAUUUUAAUUUAUCACUUAUUAUCUUUCUUGAAUAAUUUAGUUAAGAUCUUGUAAGAGAGAUUUUUUGCAUCUACGUUAAUUUACCAGGUGAGAUACCCCACGAAAUCGCUAAUCUUCCAAAUCUAGAGGCUUUAGCGCUUGGAAUCAACAACGUAGUUGGUGUGUUACCAGCUCCCAUCUUCAACAUGUCAACACUGAAGGUACUUAUCCUCAUAAAUAACUCUCUCUCCGGAAGCCUUCCAUCAAGAGUAGACCUUUCACUUCCAACUGUUGAGCAACUUAACUUGGCACUUAAUAGAUUUUCUGGAACCAUUCCUAGUUCCAUCACCAAUGCUUCUAAGCUCACCUUUCUAGAGUUGGGAGCAAACACAUUUUCGGGGUUUAUUCCAAACACAAUUGGUAAUUUAAGAAACCUUAAGUGGCUCGGCUUGGCUAAUAACUCCUUGACAUCUUCAACCUCAAAAUUGAGCUUUCUUUCCUCUUUGGCAAAUUGCAAGAAAUUAAGAUUCGUAAACGUAAUAGGCAAUCCACUGGACGGCUUCCUUCCAAGUUCAAUAGGUAAUCUUUCUGUGUCUUUGGAAACACUUGGCAUCGGCAAUUGCAGUAUUAGUGGCAACAUUCCUCCAGCAAUUAGCAAUUUAAGCAACUUGUUGACCUUAGUAUUAGACGGCAAUAAAUUGACUGGACCAAUCCCAACUACAUUCGGCCAACUGCAGAAACUCCAAGGCUUAGAUCUUGCAUUCAAUAAGUUGGUAGGUUCAUUCCCAGAUGAGCUUUGCCAUCUGGCAAGGCUGGAUCAAUUGGUCUUAUUUGGCAAUAAGCUUUCAGGAUCUAUACCUUCAUGCUUAAGUAACCUCACUUCUCUAAGAUCUCUCUAUUUAGGGUCCAAUAAGUUUACUUCUGUUUUUCCCUCAACCUUCUGGAGCCUAAAAGACAUCUUGUUCUUUGACUUUUCAUCAAAUUUCUUGGUUGGUCCUCUUUCUUUAGAUAUAGGAAAUUUGAAGGUGCUUCUAGGAAUAAGUUUAUCAAAAAAUAAUUUAUCCGGUGAUAUCCCAGCCACAAUUGGAGGACUGAAAGAUCUUCAAUUUAUGGACCUAGCAUAUAAUAGAUUGGAAGGCCCAAUUCCUAAAUCAUUUGGUGACUUGAUAAGUUUAGAAGUUCUGAAUUUAUCAAAUAAUAAAAUCUCUGGGUCUAUUCCAACAUCCAUGGAGAAACUCUUUUACCUCGGAGAGUUAAAUCUCUCUUUCAAUAAACUAGAAGGUGAGAUUCCUAGUGGAGGAACUUUUGCCAACUUCACAGCUGAGUCAUUUAUGGGAAAUGAGUUUUUGUGUGGUUUACCAAAUCUUCAAGUCCAACCAUGCAAAGUUAGCAAGCCGAGGACAGAACAUAAAUCAAGGAAAAAGAUACUUCUCAUUGUGAUUGUUUUGCCAUUGAGUAUUGCUCUAACAAUAGCAAUCACUCUAGCUCUCAAAUCUAAGCCGAUCGAAUGUGGAGAAAGAAGCACAGUGUUGUCAAAUGAUAGUAUCUUGUCAUCACAAGCAACACUAAGAAGAUUUUCAUACUUAGAACUUUUACAAGCAACAGAUAAUUUUGCUGAAAACAGCAUAAUUGGCAGAGGAGGUUUCGGUUCCGUUUAUGGAGCAAGACUUGAAGAUGGGAUGAAGAUUGCAAUAAAAGUGUUUCACCGGCAAUGUGCAAGCGCAUUGAAGAGUUUUGAGGCUGAAUGUGAAGUGUUAAAAAAAAUUCGCCAUCGAAACCUUAUCAAAGUUAUCAGCAGUUGCUCGAACGAUGACUUCAAAGCAUUAGUCCUAGAAUACAUGUCCAACGGGAGCUUAGGGGAUUGGCUGCAUUCGAGCAAUUACGUGCUGAAUAUUUUUCAAAGGUUGAACAUAAUGAUUGACGUUGCAUCAGCUUUAGAAUACCUCCACUUCGAUCAUUCAACUCCUAUUAUUCAUUGUGACUUAAAGCCUAGUAAUGUAUUGUUGGACGAAAAUAUGGUUGCUCAUUUGAGUGAUUUUGGCAUAGCAAAGCUUUUAAGUGGAGAAGAUGAGUCUACGAUGCGAACAAAAACCCUUGCCACUAUAGGUUAUAUGGCACCAGGUUUGCUUCAAACAACUUUUUUUUUUAAGUUCAUUUUAAAUUUUCUAAAUCAUUGAUUUUUACGAUCCUCAUAUCAAAUUGUUAUUGAUUAUUUAUCUAAUUGUGAAAUUAAUUUGAUUCAUAGAGUAUGGCAUAGGAGGAGAAGUAUCUACAAAAAGCGAUGUUUACAGCUACGGGAUUAUGUUGAUGGAAACUUUUACCAAGAAAAAACCCACAGAUGAAAUUUUUGUUGGAGAAUUGAGCUUAAAGCAUUGGGUUAAUGACUUGCUUCCUAAUUCAUUAGUGGAAGUUGUGGACAAAACUCUGCUAAGUGGAGAGGAAAAACAUUUUGCAUCAAAGGGGCAAUGUCUGUUGUCUAUCUUUAGUUUGGCUCUGGAGUGUACAAUGGAAUCACCGGAAAAGAGGAUUAAUGCAAAAGAUAUUGUUACCGGAUUACUCAAGAUAAGAGACACAUUGAGUAAAAGGAUAGGAAAUUUAAGUUAAUUUCGUUUGCUUUCAUUGAUAGUUAAUUCGAAUUCAUGUAAUAAGUGCAAGAAUCUUAUAUCUUUUCCUUUGAUAUAUUCUUUUUCUUGAGAAAACUGUUGUAGUCAUCUUGUUUCCAUGGGAAGAGUUGAUUUAGUUCUUCCAAAAAAUGCUACUGAUGACCUUUGUUUAAUACUUUCUCUUUUUUUGCACGUGUUUAGGUAGAACAGUGGUUUGGCUGCAGGCUAAUAAGUCAAGCUACGCCAAAAGCGUAUGAUUUAAUUUAUUAAACAUAACUUCAAGUUCAAGAAGUGUUUCUCAUUGCCACCAAUGCUUUGGACACCUGUUGGAAGGUUUGUUGUCCUCAGCUUUUGUUUAGAGCAAAAGUUCGAGUCCCAUAAAGGCUCAAACAUUCCUUUCCUUCAUCCCGAGGGCGCCUUCUGUCCUCUGUUUUCUGUUUCCACACACAAAUAGCAAAAAGAAAUUAGAAUGACAACUGGGACAUAUAUAAGAGUGAAAUAAUUAAAAAAAUUAUGCUUUUUUGUCUGUCGUGUUAAAAUCGUAAGUACCGAAGUACUGUGAAAGAGAUUAAUUUACAGAAACUGAAGCCAAGGGUUCAAAAAAAAACUAUUGAUGUAGCUAGGAUGCAAUGUCAUAUUCAUACAGAGAUGAAGUAUAUUAUUUACGGCUGGUAAAGACUAGGAAUUGAUGUAGCUAGAAUCCAAAGAUGAUAAGGUAUGUUGUGCACUAUUGUUUUAUUCUACGGUCAAUCUUGACCCUUGGUGCUUGGCUCUCAAUCUUGUCCAUUGAUCUUCUCUGAUCUUGGAAACUUCAAGACCUUUCACUCUCAUGCCUUAUUAUUGGUGUCUUCCAUGCUGUAGCUUUCAAAUACAAGCUUUCCCGCCAACUUGCCAAUUAUUUGUCCGUUGGUGCAUUUUAUCAAACAGUUUGGAUACUUAUACCAAACGCCUUCUGUUUUAACUCCCCCCCUCAAGCUCAAGCAUCUGGGAAGACAUUAAUAAGCUUGUUUCUCAAGUAUAUAUAUCUGAAAAUUAAAUUUUAUAAAUUAUAUUCGGACUCUACAUUUUCUAAUGAACAUUGGUUUGGCUUAUAAGCUUAUUAUACUCAGGUUUGGUAGGAGCCAUAUCACAAUGUUAACGCUAACCAGCAGUACUGCCAAAGCUGGCCAACUCAGCCUGCAAGUUCAUAGCAACCAUAGUUACAGUCCUAGUCCGGUACAAAAAUCGUAAAUAUCAUUUACAUUACAAUGGUGUGGGGGGGGGGGGGGGGGUUUGUUGGGUGGCUGGAGAGGGAAUCAACAAAGAUCUAGAACGAAGGGUAGGCUUGUAUCCGUAACCCAUGUCACAGUGUUAAUGCUAACCGUGGACCUUAUUAUAUUAGUUGCUGGACUAUUAUUACUUUUGAAUUGCCAUCUUUGAAUUUACGUUCAUUUCUGCCUCGACAAGAUGUUUGUAAAAAUAUGCUAAUUAUUAAUGUGCCGUGUACAAAUAAGCAUGUUACUGUGCAAGGAUUGUAGUCAUGAUACAGUGGUGCAAAAUGUACAUGCUACUUCUUCUUUUCCUCAGUUAGGAUCACCGUCGUCACCAUUUAAUUCUAAGUCCACCCAUGCGGCCUAUGCAAUUGAAAUCAUGUGACCAUGUAAUUUUAGGUUCUGAUCUUCCUUGUGGGGUUAAACCUCAAAACUGUGACCAUUUUGGGACUUUUAAUCAGUUCCAAUCAUUUUCUGGUUCCCAUUCGUCCACCCAAGCCUUGAUUCCCCCGAUAUAGCAUUGCAAUAUAUAUAGGAAUAUUAAGGUUGUGUACAGUUUUUUUCUUUUCUGUUUUUAAUUUGAUAUAAAUUAUCAAUCAUGAAUCUACAUAAAGUUUCAACUAGGCUACUACCACAAUAAACAUUUGGAUGAACUAUUAUUGAAACCUUAUUGAGAAGUAGGACAUGUCGCAUACCAAUGCACUGACAUAUCUUCAAAUAGUGGUAACUCCACACAACAUGGCACAAUAAAUUAAGAGUUAUAUAGAUAAAAUCUUUCACUCUUUGGUAAUCAUCAAUGUCGGCAUGACAAUGCGUCCCACAAAUAUGGCUCCUUAUCAAAAUUCAUAAAUCAAAACAAAAAUAGAGAAUCAUAUUUGUUCUAGAUUGUAGUGAUGGUUGUUGAUGCACUCACAAUUUACAAUUUUAUUUAAUAUCUUCAAAUUCGCAUUUUAAAAUGCCCAAAUGUUUGUGUAUACAUAAUUAGUAAUCGAUUCUCAAGCAUGGCCAUUUAAAAGCAUUGCUGAAAGACAAAAUUUUAAUUUACUAUUUUUUGUCUUUUAAUUUUCUUUAAGUUUUUAAUGAUUCCGCAUUUUAAAAUCCUGUGGAACGUGUAUGUAAAAUUCUUUUAUCUUUUAGAGGAAAAUGGGCAAGAGAAGAAGAUUUGGCAAAGGAAUUGCAACCGCAUUUGGAGCUAGUUUUAAUUUUGUCUUUUAAUUCUUUUACACUUGGCUUUUGUUAUUGAUGUCAACUUCGAUGUGUGUGAAGACUCGAGCUCACUCCCUUAUGAGCUAGUUUUAUUUUUCUACUUUCACAUUAAGAAAAAUACUCCUAUUUUUAAGGAAAAGUCAAGUACCUGUAGUUGUGAAGACUCGAGCUCACUCCCUUAUGAUAAAUCUUCAUAUUAAUUACGUAAAUAUCCUCUAAAAUUUUAAAUUAGCUAUUCAAAAUUUGAUGUUAUACGGGUAUUUCAUUUAUUUGAGUAGGGGUUGGGGGUCAAUUGGAUACAAAUUCAAAAUUAUCCUUACUUGAGAUGGUGAUAAAAAUUGGGGAUUUAAUUUGGAUGUCAUUAGCUACAAAUAUUAAACUCAUACAUUUAAUUCAAAAUUGGAAAGCUGAUAUAUGCGCAUCAUCCCACAACCUCUCCAAUGAAAAAUUAACACGUUUCUUGUGUGCAUUUGAUCAGAAUCCUGAAAAUUAAUCACAAAAUUGUCCUGGAAAAAAAAAUGCUUACAUAAAUGGUUUGAAAAAUCUAGAUUUCAAGUUGUCUAUAUUAGCUUGAUAUUUUUAUAAAUAGUCAUCCUCUCAAAAAAAUUCCAUCAAAAUAUAUUUUAAUUUUAUGUUAAUUCAUAAACAUGAAAAAAUCAUUUCAGAAUUAAUUAAAACAUAAUUUAUUGUUUCUCAAAAAAGGUAGAACUUAGUGAUAAGAAAAAAGUAUCUCAAAUAUAUGUAAAAAAAAAAAAAUCUUGGUUAGUUGGAAUGAUUGAAUUUGUUUUUUUUUUCUUUUUUAAGAAUUAAGACAAUCGGAUUGAUUGAGUAAUAAUAAUAUAUAUUUAUUUGGCAAAUGGCAGGUAGGCUUUCGUCUCAUGCAGAUUGAUUAGAGAGAAAAUAUAACAAUUUUAAGCUCGUCAGAUUCGAAGCUGCUUUCCUGUCGUGUGGGGAUCACUUCCGUGUCUUAUUUUUCUAGAAAAAUCAGGACCAUUGGAUUUAUGCGAAUCGUACUGAACAUUGGAAUUGAUGUAUAAGAAAAAAAUUCUGUAGUUUAAGAAGAACAAAAAGGCAUGUUGAAUAGAUUACAAUAGUUUAAGGAAAAAAAUUAUUCAAUUGGGAAUUUUUUUUUCUUUAAUUUUUGUUGUACUUGAUUGAGAUUUCUCCUUAGUCCUUAGAGUUUUAAGUUUGGAAACCGUAGGAUCAGUAAUUUCGUACUUCCUUUGCAAGCUGAGUAUAAGGAUGAAAUUCUUUUAAGAAAUUAAAAAAGAUAAAAAAAAAGCAUACCAAUAGGUAAUUAUAAAUAACCACAAAUAAAUAUAAACAAAAUGUUUAUGAAGUAAAUUAAACAUGCUCAUAUUAUUUUCUUUUAUUUUCUGCUUGGAAACCCAUAAAUACACUAAUCCAGUAUUACUAAUUUCAGACAGAAAAUUUUGAAUUUAACCAGUAUACACUAAUCCAGUAUUAUUUUUAUUAUUAUUUUAAUUUGUUUAUAAAUUACUAUUUUAAUUUGUUUAUAAAUUACUAUUUUAAUUUUCACUUUUUAUUGGGUUGUUUAACGGAUUAGUGAAGCUGGUGGUCGUUGAUGCACUCACAAGGUACAAUUUUAUUUUAGAAUUUCAAAUUCGUAAUUUAAAAUGCAGGCACAUUAUGUAUACAUAAUUAUUGAUUUUCAUAUGUGGGUGUUUUGAAAUAUUGCCAAAAGACCAAACUUUAAUAAACUAUUUUUGAUCUUUUUUUUUCCUUUGUACCUAAAGUUUGAGUGAUAUCCGCAUUUUAAAUUCAUGUGGACCAAAAGCUAAUGUAUGCACAAAAUUCUUUUAAUUUUUUCCGAGAAAAAUGGGUAAGAGAAGAAGAUUUUUCUCUUGAAAAAGAAAAAAUAAUACGUUGCAAGCAUAGGAAAGAGGCCAGUGUUUUGGAUUUGAAUUUAGUAUUGGGUUGAAUUUUAUGCUAAGCUCUUUUAUAAUACUUUAUAGAAUAAAAAUGUAAGGGAUAUUUGGCUAGGCAUGUACUUUAUAGAAUAAAAAUGUAAUAAUGUAAGUCAGUGCAAUGAUCUGCUGUCAUAGUAGUUAUAAAUAUUUAUGUGUAAUACAGUAACAUGAUGCUUAAUCAGUUAAAAAAAAAUUGUAUAUCUUUUUUUAUUUUUUUUAUUGUGAUCAAUAUAACUAGUCAAAUUUAUUUUUAAAUAUUUUUUUAAAAAUAUUUUUAUCGUGUGUUUGCUCCAUUACAGGGUUUCUUCAAUUUAAAAUAGAGAAUCAUUUGUGUUCUAGAUUAAUCGUGGGUCUAUAUCCAAAUCCAAAAAUUGACUAACUUGAUUUCUAUUAAGUUCUCAACCCUAACAAGAAAAAUAAAAGAGUAAAAAUGACUAUUUUGGUUUCUAUUAAUUUGAGUAACGCUUAAUAUUUAUCAUACAAUAGUCACUUAUAUUAUCAAAAUCUUGGGUCGAAAAUAUUAGGAUAGGUGAUAAUUGGAAUUAAGUUGUAGAUAAGAUAGCCUUUCAAAAAAAAGAAAAGAAAAAAAGUUGUAGAUAAGAUAGAAAUGGAUUUGGAGAGAGAUUGGAAUCCUGGCUAAUCCGGUGCACGUUGUUGCGUUAAAUUCUCGUUGACUUCACGUUGACCGAAGCAUUAUUGGAAGAAACAAGCAAGCUUAUUUUCUUCUCUCAUUUUUUACUUUUGUCUAAAUUUAUUGAUGUGAGCCCUCUGAGAUGGUAAAGUGUUAAAUCUGAGAAGAGUACCCACACACCCAUUUGUUGGAGGAUUAACAAUUAAAACACACUAUUUUAUUUCUUCAACAACACUCCUCACCAAUUACAACUCUUAUUUUUCACUCUCUACACCUUAGAGAUUUUGCUGCUUCACUUGAUGUUUAAACCAAAAGGGAGAGGGGGUAUUUAUAUAUGAAACAAACUAAUCACAACCAUUCAUUUAUUCAACUAAUAAACACAUCCUCACCAUCCAUUAAAACCUACCACUCACCUACUUCACCAACCACACCUAACACACCUAACACAAAUAAUUCAAACCUCACCAACCAUACCUACUCAUGGAACCUUCCAUGAGUUGGGCUUGAUUUAUUCAUCUUGGAUCAAGUUUAUGAUCCAACACCUCUCCUUAAACUUGAUCCUGUGACACCAAGCAAACUUCUGAAUCUUACAAAGUCUUCUUGUUUGAGUGGUUUAGUGAAGAUAUCAGCUGCUUGAUCUUGUGAUUUUACAUACUUGAUUUGCACUUCUUUUCUUGCAAUACACUCUCUUAUGAAAUGAUAGCGAGUGGCUAUGUGUUUACUUCGAUCAUGAAAGACUGGAUUCUUGGAUAGGGCAAUUGCUGAUUUGUUAUCAACACAAAUCUCAGUUGGCUCUUCUUGUGCCAAACUCAACUCCUUUAGCAAAUUUCUGAGCCAAAUUGCAUGACAAACACUUGAUGUGGCAGCUACAUAUUCAGCUUCACAGGUGGAUAGCGUGACAAUUGGUUGCUUCUUUGACAUCCAUGUGAAAGCAGUAUCUCCUAUGAAGAACACAAAUCCUGUGGUGUUAUUUCGAUCAUCUACAUCUCCACCCCAAUCGCUAUCGCUAUAUCCAACAAGCUUGUAGUCAUUAGAAAAUGAGUAUAGCAAGCCGAAAUUAGUUGUACCUUUGAUGUAGCGAAGGAUUCUUUUUGCAGCUUUAAAAUGGGUGGUCUUUGGAUUCUCCAUGUAUCGGCUCACAAGUCCAACAACAUAAAGGAUAUCUGGUCUUGUGCAUGUCAAAUAACGUAGGCUUCCAACCAAACUUUUAAAGAAUGUUGGAUCUAUAUCUUCGCCUUCAUCAUGUUUGGAUAACUUGACUCCGCAUUCCACUGGCGUGCUUAUAGGCUUACAAUCAUUCAUCUUGAACUUCUUGAGAAUCUCCUCUGCAUAGCUUUCUUGGGAGAUAAAUAUGCUUUCUUCCUUUUGCUUGACUUCAAUGCCGAGGUAAUAUGCCAUCAGUCCGAUGUCAGUCAUCUCGAACUCUUUGAUCAUCACUCUCUUGAACUCUUCAAACAAGCCUGGAUUACUUCCAGUGAAAAUGAGAUCAUCCACAUACAGGCACACAAUCAAAAUAUCUCCAUAUUUUUCUUUGACGUAGAGAGCAUGUUCAUAUGGGCAUUUGGUGAAGCCUUUCUCUUGAAAAUACUUGUCAAUUCUGCUAUUCCAUGCCCUUGGUGCUUGCUUUAACCCAUAAAGAGCUUUCUUCAAUCUCAAAACUUUGUCCUCGUGUCCUUUCACCACAUAGCCUAAUGGUUGUUCGAUGUAAACUUCUUCUUCAAGGAAUCCAUUCAAGAAAGCAGACUUCACAUCCAUUUGAAAAAUCUUCCAUUUGUUCUGAGCAGCCAAAGAAAUAAUAAGUCUAAUAGUUUUAAGUCGAGCUACAGGAGCAAAUACCUCGUCAUAGUCUAUGCCAGCCUUUUGACUAUAGCCUUUUGCAACUAGCCUCGCCUUGUGCCUUUCAAUUUCUCCCUUCGCAUUUCUUUUUGUUUUAUACACCCAUUUGACACCGAUCGCCUUGUGACCUUUUGGAAGAGUAGUAAGCUCCCAAGUAUCAUUCUUCACAAUGGCUUUGAUUUCUUCAUCCAUUGCAAUUCUCCACUUCUCAUCUAGUGCAGCUUCUUGGAAGUUGACUGGCUCACAAUCAGCAAAGAGGCAAAAGAGAGUGAGAUUAUCAUGUCUCUCAGUUACCUCAUAGAGAUCUUGAAGACUCCUUGCACGUUCUUCGGUUCUUUCAUUUAAGAAAGACGGCGGUGAAUCUCCGCAUGUGGUUGGUGCUGGUGAGAUAGGUGGAGUGGCAGGCUCUUGUUGUUCGUCUACUUGUUUUACCUGUGUAUGAUCAUCUUCUUCAAUGGGAAAGAAGUUGAAGUCAUCCACACCAGAGCCAAAAUCUCAUUCUCCUUCUUCAUCAAAAAUUACAUCUCGACUGAUCACAAUCUUUCCGUUGUUUGGAUUGUAAAGCUUGUAUCCUUUGGAGUUGUUGUCGUAGCCGAUGAAGAUGAACAACUCACUUUUGUCAUCCAGCUUGGCUCUACUUUCGUCUGGUACAUGUACAUGGGCAAUGCUUCCGAAAACUCUUAGAUGGGUGAUGCCAGGUUUUCUUCCACUCCAAGCUUCUUGUGGCGUCUUGCCCCACACGCUUCUUGUUGGAGAUCGAUUGGAUAAGUAGAUUGCACAUGCAACUGCUUCAGCCCAAAAUUCUUUAGGUAGCCUCUUACUCUUAAGCAUGCUUCUUGCCAUGUCGAGGAUGGUUCUGUUCUUCCUUUCUGCAACACCAUUUUGUUGGGGGGAUCUUGGAACUGUCAAAGGGCGUCGAAUUCCAUUUGCUUCACAAAACUCUAAAAAUUCUUUGGAAGUGAACUCUCCACCUCGAUCAGAUCUCAUGGCUUUAAUCUGGUAUCCACUUUCUUUUUCAACUGCAGCUUUAAACUUCUUGAAAGCUUCAAAGACUUCUGAUUUUUGCUUCAAAAAAUACACCCAAGUUUUUCUUGAAAAAUCAUCUAUAAAAAGAAUGAAGUAGUUACUUUUACCAAGGGAGUUUGGCUUGAAUGGACCGCACACAUCAGUAUGAAUGAGCUCGAGUGGCUUCUGAGCUCUUGAGUUUGACUCCUUUGGAAAGCUCUUUCUGAACUGCUUGCCAAGUAAACAUCCUUCACAAAGUUGAUCAGGGUGAUUGAUGUAUGGUAAGCCUUUCACCAUGUUCUUCUUAGAGAGUAGCUCCAGUCCUCUAAAGUUGAGAUGCUCAUAUCGAAGAUGCCAAGUCCAGGAUUGAUCUUUGUGACAGGCUUUGAGACAUUUUGCAACAUCAUUUUGAAUAUUUAAAGGAAACAUUCUAUUCUUUGACAUUCUCACUUUUGUAUUUAGAUUUCCUUUUUCAUCUCUUAGAAAAAGACUAUAAUCUUUUAAGUGAAUAUCAUAGCCCUUUUUCUAAAAGUUGACCUAAACUAAGAAUGUUGCUUUUCAUAUUGGACACAUAGUAAACAUUCGAAAUUAUUUGGUGGCUACCAUCUUUUGCACGAAAAAGAAUGUUACCUCUACCCUUCACUGGUACUUUUGAAUCAUCUCCAAAAGUGACACUGCCAUUCACAAAUUCACUUAGUUGCACGAACAUGCUUCUGUUUCCACUCAUAUGAUUGCUAGCACCUGUGUCAAGAUACCAUGUAUUUUCUUGACCUCCAUUUGUGUCAUUGCGUGCUAGUAAAAGUGUGUCAUCUUCACCAUUUUUCUCUUCAGCAUAGUUCACUCUCUCUUUAAUUCUGGUGCUUGGAGCUCUGCAUUCUGAAGCAUAAUGCCCAAACUUUUGACAAUUAUAGCACUGUACUUGGGAUUUGUCAUACCUCGAUCUUGAAUUGCCUCUGCCUUGUUCUCUGGUUGAGCUUUCUCCUUUGGCAUAAUUGGAGUUGUUGUUGUUGAAAUUCCAACCUCGUCCAUGACCACGACCUCUACCUCGUCCUCGACCUCUACCUCGGACAUAGUGCCUUCUCUCAUUGUCGGAGCUUUCUUCUCUUUUCUUUGGAUUGACUUCCAUCUUGAGAAGUUGUUCUUCGAUUCCUUGCUUCUUUUUUUGUUUUUCUUCAUAGGCUUGCAACCUUCCUUGAAGUUGCUCGAUCGUCAUAUCCUCCAGAUCUCUUGUUUCUUCAAUUGUCAUAACAAUAUGAUCAAACUUCGAGUCUACUGAUCGAAGUAUCUUUUCAAUGAUCCUUACCUCUUUUAACUCCUCGCCAUUUCUUUUUAAUUCAUUGGAAACGGUCACAACUCGAGUAAAGUAGUCAGAAAUUGACUCCGACACCUUCAUGUGUAAGGACUCAAAUUCUCCUCGUAAUGUUUGGAGACGAACCUUCUUAACUUGCUCUGCUCCUUUGUAAGAGGUCUUUAGUUUCUCCCAUGCUUCUUUUGAGGAGGUUGUACCAGCAAUCUUUUCAAAAGCAUCUUCAUCUAAUGAUUGAAAGAUGAGAUACUUUGCUUUAUUCUCUUUCUUCUUCAAGUCUUUUAAAUUCUCCUUCUGCGCCGCAGUUAAAGUGGCUUCAUUUUCUGGCACAAUAAAGCCUUUCUCCACGACAUCCCAUACGUCAUGUGCACUCAAUAGAGCCUUCAUUUUAAUACUCCAAUUGUCAAACUUACUUCCUUUUAAUUGUGGAACUUGAAAUGACAUCAUCAUACCACCGUUUGCCAUAACUCACAAAUUGAGUGAGAAUUUGGAGAUUCUGAAUGCACAGAUGGAUCCGGCACGUCGAAAAACCUUGGGAAGGACUCGAGUCAACUUUCGGUCAACGGUCAACGUCGGUCAACGGUCAACACCGGCUUGGUAGUCUCGGUUCGGUCCGGAUUGGUUCAGCUCGAGUUGGCUCGGUUCGACUUGAUUCGGUUCAGCUCGGCUCGGCUUGGUUCAGUUCGGCUCAGCUUGGUUCAACUCGGUGAGUCGACUCAGCUUCAGGACAUAAAACUUCCGGCGGCAGGUGUGGGCGCGUACGGUCUCGGAUCGGGAUGAUUUUUGCGGCGUCACGUUCCUCUCGUCGAGAUCUUCGAUUUGAUAUGCUAUAUGACUAUAUAUAGCAUCAAACACUAGCUCUGAUACCACUUUGUUGGAGGAUUAACAAUUAAAACACACAAAAAACACACUAUUUUAUUUCUUCAACAACACUCCUCACCAAUUACAACUCUUAUUUUUCACUCUCUACACCUUAGAGAUUUUGCUGCUUCACUUGAUGUUUAAACCAAAGGGGAGAGGGGGUAUUUAUACAUGAAACAAACUAAUCACAACCAUUAAUUUAUUCAACUAAUAAACACAUCCUCACCAUCCAUUAAAACCUACUACUCACCUACUUCACCAACCACACCUAACACACCUAACACAAAUAAUUCAAACCUCACCAACCAUACCUACUCAUGGAACCUUCCAUGAGUUGGGCUUGAUUUAUUCAUCUUGGAUCAAGUUUAUGAUCCAACACCAUUAUCCUAUUACUCUUAUUUUAUCACAUGCAGAGACGUCAACGUUUGAUUCGCACGGAAAAAAAUUUGCGAGGAUUGUGAGGGUUGAUUCAAUAUAAUUUAGAUGCAAAGUGUUUACAAGUGCGAUGCUUCGUAAGUGCACCCGAAUCAUUAUAAACUCACCUUAUUUUCAUAGUGAUUAUUUCAUCUGCAUGUGAAUAUAAUCAUAUGUGGAGAUUUUUUUUUUCCCUAAACGAUGAUCUUCUCUAGUAUUGAGGUGUUAUAUCUUUUAAAUUAUAAUUAUUAUUAGUAAAAAACUGCAACUAUGAAAAAUAAAUUUAAUAUUAUGUCCUGAAUAUAAUUGUUAAAUAAUAAUUUUGACAAAAUUAAUGAAUAUAUACAGAUUUUUUUAUCAUAUAAAUGUAAAAUUAUAUCAACUUAGCUUCUAAGCUAUACAACGGUUACUAUUUACUAAAUACUUUAGUGUCGUAGUUUUUAAGAUAUAUUUAUCCACCCUCAAUCCCAAACAUAACCUGUAAGGAUAAAAAAUUUCAUCCUAAAAAUUAUACGUCUUGUGACUUAUUUAAUUUAUAUUUUUGUUAUUUAUAUUUAUUAAUUAUAGUCAUCUUUUAAUAAAUUACAAUUGAAGGAAGGUGGUUGAUGUUGUCGAGACACACACACAAAGAUAUAUUGGAAGUGCUUAUGUCCACUCGAAGUUGUGGGGAGUUAAUGCAUGUAUUGAUUUAUUGGGAGUGUUAAUGCAUGUAUUGAUUGAUUGAGUGAUUGAAUACUGUUUGAUUGCUUCAUAUCAAUUCUAGAAAGUUUAUUUCUUUGUGAAAUUUCAACGAAACGUGUUUUUUAGAAUAAUAAGGGUGUUUUAAGUAAUUUUAAAAAAUGAAUGGACUAAUUAGAAUUAAUUAUUAGGUAAUUAACUCGAAUUGUAGAGGGUAAGCAAACAUUUAUCCUAAUUAUAUUAUGAUAAAUCCUUUUCCAAUUAGAAUUAGGAAACCAUAGAUAUACUGAAUUUUUUUUUAUUUCCCUUCGCGAAAACGGAUCAGAGAAUUAGAAAACAAUCCUAGUGAUACUAUUGUUAGGUUUAAAACACUGCAUAGAUGGUAAAAACAUUGGAAUUGAUGUAGAUUAAUUUGUUAAUUGCUAUCGUACUGAACAUUGUUUUAUGCAAAUUAAUUUGAGAAUUAGAAAAAAGUUUGUUGCAUGCAAACUUUUUGUUUUAUGCAAAUCGUACUGAACAUUGGGACUGAUGUUUAAGAAAAAAAUUCUGUAGUUAAAGAAAAACAAAAAGGCAUGUUGAAUAGAUUACGAUAGUUUAUUCAAUUGGGAAUUUUUUUUCUUUAAUUUUUGUUGUACUUGAUUGAGAUUUCUCUUUAGUCCUUUCGUACUUCCUUUGUAAGCUGAGUAUAAGGAUGAAAUUCUUUUAAGAAAUUAAAAAAGAAAAAAAAGCAUGCCACUACGCAAUUAUAAAUAACCACAAAUAAAUAUAAACAAAAUGUUUAUGAAGUAAAUUAAACAUGCACAUAUUAUUUUCUUUUAUUUGCUGCUUGGAAACCCAUAAAUGCACUAAUCCAAUAUUACAAUUAAUUUCAAACAGAAAAAAUUGAACUCUAGGCUGCAGUUUGACUCAAAAUGAUGACCACUGGCUUCGCACCAUUCAACCGGUAUACAUUUCUACAAACCGAACAACGCUAUUGAUUUUUAUUUUUUUUUUUAAUUUGUCUAUAAAUUACUAUUUUAAUUUUCACUUUUUAUUGGGUUGUUUAACGGAUUAGUGAAGCUGGUGGUCGUUGAUGCACUCAUAAGGUACAAUUUUAUUUUAGAAUUUCAAAUUCGUAUUUUAAAAUGCAGGCACAUUAUGUAUACAUAAUUAUUGAUUUUCAUAUGUGGGUGUUUUGAAAUAUUGCCAAAAGACCAAACUUUAAUAAACUAUUUUUGAUUUUUUUUUUCCUUUUUACCUAAAGUUGGAGUGAUAUCCGCAUUUUAAAUUCAUGUGGAACAAAGCUAAUGUAAGCACAAAAUUCUUUUAUUUUUUCCGAGAAAAAUGGGUAAGAGAAGAAGAUUUUUCUCUUGAAAAAUGAAAAAAAAUACAAUGCAAGCAUAGGAAAGAGGUCAGUGUUUUGGAUUUGAAUUUAGUAUUGAGCUGAAUUUUAUGCUAAGCUCUUUUAUAGUACUGCGAUUAAUAAGCUAGCUCAGGAUUUGCUUUUGCUUUUACUUCAAGUAAAAGAAAGAGGAAGCCUUUUGUUUUUUUGUUUGAUUUUUGACUAUAUAUGUUACCUAUAUAGAGAGUUGAGGUAGCAGCCUUAAGUGAUGGUGAUAAAAAGAUUAAGCAGUGCACACAAUCUUACUGUCAUCCAGACCAUCCAGUGAUGGCUCUAGUUUUUUUGUUACGUUAGCUUUAGUGGAAAGAAGGGCCAAUUUAACAAAGACUAGAUUUGGUGGCUUACUAUGUUUAAUGUAAUGCUUAUUCUCAGCGCACACAAUCUUACUAUGUUUAAUGUAAUGGUUAUGUUGAAUGAUCUUCUAUGAUUGUGAGUAGUAUAGUAUAAUUGAAAAGGGCCUGGGCUCCUAUGAUGAAUAACAGUAACACAUUACUGUGAUUGAGAAAACUCAGUUCCAAUAAACUCUUCAUUUACUCAUUGCGGAGAUCGAAUGGCAAACAGAGAAUAGAAUGAAGCAGAAGAAUCUCAUUGUUAGGUUUUGAUGAUUUCAGAUGCUUUUUUUUUAAAAAAAAAUUGUGACAUCUUUGAUUUACGGCAGUUUUGCAGAAAAAAAAAACAUAUAAAAAUUAAGAGGGAUGAGUUAACUGACGAUUACAAUCAUUACAGCAAUGCUGAUGAGUGAUAUAUCACUUGAAAUUUACUUGUCAGUUGCUGAAAUGAUGAAAAAAAACCAACAAACGAUAACAGUAAUAAUGUUCCCUUGCUGAAAUUCAAUUUUGACUUUCGACUCUUGGCUUUUAUGGAGAGUAAAAUGACUUGUAUAUUAUACUCAUACAAUCCACUCUACAUAAUGAUAUCGUUUUAAUAAGGCAAUGGCUGAUGAUCUCCAUUUAAAAACUACAUCAAUUUUUUUGCUUCAUUUAACUUUUUGGUUGUUGAAAAUAACCUUAAUUAUCAAAUAAUUGGAGAAAGAGUUAAGAACAUUUAACAAAUUUAUGUGCAAAAAAAAAAAAAAAAGGAAGAAGUUGAAGAGAAAGGGUGCUUGCAGAAGUGGGUGUCAAAGAUAAAUCGGUCCAUAAGAAUUAUUGUGGUUAUUUUUUGGCAAUAUAAAAAUUUUUUAGCAAGUAAAAAUAAUUUUUUUUCCGAUUUACUAAAAAAUUAACUAAAAACUUCUGCGAUGUCAUUUUUUAUGGGUGCAUAUACCCUCCCUUUAAAAAAUUUAUAAUAAUUACUGCUUAAUAUAGUAUUAAAUACGAAAAAUAUCAAUAUUUGACUACUCAAAUUUAUAUCAUUAGGUCCUUAAAAUUUAAAAUGGAAGAUAUGAAAGGAAAUAUAUAUAAAUUUCAUUGUCCUGGGAAAGGACCCUCUUAUUAUCUUAUAAUAUUUGAAAUUUGAUAGAUUUUUUGAAACAAAUGUACUUUUAUUUGUGUACAAUCAAUAUUUACUCAUUUAUUAUAUUUUAAUUUAUUAACUAUCAAUCAUGUAAGUAUACUUAGUCAAAAAAAUUAUAUCAAGAGAGAAUUCUAAUUUCACGCAAAAACAAAUACCAAAACAAAUAUCUCAAUUUCUAUACUAUUCACUUUCCUGUAGAAUCAAUUAUUUAAAAUGCAAGUUUGUGGCUACAGAAAACUCGCCAAAGAAAGAAGAUAAUAACAAUUGAGCAUUGAUGGCAAAACUAAUGCAUCCAAUUCUUCUUGACUUGAUGAGAUGGCGCCAUAACGUAGAAACAAGUACCUAAAUUGACCGGCACUGAGUGGUGUGAAUACUACCAGCCAGUUCAUCUCUUCCAGUCUUGCUUAAUCACAAUCACAAACACCACGAGAUCGACAUUUGCAUUAUAUAUAUCUUCUGCAAUCGAAACACCUUGCAUUACCAAAUAAGCCCGUAACAGACAAAGCAAUCUUUCAUGGAGAGAAACCUUAGUCUCAGUAUGAUCACUGUGUCAUUAACGUACUGCCUGCUUCUUUGCUUGGUUGCUGCAGCAGCAGCAGCGGCAAGCAACAAUAUUACCACAGACCAACAAGCUCUUCUUGCCCUGAAAGAUCAUAUAAUUUAUGAUCCGACCAGCCUUUUAGCUCACAAUUGGACCUCGAAUACCUCUGUUUGUACCUGGAUUGGCAUCACUUGUGAUGCCAAUAGCCAUAGAGUCACAACCUUAGAUAUUUCUCAAUUCAAUCUACAAGGCACCAUCCCUCCUCAACUUGGGAACCUCUCUUCACUCACAACACUUAAUCUUAGUCAUAACAAGCUUUCUGGAAACGUUCCCUCCUCCAUCUACACCAUGCAUACGCUAGAAUUUCUUGACUUCACUGAUAACCAGCUCUCUGGUUCAGUGACUUCCUUCGUCUUGAACAUGUCUUCAAUAUUAGACAUUCGUUUGACCAAUAACAGACUUUCUGGUGAGCUUCCGAAAAAUAUUUAGAGCUAUCUUCCUCAUUUGAAAGCCCUUUUUUUGGACAAAAACAUGUUUCAUAGCAAACUUCCUUCUGCUUUAUCAAAGUGCAAACAACUGCAACAAUUAAAUUUGAAGUUCAAUAAUUUAUCCGGUGCAAUACCAAAAGAAAUCGGCAACUUGACUAUGCUCAAAGGGAUAGACCUCGGCUACAACAAACUCCACGGUAUGUUCAUAAUACUAUACAAAUAUUAUCUUUCUUGAAUACUUUAGAUAAGAUCUUGUAUGUGAGAUUUUUUUGCAUCUAUAUUAAUUUUCCAGGUGAGAUACCGCACGAAAUCGCUAAUCUUCCAAAUCUAGAGGCUUUAGCGCUUGGAAUGAACAACCUAGUUGGUGUGUUACCAGCUCCAAUCUUCAACAUGUCAACACUGAAUGUACUUAUCCUCAUAAAUAACUCUCUCUCCGGUAGUCUUCCAUCAAGAAUGGACCUUUCACUUCCAACUAUUGAGCAUCUUAACUUUGCACUUAAUAGAUUUUCUGGAACAAUUCCUAGUUCCAUAACCAAUGCUUCUAAGCUCACAUUUCUAGAGUUGGGAGGAAACACAUUUUCGGGCUUUAUUCCAAACACAAUUGGUAAUUUAAGAAACCUUGAGUUGUUCGGCUUGGUUUUUAACUACUUGACAUCUUCGAGCUCAAAAUUGAGCUUUCUUUCCUCUUUGGCAAAUUGCAAGAAAUUAAGAGUCAUAGGCUUAACAGGCAAUCCACUCAACGGCAUCCUUCCAAGUUCAGUAGGUAAUCUUUCUAUGUCUUUGAAAACACUUCACAUCGCCAAUUGCAGUAUUAGUGGCAACAUUCCUCCAGCAAUUAGCAAUUUAAGCAACUUGUUGGCCUUAGUAUUAGAAGGCAAUAAAUUGACUGGACCAAUCCCAACUACAUUCGGCCAACUACAGAAACUCCAAGGCUUAGAUCUCGCAUUCAAUAAGUUGGUAGGUUCAUUCCCAGAUGAGCUUUGCCAUCUAGCUAGGCUGGAUGAAUUGGUCUUAUUUGGCAAUAAGCUUUCAGGAUCUAUACCUUCAUGCUUAAGUAACCUCACUUCUCUGAGAUCUCUCCACUUAGGGUCCAAUAGGUUUACUUAUGUCAUUCCCUCAACUUUCUGGAGCCUAAAAGACAUCUUGUUCUUUGACUUUUCAUCAAAUUUCUUGGUUGGUCCUCUUUCUUUAGACAUAGGAAAUUUGAAGGUGCUUCUAGGAAUAAAUUUAUCAGAAAAUAACUUAUCGGGUGAUAUGCCAGCCACAAUUGGAGGACUAAAAAACCUUCAAAUUAUGGACCUAACAUAUAAUAGACUGGAAGGGCAAAUUCCUGAAUCAUUUGGUGACUUGACAAGUUUGGAGGUUUUGAAUUUGUCAAAUAAUAAAAUCUCUGGGUCUAUUCCAAAAUCCAUGGAGAAACUCUUUUACCUUCGAGAGUUAAAUCUCUCUUUCAAUGAACUAGAAGGUGAGAUUCCUAGUGGAGAAAUUUUUACCAACUUCACAGUUGAGUCAUUUAUGGGAAAUGAGUUAUUGUGUGGUUUACCAAAUCUUCAAGUCCAACCAUGCAAACUUAGCAAGCCAAGGACAGAACAUAAAUCAAGGAAAAAGAUACUUCUCAUUGUGAUUGUUUUGCCAUUGAGUAUUGCUCUAACAAUAGCAAUCACUCUACCUCUCAAAUCUAAGCUGACCAAAUGUGGAAAAAGAUGCACAGUGUUGUCAAAUGAUAGUGUCUUGUCAUCACAAGCAACACUAAGAAGAUUUUCAUACUUAGAACUUUUACAAGCAACAGAUAAUUUUGCUGAAAACAACGUAAUUGGCAUAGGUGGUUUUGGUUCUGUUUAUAGAGCAAGACUUGAAGAUGGGAUGAAGAUUGCAAUAAAAGUGUUUCACCAGCAAUGUGCAAGCGCAUUGAAGAGUUUUGAGGCUGAAUGUGAAGUGUUAAAAAAUAUUCGCCAUCGAAAUCUUAUCAAAGUUAUCAGCAGUUAUUCAAACAAUGACUUCAAAGCAUUAGUCCUAGAAUACAUGUCCAACAGGAGCUUGGGGGAUUGGUUGCAUUCCAGCAAUUAUAUGCUGAAUAUAUUUCAAAGGUUGAACAUAAUGAUUGACGUUGCAUCAGCUUUGGAAUAUCUCCACUUCGAUCAUUUACCUCCUAUUAUUCAUUGUGACUUAAAGCCUAGUAAUGUAUUGUUGGAUGAAAAUAUGGUUGCUCAUUUGAGUGAUUUUGGCAUAGCAAAGCUUUUAAUUGGGGAGGAUGUGUAUGUCAUGCGAACAAAAACCCUUGCCACUAUAGGUUACAUCGCACCAGGUUUGCUUCAAACAACUUUUUUUUAGUUCAUUUUAAAUUUUCUAAAUCAUUGAUUUUUACGAUCCUCAUAUCAAAUUGUUAUUGAUUAUUUAUCUAAUUGUGAAAUUAAUUUGAUUCAUAGAGUAUGGCAUAGAAGGAGAAAUAUCUACAAAAAGUGAUGUUUACAGCUAUGGGAUUAUGUCGAUGGAAACUUUUACCAAGAAAAAACCCACAGAUGAAAUUUUUGUUGGAGAAUUGAGCUUAAAGCGUUGGGUUGAUGACUUGCUUCCUGAUUCAUUAGUGGAAGUUGUGGACAAAACUCUAGUAAGUGGAGAGGAAAAACAUUUUGCCGCAAAGGAGCAAUGUCUGUUGUCUAUCUUUAGUUUGGCUCUGGAGUGUACAAUGGAAUCACUGAAAAAGAGGAUCAAUGCAAAAGAUAUUGUUACCAGAUUACUCAAGAUAAGAGACACAUUGAGUAAAAGGAUAGGAAAUUUAAGUUAAUAUCGUUUGCUUUCAUUGAUAGUUAUUUUGAAUUCAUGUAAUAAGUGUACGAACCUUAUAUCUUUUCCUUUGAUAUUUUUUUCCUUGAGAAAACUAUUGUAGUCAUCUUAUUUCCAUGGGCAGAGUUGAUUUAGUUCUUCCAAGAAAUGCUACUGAUGACCUUUGUUUUAUACUUUCUCUUUUUUUGCAUGUGUUUAGGUAGAACAGUGGUUUGGCUGCAGGCUAAGAAGACUAACUACACUAAAAGAAUAUGAUUUAAUUUAUUAAACAAAACUUCAAGAAAAGUAUUUCACUGCCCCCAAUGCUUUGGACACCUACUGGUGGGUUUGUACGUGUCCUCAACUUUUUUUUGGAGCACAAAAUUCGAGUCCCAUGGAGACUCAAACAUUCCUUUCCCACAUCUCGAGCACGCUAAAUUUAUCAGACUGACAACUGGGACAUAUACAAGAGUGAAAUGUUUAGAGCACUCUAAGUUCGAGUGAAAGAGAUUAAUUUACAGAAAAUAAAGCCAAGGGUUCAGAAAAAAGUGCAAAGAGAAUAAAGGAACGUCUGAGCUAUUUAAAGCUUCAUGGAAAGUUGAAGGCUCUCCAUAUUUUGUUAGAAGAUAGUAUGCAACAUUGAUCUCUGUGACAUACUCCGAGUGCCACGUUGGCGGUCGUCUCUCACGAGUUGACCGACGAAUUUCUUGAGCCUCGGACUCGACUAGUUCUUGUUCCUCGUGCUCUGGUGCUGCUUCAGAAGAAUUUGAAUCUUUUGAAUUAUUUUUCACAUAUACCGGUACAGUCUCUGACUUUUCUUUUACAGUGCUAUCAUCCUCAUCUUUCCUUUGCAAUUGAUCUUCUAUAAAAAUAACAUCUCUGCUGAUGACGAUCUUGUGGGCAGUGGGAUCCCACAGACGAUACCCUUUUACUCCAUCAGCAUAUCCCAAGAAGAUACAUCUUCUAGAUUUUGCAUCCAGUUUUGUUUUUUCUUGAGCAUUGUACAUCACGUACACAGGACAUCCAAAUGUAUGUAGGUAGGAAUAAUCAGCUGGCUUUCCAGUCUAUAUCUCCAUCGCUGUCUUCAGCCCAAUUACUGUAGAUGGUGAUCGAUUUACUAUAUAACAGGCAGUUUUGGCUGCUUCUACCCAAAAUGAAUUGGGUAGACCAGCAGUCCUCAACAUAGCUCUUAUCCGUUCUGUAAUAGUUCUAUUCAUCCGCUCUGCCACUCUAUUUUGUUGAGGAGUGUAUGCCACCGUGAACUGUCUCUGAAUACCUUCUUGCUUACAGAAAACAAGAAACUCGCCGUCUAUAUACUCUCCACCAUUAUCUGUCCUCAAGCACUUGAUCUUUUUACCAGAUUCAAGUUCUACCGUGCUUUUAAACACUGGAAAUACAUCUGACUUUUUCUUAAUUGGAUACACCCAACAUCUUCUGGAAUAAUCAUUAAUGAAAGUCACCAUGUACUUUGCACCUCCCAUGGAUAUAUCCGGUGAUUCCCAAAUAUCAAAAUGAAUCAAGUCUAUAAUGCAUUUACUUCUAGCAAUAGAUCUACUGAAUUUUAAUUUAUGCUGCUUACUUGUAACACAAUGCUCGCAAAAUGGUAAACUUACCGAUUUGAGCCCCGGAAGCAAUUUUCGCUCAAAGAGAAUCUUCAAUCCUUGUUCUGACAUGUGGCCAAGUUUGAGAUGCCACAUCAUCGUUGACUCUUCUCCAUUUGACGCGACACAUGCAUCAGCCUCUUGUAGUGUUUCUCCUUUAAGCAUGAAUAAAUUAGCACCGAUCUUUUCUGCCUUCAUCAAUACAAACGCACCUUUAACGAUCUUCAUAAUUCCAUUCUCCACAUGAGUUUUGUACCCAUGACUAUCCAUUUGUCCCAAAGGUAAAAGAUUUUUCUUCAGGCCGUUGACAUGUCGUACCUCCCUAAUUGUGCGAAUUGUACCAUCAAACAUUUUUAUUUUGAUAGUACCAAUACCAACGAUCUCCAAGGCAUGAUCAUUACCCAUAUAUACAGAUCCUCCUGAGAUAGGUUCAUAUGUGUGGAACCAUUCUCUCCGAGAGGUCAUGUGUCAGGUAGCUCCUGAGUCUAUAAGUCAGACAUCAGAUAGUCGUUUUCUGCCUUCUAAAACAGUUGUUGCCUCGCUGUAGAGAAUUUCGCCAUCAUCCGAGGUACUUACGACACAACCCUGAGCAUUUGAUGACUUAGGUUCUUUGCCCACUCUUGUCUUCUAAUUACUCCAACACUCUUUCUUGACGUGCCCUUUCUUGCCACAGUUGUAGCAUUUAACAUUCUUCUUACUUCUAGAUUUUGAUCUACCAUGAUUUUGACUCCCAUUGGGGCCACGUUCCGUUGAUCUCCCUCUCGUCACCGAUAGCGCCUCCGCUUGCUGCGAACUUGCUUGUCUGUUUUUCUUAUUUUUUCGUCUGCUUUCCUCAUUUAAUACAGAGGCUGCAACAUCGUCGAAAACUAGACUGUCCACUGGAUUGCUGUUCGUUAGGUUGAUGAUGAGUUGAUCAUACGAAUCUGGUAGACUUUGAAGUAGAAGCUCUGCACGUUCAUUCUCCUCUAUAUUAUGACCCAACGUUGUAAGUUGUGAAAAUAGAGUCUUCAAGGUGUUGAUGUGAUCGGUUACCAUUAUAGAUUCCGCCAUUUGAAGAGUAUAAAGUUUCCUCUUCAAGAAGAUUUUGUUGUGUAGUGACUUGGCCUCGUACAAUUUUGUGAGAGUAUCCUAAAUUUCCUUCGCUGUAUUUUUCUUUGCCACACUGGAUAAUACUCCGUCUGCAAGUGCCAAGUGUAGAUCAGAAAUGGCAUUGCCAUCUAUCUCGUUCCACUUGUCAUCAGUUAUCUCCAUGGGCCUUUCUCCAAUUGCUUCCAAGUAAUUAUUUUUCCUCAAUACAACUUUCAUCUUAAUUUUCCACAACGAAAAAUUAUUUUCGUUAAAUUUCUCAAUUUCAUACUUUGCUGUCAUUUUGUUGAUAAAUAUUGUACACAAACUAGUGUAUCACCUUGAAUAGUUGUGAGUAUGUGUAAGAAUGCACACCAGAAAAGUUCCUAGGAAAGACUGGAGGGGUCACAAUAGUCCCACUUAAAACUCAGACUCCUUAAGCUCUUAUCGCCUUUGUGACAGAACUUUCCUAGACAUGUAUAAAACCACACAAUUGCUUUACUCACACCACUAUUCCCUGCUUUGUACCGCCAAAUUCUUCGAUCGCUCCCACCGUUUCACGUGAAUAGUACUGUAUACGUGAACAGUACCGUGUACGUGAAUAGUAUCCCUUACGUGAACAGUACCCAACUCUAAAAAAUACAAUAAAUAGCUCUGAUACCACUGUUAGGAAAUUGGUGGGUGAAGCAGGACCGCAGCUAAUAUGAAAUUGGAAGAAAAUAAAGAACAAGGACAAAAAGAGGAUACCAGAAAUUACGUGGUUCGGCUUUUAACCUACGUCCACGGGCGAAAACAGAAGGAAAUAUUUUACUCGUAAAAAGGAGUUACAAGUAUUGUAGUAUUUUAGCUCACUUUCCAAAAUCCCAAUACACCCAAACUCUCAAAACACUAAAACAAGAGCUUAUAAUUUCAAGCUCUCUAAACUCUCUCUAAAUACAAGAAAACUCUUCUCAAAAUUGGAUAAGCAAAUGAGGGAAUGAGCCCCUCUAUUUAUAGCCAAAAUCUUGGCUACUAUUCACUUUUUUUUAAAAAUUAUUUAUUAUUGUUCAAAAUUUCAACAUUCAAAGUUUGAUAUUCAAACUUUGAAUAUCUAGAAUUUUGAAUUUGAUAUUCAAAGUUUGAAUAUCUAGAAGUUUGAAUUUGAUAUUCAAAGUUUGAAUAUCAAGACACCCAAUCUUGACACUAAAUUCACCAGACUGACAACUGGGGCAUAUAGAAGAGCGAAAUAACUGGGACAUAUACAAGAGUGAAAUGUUUAGAGCACGCUAAGUUCGAGUGAAAGAGAUUAAUUUACGGAAACUGAAGCCAAGAGAAUAAAGGACAACACUUACGUGAAGCGACAUAAUUGUAUUGAAAGCACAAUGUCAAAUUCAUACGGAGAUCUAGUAUAUUAUUUACAGCUGGUGAGGGCUAAGAAUUGAUGUAGCUAGAAUACAAAGACGAUAAGGUAUGUUGUGCACUAUUGUUUUAUUCUACGAUCAAUCUUGACCCUUGAUGCUUGGCUCUCAAUCUUGUCCAUUGAUCUUCUUUGAUUUUGGACACUUCAAGACCUUUCAGUAUCAUUCCUUGUUGUUGGUGUCUUCCGUGCUGUAGAAUUCAUAUACAAGCCUUCCCGCCGACUUGCCAAGUAUUCGUUCAUUGAUGCAUUUUUAUCAAACAGCUGGGCUACUUAUGCCAAACACCGCCUGGUUUAACUCCCCCUCUCUAGCUCAACUAUCUGGGAAGACAAUUAAUUGAGAUAUGAAUCAGAAAAUUAAAUUUUAAAAAUUGUAUUCGGACUCUACAUUUUGUAAUGAACAUUGGUUUGACUUGUUAUACAUUUAUGCGUACAUAAUUAAUAACCGAUUCUCAAGUGCGGACAUUCAAGAGCACUGCUUAAAGACCAAAUAUUUUGAUUUACUAUUUUUUGUCUUUCAAUUUUCUUUUAAGUUCUGAUGACGUCCGCAUUUUAAAAUCCUGUGGAACAAAGGCCUGACGUGCAUAUAAAAUUCUUUUAUUUUUUCAGAGGAAAAUGGGUUAGAGAAGAAGAUUUGGCAAAAGAAUUGCAACGGCAUUUGAAACUAGUCUUCGUCUUUUAAUUCUUUUAUAUUUGUUUUUGUUAUUGAUGUUAGCUUGGAUGUGAACCCGUGUGACUGAAUUCAACUUAUAUUUGUUUUUGUUAUUGUUAUUAAUUUUAUUUGUUUUUGUUAAAUUGGACCACCAACAAGGGCGGUCCAUUAUCAAAUCAACACGGUUUAAUUAUUAUUAUUUCUACACUUUUUUUAUGAACAAAUAUAAAAUAAAAGGACAUUUACACCCUCAAUUUUAGUGAAAUAGUCAUUAACACCCCUAAAUUUUUAAAAGUAGACAUCAAGAUCAUUUUUUUACCUUAAUACUCUUAUACGGUACCUCUAUUAUUCCCAAAAAUUGAUUCUAAUGUUUUAUAAUAAAUAAAAAUAAAACAUUAAAAUAAAUGUAAUAACAUAUAUAUUUUAAAAUAAUUUCAAUAUUUAAAAAAUAUUUUUAACAUUUUACAAUCUAUUAACUAUAUUUUAUUAUAUUGAAGUAAAUUUUAUAAUAAAUAGAAUCAUAUUAUUAAAAUAAAUGUAUUAAAAUUUAAAUGAUUUUGAAUAUCAUGUACAAUAAUAAUUUUAACAUUACUAAUAUGUCAGAUUUUUUUUUAAGAAUGUAUUUAGUGCAAAUAUUUCUUUCAAAUCUCCACAAUAAAUAAAAGAUUAAAAUAAAUAUAAUAAUUUACAUAUCUAAAUUUAUUAAAAUAUUUUAAUAUUGUUAGUCUACUGCAUAGAUCACAAUAUUUAUAUAAUAUUUGUAUUUAUUAAAAACUUUAAAAUCAAUUCUUUUGAGAAUAAUAGAGGUAAAGGGUAUAAUGGUCAAAAUGGGGACUUUGUACUCCUUUUUGAAAACUUGAAGGUGUUGGUGGCUAUUUUUCCAAACCUUCAGGGUGUAGAUGUCAUUUUUCCACAAAUAUAUGAGAAAAUUAUCAAGAAAUACAGUAUCUGAACUCUGAAGUAACAAGGAUCACCUUUUAUGAAAUCGAUUGCUUUUCAUGAUAGACUGUUACUAUUUUUCUACAAUAGAUUGAAUUUAGUAAAAAAUUGAUUAAGAUGUCUACUCAUGGAGAGUGAAAUUUAUGUUCAAUACUAAUUUCAACAUGCAUGCACCACCGAACGUGUUUCUCACGGAAAAGUUGCUUGGAUUUUUGGGACUUCCUGUUCAAAUAUUCAACACGGCAUGCACCACGCGAUUGAACAUGCAAAAGUAGGGGUCUAUUAUCAUUUCCAGCAUUAUAGAAAUCUUAAUUUUGUUCAUUAUUUAUUUUGAUCAGCACUGUUGAAUCUCCAUGUAUUGCCAAUCACUGGGAAACAACAUAUUCUUAUUAAUUAUAUCCUCUAAUGGAGAGAACUCAUUGUCUCAGUGUAAGAUCACUGUGUCAUUAACCCACAGCCUGCUGAUUUGCUUGGUUGCUGCAGCAAGCAAAAAUAUUACCACAGAUCAAAAAGCUCUUCUUGCCCCAAAAGAUCACAUAACUUAUGCUCCAACCAAUCUUUUGACCGAAAAUUGGACCUCAAAUACCUCUGUUUGUACGGGGAUUAGCAUCACUUGUGAUGUCAAUAGCCGCAGCCUUGGAUAUUUCUCAAUUCAAUCUACAAGGCACCAUUAUUCCAAACACAACUGGUAAUUUAAGAAACCUUAAGUGGCUCGGCUUGGCUUAUAAACUACUUGACAUCUUCAACUUCAAAAUUGAGCUUUCUUUCCUCUUUGGCAAAUUGCAAAAAAUUAAGAAUCUUAGGCUUACUGGAAAUCCACUUGACCGUAUCCUCUCACGUUCAAUAGGUAAUCUUUCUAUGUCUUAGGAAAGAUUUCACGUCGCCAAUUGCAGCAUUAGUGGCAGAAUUCCUCAAGUAAUCAGCAAUUUAAGCAACUUGUUGGCAGUUGUGCAAAAUUUUAAUAUACUCGCAAGUGCACGAAUCUAGAAAUAGAAUAAUGGUAAUGAGGUCAAACCCAUAGGGAUUGUUUUAAAAUGACAAAAGAAUAGCUGCUGGUCUAGAGGUGGCUUACUACAUUCAUACAAGAUCGUUUCUUGUUCUCUAAGAUGUGCAUUAUACUAAUAAUGCUAUACAAACUUAUCCAAAGGUCUAUUAAUUAAUUCAUUAAUCCAACGGCUUGUUAGGUUGUCCUUUCAUCCAUACAGCUGCAUGCUUGUCUUCAUAUACACUGAUCUUAUCCUCUAGAUCUGUUCAGGCUGAGUGAUCUCUCACAUUUGCCAUAUCAGAAGAUUACAUGCCAGUAAUGUCAUGUGAUGACCUGUUGCUUGGUGAUGUCGAAUGCCUGGCCUUUACUUCUCUGAGCAAAUUGAUCAAACAAUUUGUUCAUUUUAUCGAACACCUUCACCAACUAACAUUUUAUUUACUUUGGAUGGUUUUUAAGUGCAUUUAAUGAUUAUUUUUGCUCCAACUUCAGAUAAACCAAACGCCAGUAUAUUAGAAGAAGAAGUUAACUGGCAGCUAACCAGGUCAAAAUAGCGACUCUAUAUAAAAAAAAUAUAUAAAAUAAAAAAAUGGGACUUUAUUUAAUUAAUUGUUGGUCUAAAGCUGUUGGUAUCCGUUGGCCACGUUUCUGAAGAGUCAUCUCAAAUCGAAAUUUUUAACGAACAAAGGACAUUGCUGCUGGCUGCCGCCCGUGAGAUAAAAGUGCUAAAAUCCAAAAUGUUCCACCAUCAUUUAUUCUAAUUUUAAUUUUCCAAUGGAAAAAAUUACAUAAUUAAAAUGGCUUCUAAUAUCAUUUCCACACCUCAAUAUGUGUCACUAUCAUAAAGUUGUUCUCAUGAUUCAUGGAAAAUUUGGAUUACAGCACCUGUACUUUCUGAUGGUUCAUUAUUUAUUCUCAGGAAUCGAGUCUCCUUACAUUACCAAACUAAUAACAAACAGGAAUCUUUUAUCCUUUCACGGUGAGAAAUUACAGUCUUCGUAUGAUCGCAGUGCCAUUAACCCACUGCCUGCUUCUUUACUUGGUUGUUGCAGUAGCAGCAGCAAGCUACAUUACCACAGACCAACAAGCUCUUCUUGCCCUGAAAGCUCAUAUAAGUUAUGAUCCAACUAAUCUUUUGGCUCAAAAUUGGACCUCAAAUACCUCUGUUUGUAACUGGAUAGGCAUUACUUGUAAUGUCAAUAGCCAUAGAGUUACAGCAUUUGGAUGAAUUUUUAUUGAAACCUUUCUGAGAAGUAGGACAUGUCAGACAUCAAAGCACUGAGAUAUCUUCAAAUAGUGGUAACCCCACUCAUCAAGGCACAAUAAAUUAUACAGAUAAAAUCCUCCACUCUUUCGUAAUCAUCGGUGUAGGCACGGUGAUGCGUCGGACAGAUAUGGGUCGGAUCCACUCCAGCUCCAUAUCAAGAUUCAUAAACCAUGACAAAAAUAGAGAAUCAUAGGUGUUGCAGAUAGUGAUGGUUGUUGAUGCACUCGUAAUUUAAAAUUUUAUUUUAUAUCUUCAAGUUCGCAUUUUAAGUGUACAUUUUUUUUUUAUUUUGUGAUCAAUAUAACUUGUCAAAUCUAUUUUUAAAUAAUUUUUUAAAACAUUUUAUUAACAAUGAUAUGAAAAUAUUCGACCCCUUUUCAUAGUAAAGUGAAUUAUUAUCCGACAAUCCAACUCAUGUUUUCAAAUUGUAAAUUGCAAAUCGUGUGUUUGCUCCUGUUAGAGUGCAAUUUAUGCACUAGUUUUGCAUUGUUUACUUCCCUUAAUAUCGAUGUUUUGCACUUAAUAAUAAUGAUUUACUUGUGUUUUACUUUUGUAGGUGCAAUUCUAUUGAUUUGUGAUAAAAUUGAGCUAUAAGAUGAUGUUUAAAGAUGAUUGUUCUCUUGGAGAAAUGAUGAGCGUCAGAAGAACUUUGUUGAUAAGGCGUGAGCGCGUGCUGUCAACUACGGGCCUGCUGUUUUUAGUUUAACGUGUUUUGUAUUUUUGGUUAUUUUUGUAAUUACGAAUUUAAUAUUUCAGAUAUUAGUAUUUUAUUUUAAAUAGAAUUCUAGAGGAGAAGAGAGAGAGAGUAUUUAAGGGAGGAAUCUAUUGUGAAAAAAGGGGAUUUUGGAUUGGAGGAAAAGAAAAGAAACCCUAGAUCUAAUUUUUCUCUUCUCUCUAUGAAGAACUAAACUUAUUUUUCUGGUUGAAGGAUAAUGAAGCUUUGAUUCAUCACUACUGUGAGAUCUUUCUUGUGCUUUAAUUGUUUUAUUGCUUUUUGGGUAUUUGUUUAUUCUCUGAAUUAUUUUCAUGAUUAUGUUUGUUAAUUAGAUAAUUGGCCACUAUUUAAUUAUCAACUUAAUCUAUUGUUAAUUAAAGGAUUUAUCGUAUGAAGAAUUUAAUGUUUGUGACAAAUAACAUAGCAGAGAGUUGUGUUGUGAGAAUAAACAAUCUAAUUUAAAUGAAUCAUCAUAUGUGUUGAUUAGGAUUUAGGUCUCUCUGGUUUUUCAGGCUGUCAAUUGAUUAAAUCCUAUGAUCGUAUCUAGGGUUGUCCAUUGAUUAGGGAAAUAUCCAACGGUCGUACCUUGGUUAUCGACUAAUUAAGGAGAGAUUGGCUAUUAGAGGGUCUCAGUAGCUAUAACCGGUCUAUUCAUAAGUAAUAAUAAUUUAUAUUUGAAUCAAUGAUCAGUAGUCGAAUCAAGCUGAGUUAAUUCCUUCAACCGGAGCUUUCUCCAAUUUGAAUUACAACUUUAAUUUGCAUUCUUGUUAUUUUAAUUUGAUUUUUAUUAUUGUCAACAAUUCCCCCAUUUUACGUUUUACGUUUCAAAAGGAUUUAAAUAAUUACCGAUCUCUGUGGACACGACCCUGCUCAAUCACUAUACACAAUUUAUUUAGAGUAGGAAUUUAUUUUUGUUGGCUUCGACAACCAUCAAAUUUUGGCACUGUUGCCGGGGAUUGGUGUCAUUUAUUUAAUCCUUUUUACGUUUUACUUGGUGUAUGAUUCGUUCUUCUCGUACAGGUACACUUUCGUUUGAUCCUGAAAUUGAGAAGAUAGCUCGCCACCUGAGACAGCAGACGAAGCGAGCUAAGCAACGAUCCUCGUCACCUUUGCUUUCUGAAACAGAUACGGUGCUUGAUUUAGUUGAAUCAUCUAGCGAUUCGGAAGAACAAGUGAUGGAUAGAGUUGCACCUGUAGAAAGAACUCUUAGAGAGUUAGCUGAACCAGACUUGAAUCAACAACCACUCUGCAUUCAAUAUGUAGACUUGGAGGUAAAUUUUGAAUUAAAGUCUGGUCUUAUUCAUUUAUUACCCAAGUUUCGUGGUUUUGCAGGUGAAGAUCCUCAUAAACAUCUUAAGGAGUUUCAUGUUGUGUGUUCAAGUAUGAGGCCACAAGGCGUGACUGAAGAGCAGAUUAAGCUGCGUGCUUUUCCGUUCUCUGUAGAUGGGCUAGCUAAAGACUGGUUGUACUACUUGCCUCCUGGAUCGAUUACAACGUGGAAUGGUUUGAAGAAGCAAUUCCUCGAGAAGUACUUUCCUACUUCAAGAGCUGCCAACAUCAGAAAAGAUAUUUGUGGGAUCAGACAACUUCCUGGGGAGACUUUGUAUGAGUAUUGGGAGCGAUUUAAACAAUUGUGUGCCAGCUGUCCUCAGCAUCAGAUUUCUGAUCAACUUCUUAUUCAAUAUUUUUACGAAGGACUGUCAUUGAUGGAUAGGAGUAUGAUAGAUGCUGCUAGUGGAGGCGUGUUGGUGAACAAGACCCCUACUCAAGCAAGGGAGCUGAUAUCAAAUAUGGCUGCCAAUGCACAACAAUUUGGCAGCAGGCAAGAUCCCACUUCAAGGAAGGUAAAUGAGGUAAAUAUUUCUUCUGUUGAACAACGUUUAGAUAAACUUACUUCUCUUGUGGAAAAGUUUGUUGUAGGUAAUGUGCAACAUAUGAAGACUUGUGGCAUUUGUUACAAUAUGGGUCAUUCAAUUGAUAUGUGUCCUACACUUCAAGAAGAACCCGUUGAACAAGCCAAUGCAAUUCAAGGAUUUCCAGGCAUGCCUCAGAGGAGGUAUGAUCCUUAUGCACAAACAUACAAUCCGGGAUGGAAGGAUCAUCCCAACUUCAGCUAUGGAGUUAGGCCGUCAGGAUUCCCACAACAGUAUCCACCAAGACAACCAGCACCUCCACAGUCAAACUCCAAGUCAGGUAUAUCUCUUGAAGAAAUUGUUAAAUCACUUGCGACUAACACUCAACAAUUUCAGCAGGCAACUACAGCAAGCAUUCAGAAUUUGGAGAACCAAAUGAGUCAAUUGGCGAUUACAGUGAGCCGUCUGGAGUCUCAAGUAUUAGGGAGAUUGCCUUCACAAUCUGAGGUGAAUCCAAAGCAAAACAUUAGUGCUGUCAUCCUUAGAAGUGGGAAGGAGUUGCAAGAGCCUAGUAAGAAAGUGACAAAGCAUGUAGAAGAUGAGUUUGAGAAGAAUGAAUUGAUGCCUCAAUCUCAAGAUGUGGAACCCACCAGAGCGAAACCCCUACCUAUUGUGAUACCUCCUCCUUUUCCAAGCCGGUUUGCAAAAUCCAAGAAGGAGGAACAAGAGAAAGACAUCCUUGAGACAUUUCGCAAGGUUGAGGUAAAUAUUCCUUUAUUAGAUGCUAUAAAACAAAUACCUCGAUAUGCUAAAGUCCUUAAGGAACUGUGCACCUCCAAGAGAAAAUUAAGAGGAGAUGAAAAAGUUCACAUGGGGGAGAAUGUUUCAGCAGUUCUCCAAAAGAAACUACCUCCUAAGUGCAAGGAUCCAUGUAUGUUUACUAUCCCUUGUAAAAUUGGUAGUGUUAGAAUUGAAAAGGCUUUGUUAGAUCUAGGAGCUGCUAUUAAUGUCAUGCCUCGUUCCAUUUAUUCAUCUUUAAAUUUGGUCCAUUAAAAGAAACUGGCGUGAUAAUUCAACUAGCUGAUAGGUCUAAUGCAUAUCCUGAUGGGGUAUUAGAAGAUGUCUUAGUACAAGUUAAUGAGUUGGUUUUUCCUGCUGAUUUUUAUGUACUUGAUAUGGAAGAGGAUAACUCCUCUAAUUCUGUCCCAAUUUUGCUAGGAAGACCUUUUCUUAAGACUGCUAGGACUAAAAUGGAUGUACAUAAAGGGACUCUUACUAUGGAGUUUGAUGGAGAGGUUAUAGAAUUCAAUAUGAAUGAUGCCAUGAAAUAUCAUAGUGAGGAACAUUCGGUAUUUUCUGUAGAUGUUAUUAACCCGAUAGUGCAGGAAGUUAUUUACAAGGAAAAAACGACGACAUUUCAUGAUAGAAUGAUUUUGUGAAAGGAGUUCUCUGUUGGUCAAAAAGUUCUUCUUUUUCAUUCUAAGCUUAAACUUUUUUCGGGUAAAUUACGUUCUUGCUGGGUUGGACCUUUUAUUGUUACUAAUAUUUUUCCUCAUGGUGCAGUUGAGAUUCGGAGUCCGACCUCUGACAAAGUUUCUAAGGUUAAUGGUCAUCGCUUAAAACCUUUUUAUGAAGGUUUUUCGGUGAAUAUUGUGGAGGAUGUGGCUCUCGAGAGUCCCAAUUAUGGAGAUUGAUGCAUAAAUGUGUCUAGCCAAAGACAUAAAACAAAGGCGCUUUUUGGGAGGCAACCCAAAUGAUUUAUUUAUUUUGGUUUUUGUUAUAUCUUCUUUUAAUUUUGAUUCUUUUUUUUUUUAAUGUGUUUGCUUAUUUUGGUCAGAAUAAAAUUUUUGAUAAGGCGUGUCCACGUCUUAACUAAUAAGUACUUCUGUGAUUUUUAAAGUAAAAUGGUUUUAAGGUGUGCCCACGUGCUUAUUAAAAAAGUGCAUCUGAAAUUUUUGUUGUCUCAAAGUGAUUCAUCACAAAAAUAAAAAAAAAAUUAUUUAUUUAUUAUUUUUUUUUCUAUUUAUUUUUUUUUAAAAAAACGAAAAAAAAAGGAGAUUUUCUUUUGUUCUUUCUUUUAUAUAUUUAUUUAUUUAUUUAUAAAAAAAAUUCAAAAAAUCACUGUUAAAAAAAAAAAUUUACUGUUCAUAAAAUCCCUAAUUUUCCAGAACUUGUUUUCUUCUCCAACCGCUUGCAGCACACCAGCAGCAAAGCAGCCCGCCGGAAAACGCACCACCCCGCGCGCGCAGCACCAGCAUCGAGCACCAUCCCGCGAGCGCAGCACCAGCAUUCUGUGUCUCGCAGCCCAGCAGCGCGCAACGAAGUCCCACCAGCGCGCAACGCAGCCUCACCAGCGCGCAACGCAGCCCCAACGCACAGCAAACGAGCACGCCCCGCAACGCAGAUCCGCAGCUCUAGCCCGCCCGCGCAGCGCAAAUCAAUCCAGCCAUCACCAUCGCGCAGCGCAUCGGUCCCGCGCGCGCAACGCAACGCAGCAUCAGCAUCCCACGUCCAGCGAGCAGCAACCCGCGCGCGCAGAUCUAGUCUUCGCCCAGCAGCGCGCAGAACCAGCGUCAGCCUAGCUCUCGCGCGCAACACAGCCCACGCAGCACGCAGAUCUAGUAGCCCCAGCGCGCGCGCACAACACAAUCAGCGCCAUCCCGCGUCCAUCAAGCAAGCUCCAGCCGAGCAGCAAUCGCAACGCAACCAACGUACGACCUAUAUUCCAGCUGGAUAAAUCGAAAUCCGUGAGUGCAAUUAUUGUAACAAUGCCGAAGAGAAAAGCAUCAACUUCCAAGUCAUCUAAAAAGACACCCGUCGCAAAUAAAUCCAAGAUUGCCGGUCCCACUACGGUUCCUUGGAACACAAUUUCAGAUUCACGCCAAGCCGUGAGACAAAGCUCGAAACAUGGAAAAGGCAUGAGUGUUUUGCCACUUGCAGAAUCCAAUCUUGGAGGGUGCCUCGCAUUCGCGACUCAACAAGAGAAAGAGAGGUACAAAGAUAUUUUCACGCACAAAAUACUUCCAGCUAAGUAUAUUCCUUACCUGACUCUUGAAAAAUUGAAUGUUAAGGAUAAUUUUGAUUCUUUGAUAGAUAAGAUUGGGUUGCGUAAGUUUGUUGAUGUUGAUUGUUUGGGUUAUGUUGAGUUGAUUAGGGAGUUUUAUGCUACUUUUCAAUUUAAUAUGUCGAAUGAUUUUACUUUGCAUACCCCGGAUGUCAUAAAGUUUAGGUUAAUGGGACGAAAUUUUUCACACUCUAUCACGGAUUUUAACCUAGCUUUAGGAUUCAUUGAUGAUGAUUAUUCUUCUAGUGAUGCAUAUUUAGGAACAACUUGUGACUUUAGCGAAAAUUUUGAGCCUUAUGGUCUUUGCCGUAAUUUAUCUGUUGAUCACAAUGCUUAUGACCCAAGUAAAUCAAAGAGUUCUUUCUUACGUGAUCCUGUUUUGAAAUGUGUGCAUCGAUUCUUAGCAUAUAAAUUUUUAGGCAAGAAAGAUCACUCAGGAGUUUUCUCUAAAACUGAAUUUUAUUUUAUCUGGUGCAUGUUAAAUGAUGUGAGGCCUAAUUUAGGUUUUUGGUUAGCGGAUUAAUUUCAAAGUGUGCUUAAACGGUAUAUGACUUUAUUUCUUGGUCCAUACAUUACUCUGUUAGCUGUAAACCUACCUAUGUGUGCUUGAUCUUGACAAUAAUGAUUUGCAUCUUGCUUGAUUUUUGGAUAUGUCUGAGUUUGAAAGAACAGGUGUGGUCGAAUUCAAGGAGGGGAGAUUUCAGUUUACUGAACCAGCACCCACUCAACCUCCGAAGAAGCUUUAUGCUAGAAGUGGUGCUACCUCUGAUGACGAGUUUGACGACGACACUGCUGCCCCGCCAACUAUUCCUUCUACAUCCGCACCACCUUUGAGCAUUCAGUUAGAGAAAAUGGAGCACAAGCUGCACAAGAUGGAGCAGAAUUUGGCCGCACACUUCGAGAGUGUGGGAUUUACCCCACCAUUUCCGCCAAGCCCAUAGACGUUAUGUGGAUCAAAGUUCACAAUUCAGGGAAGUUUCUUUUUGCCCUUAAUCUUUUAUCCUUACGCUUUAAUUUUUGUGUGAGCUUUGAUUAUCUUACAUUGGGGACAAUGUAAGUUCUUGGUGUGGGGGAGGGAUUUUUGCAUUAUUGAUGUCUGAAAUUAUUGUUUUCACUCUACUCAUCCUUAAAUGAUUUUGGAGUUAGUAUGCUUUAUAUAUUAUUAAUUUUCUUUUCCUUUCUCUCUCACUACUCUUUUCCCAUCUAUCUCAAAUUAUUUACAUCUAUUUUUUUUUCUAUCAUACUCUUUCAUCACUCACAUUUUAUCUUUCAUUUUUUUUACUACAUACAUCUUUCUCGCUUAUUAUCCUUUUUACCUUUCCUUUUAUAUCUCACUCAUACCUUCUUCUCAUUCUACACCACUAUUGAUGGUUGAUUCGUUUGAAGAGUGUACAGGAUUUGAUGGCAAAUUUACCAACUUUGUGAGGAUUUAAGCCUAUGAGCAACCACUUUGCUCUAAUUAUUUUUUGUUAUGUGAAUAUCAAUCCUAGUUUGUUUAUUCUAGAACUUGCUUUGUUAUGCAUGUUGAAGCCACAUUACGGGAUUUUAUGCAUUAAAAUGAUAAGGGCAAACCCUUUUCUAUUUUUCUAUUCUCCCAUUUUUUUUUCUCUAUCCGAAGACCUUUAUUUGCUAUCUUGGUUUGAGCCUUAACCAUUACCCAUCUAAUUCUCUCCGUCUACUUAACCAUUUUUCUUCUUUUUGAGCCUCAAUUUAAUGAGAUUUUUUUUGGACUCAUUGUGUGGAUAUAUUUUGUUGCUUUUUCUACCUUGUAUUAAAGUUUCUCAAUUAGAUCAACAAGCAUUAUGCUUGAAUUGAAUUGUGCAAGGUUCGUUUCUUUUGUUUGAUUCAAAAACAAAAAAAAAAAGAAAAAGAAAAAGAAAAAGAAAAAUCGAAAAAAAAAGAAAAAAAAUGUUUACAUUCUUGGUGACAUGAGUAGAAAUAAGCAUUUUGAUAUCAUAAGUUCAUUCAAUGAGUUCAUUCUUCUCAUUUUGAUCUCUUUUUCUUUCGUAAACCUUUCUUUUUCAUUCAACCUAUUUAACCCCAUUACAACCCUUUUAAGACCCUUAGAUUUUUGCAUUUUAUUCAUGUUUUGUGGAUUGAGAUGUGAUAUAUGAGCAAGCUUAUGGUAAUAGCAUUCUUUGAUUUGAUUUGAGUGAAUAAAUGACACCCUAAAUACUUUGAGUGCAUGGAGUGAAGUUAUUGAGAGGGCUAUUAAAUAUUGUUGCACUUGAAUUUUGAAUGGAUCUUCUUGGUGGUUGAAUGUUCUUAUUCUAUCUUAUGAAAUUCUAUGCUUUAAAAUCCUUGUCUCUAGAAUGUUGAUCGACUUAAUUUCUUGAGGUAUGCUUGCCUAAAAUUGUUUUUGGAUGAGUUGAGAUGAGAAUUGAGUGGAACUUUGGGAUUAAUCUUGAGUUAUAUGCUUGAGGACAAGCAUCAUCUUGGUGUGGGGGAAUUUGUUAGAGUGCAAUUUAUGCACUAGUUUUGCAUUGUUUACUUCCCUUAAUAUCGAUGUUUUGCACUUAAUAAUAAUGAUUUACUUGUGUUUUACUUUUGUUGGUGCAAUUCUAUUUAUUUGUGAUAAAAUUGAGCUAUAAGAUGAUGUUUAAAGAUGAUUGUUCUCUUGGAGAAAUUAUGAGCAUCAGAAGAACUUUGUUGAUAAGGCGUGGGCGCGUGCUGUCAACUACGGACCUGCAGUUUUUAGUUUAACGUGUUUUGUAUUUUUGGUUAUUUUUGUAAUUAUGAAUUUAAUAUUUCAGAUAUUAGUAUUUUAUUUUAAAUAGAAUUCUAGAGGAGAAGAGAGAGAGAGUAUUUAAGGGAGGAAUCUAUUGUGAAAAAAAGGGAUUUUGGAUUGGAGGAAAAGAAAAGAAACCCUAGAUCUAAUUUUUCUCUUCUCUCUAUGAAGAACUAAACUUAUUUUUCUGGUUGAAGGAUAAUGAAGCUUUGAUUCAUCACUACUGUGAGAUCUUUCUUGUGCUUUAAUUGUUUUAUUGCUUUUUGGGUAUUUGUUUAUUCUCUGAAUUAUUUUCAUGAUUAUGUUUGUUAAUUAGAUAAUUGGGCACUAUUUAAUUAUCAACUUAAUCUAUUGUUAAUUAAAGGAUUCAUCGUAUGAAGAAUUUAAUGUUUGUGACAAAUAACAUAGCAGAGAAUUGUGUUGUGAGAAUAAACAAUCUAAUUUAAAUGAAUCAUCAUAUGUGUUGAUUAGGAUUUGGGUCUCUCUGGUUUUUCAGGCUGUCAAUUGAUUAAAUCCUAUGAUCGUAUCUAGGGUUGUCUAUUGAUUAGGGAAAUAUCCAAUGGUCGUACCUUGGUUAUCGACUAAUUAAGGAGAGAUUGGCUAUUAGAGGGUCUCAGUAGCUAUAACCGGUCUAUUCAUAAGUAAUAAUAAUUUAUAUUUGAAUCAAUGAUCAGUAGUCGAAUCAAGCUGAGUUAAUUCCUUCAACCAGAGCUUUCUCCAAUUUGAAUUACAACUUUAAUUUGCAUUCUUGUUAUUUUAAUUUGAUUUUUAUUAUUAUCAACAAUUCUCCCAUUUUACGUUUUACGUUUCAAAAGGAUUUAAAUAAUUACCGAUCUCUGUGGACACGACCCUGCUCAAUCACUAUACACAAUUUAUUUAGAGUAGGAAUUUAUUUUUGUUGGCUUCGACAACCAUCAGCUCCAUUACAGAGUUUCAUCAAUUUGAAAUAGAGAAUCAUUUGUGUUCUAGAUUAAUCGAGGGUCUAUAUCCAAAUCUAAAAAUUGACUAACUUGGUUUCUAUUAAAUUCUUAAUCCUAACAAGAAAAAUAGAAGAUUAAAAAUGACUAAUUUGGUUUCUAUUAAUUUGAGUAACGAUCGAAUUACCUCAUUUAUUAAGAUUUAUCAAAAUCCUAUGUCAAAAUCCAUUAAUAAUAUAGGUUGGAUGAUGAAAUAGUCACUUAUUAUUAUUUUUGACUUCAUAAAUAGAUGAACGGAUGUUAUUUUUGGAUUCUGGAGAAUCCAAAAUAUCAGGAUAUGUGAUAAAUGGAAUUAAGUUGUAGAUAAGAUAGAAAUGGAUUUGGAGAGAGAUUGGAAUCCUGGGUAAUCCGGUGUACGUUGUUGUGUUGAAUGCUCGUUGACUUCACGUUGACUGACACAUUAUUGGAAGAAGUGAGCAAGCUUAUUUUCUUCUCUCAUUUUUAAAUUUGUCUAAGUUUAUUGAUGUGAGGCCUUUGAGAUUGUAAGUUUCAAAUCUGAGAAGAAUAACCACACACCCAUUAAUAAAUUUGUGAGGAUUGUGAGGGUUGAUGCAAUAUAAUUUAGAUGCAAAGUGUUUACAAGUACGAUGCUUCAUAAGUGUUCUUCAAUCAUUAUAAACUCACGUUAUUUUUAUAAUGAUUGUUUCAUCUGCACAUGGAUAUAAUCAUAUGUUGAGAUUUUUUCCUAAAUUAUGGUCUUAUUUGGUAUUGAGGUGUUAGAUCUUUUAAGAUACAAUUACUAUUGGAAAAAAUAGUGCAACUAUGAAAUAAAAGUUAAUAUUGUGUACUAAUUAUAAUUGUUAAAUAAUAAUUUUGACAAAAUUAGUGAAGAUAUAUAGUUUUUUUUUUAUCAUAUAAGUAUAAAAUCAAAUCAACUUAACUUCUAAACUAUAUAGCAGCUACUGCUUACCAAAUAUUUUAGUGCUGUAGCUUUUAAGUUAUAACUGCCUAACCUCAGUCUCAAACAAUGGCUAUAAAGAUCAAAGAUUUCCUCAUAAAAAUUAUACGUCUUGUGAUUGCUUAUUUAAUUUAUAUUUUUUUAUUUAUCUUUAUUAAUUACAAUCAUCUUUUAAUAAAUUACAAUUGGAGGAAGUUGAUGUUCGAAGUGCUUAUGUCGACUCGAAGUUGUUGGGAAUUAAUGCAUGUAUUGAUUUAUUGGGAGUGUUUAAAUGAUUUUGUGAUUUACUUGAUUGAUUGAUUGAAUAUUGUUUGAUUACUUUGUAUCCAUUCUAGAAAGUUUAUUUCUUUGUGAAAUUUCGACAAAAUAUGUUUUUCUUUUUAAAUAAUAAGGGUGUUUUAAGUAAUUUUUAAAAAUAAAUGGACUAACUAGAAUUAAUUAUUAGGUAACUAACUCGAACUGUACAAGGUAAGCGAACAUUUAUGCUGAUUAUAUCAUGAUAAAUCAUUUUCCGAUUAGAAUUAGGAAACCAUUAGCAUAUUGACUUUUUUUUUUUUUUUUUUCAAUCUCCCUUUGCGAAAACGGAUUACAGAAUUAGAAAACAAUCCUAAUGAUAUUAUUGUUAGGUUUAAAACACGGCAUAGAUAGUCAAAAGCUAACUAGUCUGCAGUAAUUUGUUAAUUGCUAUCGCCUCUCCAUGCGUGGUGAAUAAUUUGUUGCAUGCAAACUUUUUCCAUUUUAAAUAAACACAACGCGAUGUUUAUCUGCUCCGCGUUUUGCAAUCUGUUUAUUCGUUGUUUAUUUGCUUCGUAAGUCCUCAAACUUUGAUAACCAAAAAUUUCACCAAACUAUGAAAAUUAUUCUGCAGGUUAGUUUUUAUUUUCGGAAUAAUUAUUUGAGAAUACUAAAACACAAUAUAAAAUAAGAAAAUAGGGGGUUAAAAUUUGAAAAAAAAAAACAAAAGGGCAUGUUGGAUAGAUUACUGUGGUUUAAGAAAAAAAAUUAUUCAGUUGGGAAUUUUUUUUCUUUAAUUUUUGUUUUACUUAAUUGAGAUUUCUCCUUAAUCCUUACAGUUUUAAAUUUGGAUAACAUAGGAUUAGUAAUUUAGUACUUCCUUUGCAAGCUGAGGUUAAGGAUGAAAUUCUUUUAAGAAAAAAAGAUAAAAGAGCAUAACAAUAGUCAAUUAUAAAUAACCACAAAUAAAUACAAACAAAAUGUUUAUGAAGUAAAUUAAAAAUGCACAUAUUAUUUUUUAUUUUAUUUCUUACUAAUCUGUGUAUUUGCUGCUUGAAAAACCAUAAAUACACAGAUGACCAUUGGCUUCGCACCAUUUAAUCGGGAUACAUUUCUACGUACAAACUGAACAAGGCUAUUGAUUUUUAUUUAUUUAUAAAUUACUAUUUCAAUUUUCACUUUUUAUUGGGUUGUUUAAUGGAUUAGUGAGGCUGGUGGUCGUUGAUGCACUCACAAGGUACAAUUUUGUUUUCAAAUUUCAAAUUCGUAUUUUAAAAUGCAGCACAUUAUGCAUACAUAAUUAUUGAUUUUCAUAUGUGGGUGUUUUGAAAUAUUGCUAAAAGGCCAAACUUUAAUAAACUAUUUUUGAUCCUUUUUUGUUUCUUUUUUCCUAAAGUUUGAGUGAUAUCCGCAUUUUUAAAAGCUAAUGUAUGCAAAAAAUUCUUUCAUUUUUCUGGGGAAAAUAGGUAAGAGAAAAAGUUUUGGCAAAUGAGCUGCAACUGAAUUCAAAACCAAUACGAUGCGAGCAUAGGAAAGAGGUCAGUGUUUUGGAUUUGAAUUUAAAGAGGUCAGUGUUUUGGAUUUGAAUUUAGUAUUGAGCUGAAUUUUAUGUUUAACACAUGAUUCUAUUAUAGUACUGCGAUUAAUAAGCUCAGCCCCGGAUUUGCUUUUGCUUUUGCUUUUACUUCAAGUGAAAGAAAGAGGAAACCUUUUGUUUUUUCUUUGGUUUUUGACUAUGUUACCUAUACAGAGAGUCAAGAUAUCAGCCAUAAGUGAUGGUGUUAAAAAGAUUAAGCAGCGCACACAAUCUUACUGCUGUCUAGACGAUCCAAUGAUGACUCCAGUCUUUUGGUUACAUUAGCUUUAGUUGAAAUAAGGGCCAAUUUAGCAAACACUAGCUUUGGUGGCUUAUUAUGUUUAAUGUAAUGCUUAUUCUUAAGGAAUCUAAUGUAUAUAAGAUGAUUGAAUGAUCUUCUAUGAUUGUGAGUAGUAUAGGAUAAUUGAAAAGAGUCUGGUGUUAAAGGCUUACAGUUUUAAGCCUUUUAAACCAUGCGAUUUUAAAGUUUUACCGGAUUUUCCCGCACUUUAAAAUUUUAGACUGAAACAUUUUUGUAUAUAUAUACAUAAAAAUAUAUAUAUAUAAAUAUAUAAAUUAAGAGGGAUGAGUUAACUGAAGAUUAUAAUCAUUACAACAAUGCUGAUGAGUGAUACAUCACUUGAAAUUUACUUGUCAGUUGCUGAAAUGAUGAAAAAAAAAAUAAACAAUAACAGUGAUAAUGUUCUCUUGCUGAAAUGACUUGUAUAUUAUACAAUCCACUCUACUUAAUGAUAUCGUUUUAAUAAAUGUUUGAUGAUCUCCAUUUAAAAACUACUUCAAUUUUUUUCUUCAUUUAAGUUUUUGGUUGUUGAAAAUAACCUUAAUUAUCAAAUAAUUGGAGAAAGAGUAAAGAACAUUUAACAAAUUUAUGUGCAAAAAAAAAAAAGGGAGAAGUUGAAGAGAAAGGGUGCUUGCAGAAGUAGGUGUCAAAGAUAAAUCGGUCCAUAGGAAUUAUUUUGGUUAUUUUUUAGCAAUAGAAAAAUUUUUUAGCAAGUAAAAAUUAAUUUUUUUCCGCUUUACUAAAAAAUUAACUAAAAACUUAUGCGAUAGCAUUUUUUAUGGGUGCAUAUACUUCCCUUUAAAAAAAAUAUAAUAAUUAAUGCUUAAUAUAGUAUUAAAUACGAAAAUAUCAAUAUUUGACUACUCAAAUGUAUAUCAUUAGGUCCUUAAAAUUUAAAAUUGAAGAUACAAAAGGUAAUAUAUAUAAAUUUCAUUCUCAUGGGAAAGGAUCAUCUUAUAAUCUUAUAAUAUUUGAGCUUUGAAAGAUUUUUUUGAAACAAAUGUACUUUUAUUUGUGUACAAUCAAUAUGUACUUAUUUAUUAUAUUUUUAUUUAUUAACUAUCAAUCAUGUGAGUAUAUUUAGUCAGAAAAAUUAUAUCAAGAGAGAACCCUAAUUUCACGUAAAGACAAAUACAAGACAAAUAUGGCAAUUUCUAUACUAUUCACUUUCCUGUAAAAUCAAUUAUCUAAAAUGCAAGUUUGUGGCUUCAAAAAACUCGCCAAAGAAAGAAGAUAAUAGCAAUUGAGCAUUGAUAGCAAAUCUAAUGCAUCCAAUUCUUCUUAACUUGAUGAGUGACGUGAAUGCUACCAGUCUGUGACACCCAAAUUUUUAUUAUUUUAUUUAUUUUUUUAAUGGAAUUUGUAAAUGACGUUUUUGCCCUUAUAAAAAGGGUUAUUCAUGGAAUAAUUUUUAGGAAAGGGUUAUUUUUCCAAAUUCAAUAGGGUUUCUUAAGACUCCCUAUAAAUUCAUAUUUUUCUCCUUUCAUAACCCUAAAAGCACGACGUUUCUUCUUUUUCUAUACUGCUCAUUACACUCUUACCCAAACCCUAAGAUUCAAACCUUUGGUUAAGAGAGAAUCAAAGCGAUUGGUAAGUUUAUUCCCCUUAUUCUCUACAAGAUUCCCAAUCACUCUAUCUAGGGUCUAUAUUGGCAUGAUUUUAGAUUGUUAUAGAUCAUAAUACAUGAUUUAGAAUGUGUUUAGGCUUUGUUUAGAGUUUUGAUUUAUUAUGAGUUUAGUUAAUCAACCUUGACGUAUUAAGCACAUAGAAUAGUUCCAUAGAAUAUUAUGUUAUUCUAAGUUUUAGAUUAAGAGUUAAAAUUCUAAGCAUCAGACUUGUACGGGUACGAAUUAGAAAAAUCGGGUUCUUAGAAUAAGUUAUUAAUUGUCAUAUCUUGUAUUUGUUUAAGGUGAUUGAGGCUCUUAGAGGGUUAGAGGUGUGUUAAUUCAAAUUCUUUUGUCGAGGUAAGUAACUUCAUUCCUAAUGUACUGGAUAUAUAUAUAUAUAUAUGAUUAUUUUGAUAUUAUUAUAAGUACACAAAUUUUUUUACUACUUAGAAGAUUAAUUGAUUUUCAUAACAAAAUCAGUUUGUGUAAAUGUUUUCAAACCUAAAUUCCUUUUAAUAAAUUAUUUUGUAAAGGCUUUUAAAUAUGUAAGUUAUUUUAUGACAUGACUACCUUUUAUAAUUUUGUCUAUGAAAUAUUUGCAAGCCUAAAUUGUGGUUAUGGACUUUCAUGAAACUAAUACGAAUGUUUUGUACCUAUGUAUGAUUUCAAUUAUUUAUGAUUGUACGGGGGCCACCUCUUGGGACUAUAUGGGGGCCACCUCUUGAAAUUCAAAGCAUCACAAAAGUGCCACGUAUAAGUCAUUAUGUUUUGGCUCAUUAUCUGUAGUUAUUCUGAUUCUGAUUCUGAUGGUAUAAUACAAUAUAUGUCUGUUCUGGACCAGUACUAGGUUUUUGUUUUGAGUGUGCACAUGAUAUUCUGACUCUGUUUCUGGCCGGGUCACUAGGACUAUAGGUGACACUAUGUGACAUGAGCUAACCUUUUGUUUUCUGUGAAUGUGAUAUAUGAUUUGCUUUUGUAAAUAACUAUGCUUUUGAUAUUCUGAGUUACAAUGAAUUUAAAUUAUUUUAUAGUGAUAUAUCGUUUUAUGAAAUUUAUGGAUUAUGAUAUAUGUUUUAAUUAAAAGAAGGCUUGCAAUAUUUUUGGUAUUGAUAGGUCUAGUGUGUUAGGAAUAUUUUUACUUACCGAGUUGACGGCUCACCCCUCGUCAUUACUUUUUGCAGAUUAAGUUUCUUUUGAGAGCUGCGCUUAGCUUUGGAGUUAGUAAUUUUCUGUUUCCGUUUGCCAUUUGAAUAAGAGGAGAAAUAAACUCAUGUUUCUAUUUAGUUUAUUUAUGUUAUGAAUGUGUAAUUUGGAGUUUGAGACUUUUGUUAUUUUUUUUAUGUCCUCGGGAGAGAUUAUUUAGUAUUAGACGUUUGAAUUUGUGGAUUUAUUUGAAUAAGAAUUUGAGGUAUUUCAGUUUGAAACUUAUGAGUAAAGAUUAUGAUUUGUAAGUAACAUCCUUCUUCACGUGCUCCGCACGUGUUAGAUUUGGGGUGUUACAAUUGUGGUAUCAGGGCAUUAGGUUUGGGAUUCUGUAAACUUUAUUUGAGGCUAGAUUUCUUAAGCACAAUCAAUUAGUUCAAUGGUAUUGCUUGCCAUGAGGUUAUCGGAAAGAGUAGAUCUUUAAGGCGAGGAGUAAUUUUGGUCUUUUUGAUUUUCUAGUUGCUUGUGACUUUGUAAUAACUCCUUGAUAUAGGAUUUUGGUAUUAACGUAGAAUGAAAUAUUUGUUUGCUCUUGUUGUCAAUUACUAACUUUUC
rnacentral:lncRNA from 1 species